rnacentral:lncRNA from 1 species
GAGUAAGAUUUACAAGGUUGAAAAUUGUUUCUGGAAUAUUACCUUGUAGCUUGUUGUAGGACAAAUCUAUACUCUUCAAGGAAUAUGGUGAGUUUACACUUAGAAGCCCUGUGAAGUUAUUUUUUGACAAAUCUAAAUUCAGCAAAGAUGGCAAAGAAAAACACCAUGAAGGAAUUAUCCCAUUCAGCAAGUUGUUAUCUAAUGAUAAGCUAACUAGAUUUGAAAACCCUAUUAUAUUGUUUGGCAAAGGAACCUGUAAUUUAUUAAAAGAAAUUUCCAGUAGAGAUAGUUGAGUUAAGUCGAACAAUGAAGAUGGGAUUUUUCCUUCAAAAUUGUUAUCCGAAAGAAAAAGAAGUUUCAUUUUGGUUAGCCCAACAAACACGUCUGCGAUUUGACCACUGAAUUUAUUUCUCGAAAGAUCCAAGAGAGUGAGAUGUUGAAGAUUUGAAAGUGUUGAUGGUAACUCACCUCCUAAAUUGUUAUCAAAGAAGUUCAAUUCUUUAAAUUUGUUUUCCUGAGGAAAAACAUUCGGGAUUUCACCACUAAGAUUGUUACCAUUGAUAUUGAGAAAAGAGAGACGUGGAAGGGUUAGGAGUGAGGAUGGGAUUGAACCCACAAGAGAGUUAAAUGAAAGAUCUAGGAAAGUAAGAUGCGAGAGUUUAGAGAAGGAGGAAGGGAUUGACCCUUGGAAGUCAGAAUUUGAAAGAUCUAAGAUAUUAAGAGAAGUAGUGCUACAACUAACUUUUGGAAGCUGGCUUUGAAGGAUUUCAAUAUCUGAAAGAUAGAGGUGUUGAAGAUUUGGUAAACAAAAGAUACCAUUUGUCCAGUUUUCUCUUAUCUGAGUCCCUCGAAGACUAAGAGUGACUAAGGAGGAAGACAAAUUGAGAAUCUUGAUUGAGAUUGAAGACAUGUCUGUAUCAUCCAGAACAAGCUCUUUAAGAUAUGUUGCAUUAUGGAGUAGUCUCUUCCAAGGGCCUUCUUUCCACUUUAAACCAUAGUUACGAGAAAGAUCGAGGGAGGAUAAUUUGGAAAGGUGUGAGAGUUGGGAAGGAAUUUGACCUUGGAAGGAAGAAGCAGAUAAGUUAAAGUAUGUGACGCUGGCAAACUUACCAAAGAGAAAUGGAAAAUGAGAUUGAUAGAAAUGGUUGAAAGCAAGGUUGAGUGAUUGGAGAUGAGAAAGAAGGAAAAGUGUACUCUUUGGAUGGAUUCGGCCAUGAAGCCCACUGCAAGCAAGGUGGAGGCCGAUCACAUGGCCGGAGAUGGGGUGGCAGGUGACUCCAUCCCAAGAGCAACAAUCUAUUCCAUUUUUCCAUGUUGCUGUCUUUGGAUAAUAACAAUCAUCAUCAAUAGAAGUAGAAAUAGUAAGAGAGUUAUUGAAGUGAUGCAAGAGAAAGGUGUCAUAAGGAUGGCAUAAGGAAUGAGAGGAUGAAAAAUGAAAAAGUAAAAAGAGAAGGAACCAUCUCAUCCUUAACUCCAUUACUUCUAACUAACUCUCAAUACGGCUUGAUUGAAUGUGUUAAUGGGAAUGAUCGAUAUUUAUACCCAAAUUCAAAACAAGAUAUUUACAAAGUGAUGCUUUCAUUGUGUUGUGGAAUUCAACUUUAAACUUCAACAACGCAUCUCUCACUCAAACUUUCGUUUUCUAACCUUUUACUUACGCUGUGGAAUUGAUUUUUCUACUUCAUGUCCUUAAUUUUCAGUUCCUUUUUUCUCUGUUUAAAAUGCAUUUUUCAAGCUAUGGGUGAGUCAUCAGUUAUAUCAAAUACUUGGAUUUUUUUAAUGAAAAUAGUGUAAUUAUUUUUAUCAAGUUUAAUGAUAUUAAUAAAAUUUAAAAAGUUUACAGAAAUAAAUAAAUCAUGUUGAUAUAAUACGAUUUUAAAAUAAAAAAAGAUGAAUAUGUGUUUUAAAGUCACGGCUUUUAAUUUUUCAGUCAUAUUGAAUACGGACAACUUCAAUUUUUUUAUAACUAUAACGAUACUUAGACAACAUUUUUUUUGACAACAAACCAAUCACAGAAUGACACGUAUAUGAUAUUAAAAAGUUAUCAGUCUAAGUAUUUUUUAUAAUUUCUAUUAUAAAUUAACAGUUUUCCUAUAGUGAUUGUCCUUUUUAUAAUUUCUAUUAGAAAUCAUGGUCUUUCUAUUACAUUUUUUUACAAUUUUAUUUAUACUUUUAUUAUAAGUCCUUUUUAUUGUUACUUCUUUCUCUUUUAAAGUUUAUAGUUUUUUUUUUUUUUCAAGAAAAGCAUUUCGAAAACUAAUCUCAUCGUUGUUAAAGAAAAUAUCGUUGAAAAGUUUUAUUUGAUUUUUAAGUAACUAUUAUAUCUAGCACUUAGACUAUAAUCUUUCUACCCCCAUCAUAUACGUUUCUAUAUAACCACUUAUAUUGACUUGGGAGUCAGUCACUCACUGCAAACACGACAUAAUUCAAUUAUGAAAUUUUGAGUUUGUAUCUCUUCAAUUAUUAUGUAAAACUAUUUUUCACGUUUCUCCUUAAAUCAAUAAUGUCAUACAAUGAAAUAUGAAAAGAAAUUUAACCUUUUGGAUAUAUUAUUUAAACUACCAACAGAACCUUAUCUACCACUUAGACUAUAUAAUAUUUCUACCCCGCCAUAAACGUUGCCAUAUUUAUAUUCACUUGUUACAAAAAUGACAUAAGUAGAUGAACUUUGAUUAAUCAACUAUGAAAUUUAGAGUCUCUAUUUCUUCAAUUAUUAUGUAAAACUAAUUGUCAUGUUUCUCCUUAAAUCAUUAGUUCCAAACACUUUUUCUUUAAUUCCACAAAAAUGUUCAUGGGACACACUAGUGCAGAAAAGGCUUUAGACGUAUGUUAUUUUGACCUUCUAACGUCAGAUCCAAAACCAACGUUUAUAUGAGUGACGACAAUUGGACGUCGGGUACUGCAGUUUAGACAUUGUUAUAGACGUCCGUUACUAUGCCAACCGACGUCUAUAUAAACGUCCAACAUGGCACAAGCUGACAUCUAAGGGUAAUCUAUAGACGUCGGACGUGACCCAAACAGACGUCUCCGGACACUAUACAGACGUCAGACAUAACAUUAACCGACGUCUAAGGGCACUAUAAACGUCAAGCAUGACAUUAACUGACGUCUAAAUGGUGUUCGUUGUGAUUUUUUGCAGUUGUCUCGUGUCUUUGGGUAUCAUUGUAGCACCUCCUUCCUUUGCUAGUUUCUUCGUAAGAAAAAAUUGCGUCUUCUAAAUCUUUCAUGACAUUUCAACCCAAAACCGAACUUGGGUCGCUGCCUAGUUCCAUUUCGACCGCCAAUGAAAAAGAAUACGGUGACACCAUUAUCUUUUUCAUUGGCGGUAGGAGUGGAAGUAGGCAACCACCCAGGUUCUGCUUCAGGUUGAAAUGCCAUGGAAGAUCCAAAAAAUGCAAGCUUUUCUUAGGAGGAAGCUAGCAAAGGAAGGAUGCGCAUUACGCCACACAAAGACAUGAGAAAAACUGCACCAAAACACAACGAAAAGCUUAUUUUAAUCGGUUCAAAUUGAGAUCAAGCGAAUAAAAAGCAAGUUUAAUCAGAAUAAAAGUGAAGUUUAAACGGUUGAAAAGUGUUCAAACGCACUUGAAAGGCAAUGUAGAGGAGAGAAAAGGCGAGGGAAAACGAUGAGUGCGCAAAACAGGUUAAGGAAGGGUGAUUUAACAAGAAAUUAGACGUCUGUUAGCAAGUAAACUAACGUCUAUAAUAGAAUAUACGUCGGGAUGUUACUAAUAUGACGUCAAUAUGGACGUCCGAUGUCAUGGAAACCUACGUGUAUAGUCGCAUAUAGACGUCCGUUGGCGAUAUUGGACGUCUUCAUUACGGAAAAAAAUAAAUUUUGCUGAUUUACUUAAUUUCUGAGUUGUGUUUCUUUAAGAUAGAUUGCCAAUAGUGUCUUUAGCUCUAGAUCUGAGUGAAUGUAUUUCUAGCAGUAAUUUUUGUAGUUAGUUCAAUUCAAGUAAGCAGUUUGAGCAUGAUUGAGAGUAGCAAGUUCAAUUUUGACAAAUUUUUAACCUUAGAGAGUUUUGGGCCAAAUUUUUUCUUUCUAGCGUGAUUGCAUACAUGUAUAGCUAUAGUUCUGACUUUGCAUUAAUUCUCUUUGAGUGUGCUUGAUCUUGGUAAAACUUUAGAGGUGAUCUAGGCCUUAUUCUUCUUCCCAUUCAUAAUUAUUUCCAUUGUACCCUCAUUUGAGUCGUAGCCUUUUCUUUGUUUUCUAUCCAUUAUAAACCAUAUUCCCCAUCAAUAAACAACCUUAAGAGAUGUGUAAGAAGCAAGGAGACUUUGGAACUCAGAAAAAGAGUGAGGCCAGAGGUAAAGUGAGAAGAAAAAGAGCUCUAAAAAAAACUGAUCUCGAAAGAGAAGAAAAAGAACUAUGAAAAAAUGAAAAGUAGAAAAUUGAUUUGGAAAAAAGAACUGAAAAAGAAAGAAAGAUACAAAAAGUUAAGAUUCUGGCCAAGAAGAAAAAAAUGAAAUACUUGUACAGAGUUCCAGUUUCCCUUCUUUCUUGAACCUUUCUCUGAUCCAUUCUAGUUUCUACUUUUCCAUACAUCUAGCCUUUCCAUUCUCCAUUACAUUACAAGCCAUGCAAGUCCAAGUGAUCUAGAGUUACCAUGAAUCAAGUAGUGUCAAUUAGAGUUUUUCCAAAGUUAAGAAUUGUGGUCUAUCAUGUUAUGUGGAGGAAACAGGCUGACCUUAAACACUUGAGUGCAUUGAGUGUAAACACCUUAUCCUGUGAGGUUGAAUUUGGGUUGCUACUUCUCUGAAUUGUGAUUUUCUGCUUGUUUUGGUUGAAUAUGAUUGUUCAUUACUUGCUAGAGUUGCUAAAACUUAGGUUUGGAGUGAAUGAUUCUGAUUGUGCAGUUCUAAUUAGAGAAAAAUAGCUAGAGUUUGGUGAAUUGGUAGAAUUGAGUUGAUUGUGAUAGAGCCCAGUGUUUUAGGUGGUGUGUUGAGUUUUUUUUCUUUUUAGAUUGAAUCUUCUUUUUCUUUUUAGUUUGUCCCUCUGCCCAGGAAGGCAGUUCUUUAAGUGUGGGGCUGUGAUAACUCUAAAUAUUUUCAUAAUUUUUCGUGUUUAGAAGUACUUGUUAGGAUAGUUUAGUUUCUAAUUUUCUAGAAGUAGGCUAGUUUUGCAUUUUGUCUUUAAUUUUAGAGUUUUGUUAAAAUAGUGUUAAUUUUACCUUUUUAGUUAAAUAAGAUAGUUUUUUUUAAUUAGGAAUUUUAUCUUUUAGAAAAAUAUUCAGAAAAUUUAAACUAGAAUUUCAUUUCUUUAGGCUUUAUUUUUUUUUCAUUUUAUUUUACCAUUUUAUUCUUUUUAAAUUGAUAUGUUAAUAUUUUGCAGGAAUAAAUAAAGAGGGAUGCUGCUAAAUGAAUAAAAGAAUGGGCCACUCUUGGUUUAGUGAAGCUGAUUUAUGUGCUGAUUUGGGCCACCUGCGCAACCCACUGAUCAAAAAGUUGUUGCCACACUUGGAGCGCUGCUACUGCUGUUUCUUAUUAUGCCCCUGCAUUUGGAAUGAAUUGUAGGCCACUAUUGGACAAAUUAAAUUACAAUCGGGCCGCGUGAUUUAGUAGGCGCUGCUGACUUAGUAUCUCUACCUCAGACGCGGCUUGAAGAAUGAAAUGGUCGGCUGCUACGUGUUGGACUUGGGCUGAGUUCCAAUUAAAUGAAACGCACCGUUUUGGUAAGGGGUGGCAGCAGAUGCACUUCGAGGGGUCUCUACUCACAUCUCAUUUGAAGAAAUCAAGCUCUCGAGACAUCCAUUUGGAGAAGAAGAAAGAAACACCCAUGUGCUAGGGCUCUUAUGCGAGAAGAAAUAGAAAGAUCGAGAAGGGCUAGAGCAAGUCCUGACCAGAGCUGACCGAUGGAAAUGAAGAGCUUAUCGGAUGGCUGGAAGUUGAGCUCGCAUAGGAAGAAAGAUGAUCGUCCGAUCAGAACGUCAAAGCGUCGAGAGCAAGCUUCCUUUUUUCCCUCGUUCUUUUAUUUUCAUUCCAUUUUUUUUCUUUUCUUCAAAUCCUAUAAAAGGGGGCUCCUGCCAUGUAAAUACGGCUUCUUUUACAGACUUUCACGACCUUAGACACUUUCCAUUUUUCUAGUUUUAGAUUACGGUUUUGUGUUUCAUGCUUUUGGAGCUCACGUCACGGUGGUGACAGCCCGCGGUGGCUCCGAUUACACAUUUGUUCGGUAUAUUUUUGUAAUUUUCAUUCUUCGUUAAUAAUACAUAUGUUUCUCUACGUUUCUGUUCUUUGUGAUUAUGUUGUGUUUCGUGCUUCGGUGUUUCUUGUGUUGUUAUCAUUAAAAAUUGAAUUGGACUCUGUGAUUCUGCAUUCUAUGAUUACUUUUGGAACCAAAUGACUCUGUAAUGAGCAUUUUUCAUCGAGAUGUCUUCUCGAGUCAGAAGAGAGUCGAGUGUAUAAAAAUUCAAUGUUUCUAUUUUUUUCGUUUCCAAUAUGUGUGAUUGUGUGCUGUUAUUGAACUGUUAUGAUAAUUUUGAAGGAAAACAUCCAAAAUUUUACAUCUGUCUGGAUGUAAUAGGACCCAGGAUUGGGCUUAAAUUUUCAAGAGCUCUUCUUGAGAGAUGUUAAGCUUCGCCAUUAUCAAACUAAGUCCAAUUUCAGUGUUGUGUUUUCAGUUUUUUUGAAACUAUGCAUUGGUUGAUUAAUUGAGUGAGAAUUGUCAUUUCAAGUUCUGAAAUAUGAACUAAAAAGACCCGGUGAUGGGCUUAACUUUCUCGGAAUGUCUUUAUGAAGAGUAAUUGAGACUAUUUCAUUCAAUCUAUUGCACAUUUUCCUCUGUUCUUUGCUUGUGCCUGUUAUCUUUGGUUUAGUGCUUUAUUUUUAAUAUUUUUGUUGAAUUGAUGUUGAAUAGUCUUAGGUCUGAUUGUGAUGUUUACUUUACCUUCCAUUCGGUUAUGUUCGAUGAUGAUCUAGUCUUUGCAUUUACAUUUACAUUUCCAGAAUAGGCAUAUAAUUAGGAAAUUUAGUUGUUCAUUGGUUUUAUAGGUUGGUAUCUAGGUUUAUUUUAGUUUCAGAUUCAUUAGUUUAGGAUCAUCUUAGUUGCAUUUAAAUUUUCAGAUUCAUUAUGUUGAAGCAAGGAACUUGGAGAAAAAAUCAAAGGAAGAGAUGAAGAAGCCAGAGUCAUGCAUAGAUGGAGGGUCCAGUGGUGGUUAGGGUGGAGGAAGUGGUGGUUUAGGAGGAGGGUACGGAGGUGGAGCUGGUAGUGGUUUAAGUGGUGGAUUUGGAGGAGACGGUGGAGGUGGUAGUGGUCUAGGUGUUGGAAUUGGUGGACUUGCAGGUGGUGCCAGUGCCGGUGCUGGGAUAGUUUGUGGAAUUGGUGGAAUUGGUGGAGGCAUUUACAAGGGAAUUGGAAUUGGAGGUGUUGGAGGUGGUGUAGGUGCCAUAGGUGGAAUUGGUGGUGUCAUUGGUGGUUUCGAGCAUGUUGACGACAAUAAGCCUUGAAACAUUUACCUUAAAUAAUUGCAGACUCGUGACGAUAUAGUUCUAUCAUCAGUGUUUCAUUUUCGCUUGCUAUUUUAAUUUGUUUUCAUUUUGUAUCCACAAAUAAGUUCACCUACGUACCUAGAUGCAUGCAUGCUAAAUUUUCAUGUUAUGUAAAAGAUUCCAAGAAUAUAUACUUGUCGUACAACAUUGCAUGUCUUGAAUUGUAUACAUAUAUCUUUGCAUUACGAGGAUGCUGAGUUGCUGUUAUAGUAAUUUUCAAAACAUAUAUGUACUGAACUUUAAACGUACAUUGUUUUCUGUUUGUUGUUCCAUUUUUGUUUCUAUAUCGCCUUAUAUUUCUCAUUGCCACCUUAGGAUAAGGCAUGAUGGCUUUAGAUUUCUAUAUUUUUUUUUUAUUUUUCCUUUUAGUUCAUAUUCUUCUUUCUUUCAAACAAAUUUUAAUUCAGUUUUAAUUCUUUUCUUUUUCAUUUUAAUAUUUUUACUGUCCCCACCUAGCAUUAGUAGUAGAUAAUUAGUAAAAAUACAAGAUUUAACCCUAGACUUUAAUCUUAAUUUUGUCGAGUCCUAGGAUUGAUAUUUUGGUCAUCCCUAUACUGCAUUAGUGGGGACCAGUUCUUUGUUUUGUCUUAAGCGACUAAAAGACAGUUUAACAACAGUUUAUGCAGGUUGGUUUGGUUGGGUAAGAAAUACAAAUGUGCUUGAGAUUUGCCUGGAUCUUAUCGAAGGCUUUUGUCCUUUGGUAAUUACUGACGACCUCAUGUCCUUCAGUAAUUACCGAAGGUUUAUGCCCUUCGAUAAUUAUCGAAGGCUUUUGUCCUUCAAUAAUUAUCGAUGGCCUCAUGUCCUUCAGUAAUUACUGAAAGUUUGUUAGUGGCAAGAGUUUUACCGAGGGCUUCAUGGUUGUCGCUAAGCCGUUGGUAAAUGAUCAUUACUAAAGGCUUCUAGCUGUUUCCGAAGGAUUAUGGCCGUCGGUAAUGGCCUUCUUUUUUGUAGUAUGCAAUUUUUAAAAUGGGACAAUGUCAUAGACUGACAAAAGAAGAAAAAGGUUUGUUGCAUUGCAGAAGAACAAAGGAGAGAGAAAAAAAAGUUAACGUCGUUCAUCUGUAUUCAACGGAAGGAACGAAGUUGACGCAAAAUUUAAUAAAUCAAUACUAAUUUCAAAACAUUUUAAAACAAUGGACUAAAUUGACAUUAUUCGGUAAAAUUGGGACAAAAUAGACUAUUAAACUAAGAUUUAAAAGUGUAUAUUAAUAAAAGAAAAUUAAAUUGGUCCAAAAAAUUGAAAGAUGAAAACUGUUUAUUAUUUGUUUAACAAGUUACUUCUAAAAAAAAGAUUCAUGGGUUGAUCCUAGUCCAUAGGAUUUUUGUAGAUAUUUUGAUCCUAUGAGCUUUUUCUAUGAGAGACUUUUUGGUCCUACGAGUUUUUCUGGCACCAACUCAUGUGAGCCAAACCAUUUAAAGGAUAUUAAAUUGACGGGUCUAACAAUAUGUGAUUGGUAAGUCCGUUUAUGCAAGAUUUCAAGAUGUCACAUAUAAAAAAAUAAUUAUAUAUAACAUAAAUACAUUUUCAUCUAAAAAAUAAUUAUUUAAUUUUAUAAAAUAAAAUACACUACAGUAAAAUGGGGAAUUAGUUGCGAGAUAUUACCGAGGGGCUGGAGGCCCUCGGUAAAUACAAUUUACCGAGGGCAUUAACGAGGGCCAUAGGACCGUCGGUGAGUUGCUUACUCAUUUAACCCGCACCUUCAGUUUCCCUCCACUCUUCGAGCCAAAAUACCAAGUCAGAGAACUCUCGUCCCCUUUCAGAGAACCUUCGUCGUCCAAAAACAUUCCCUCCAAAACCCUUCCCCUUUGCUCCUCCAACACCAAAGUCGCGCUCUCUAAAACCUAAUCUUGUUUUGCCCAAAUUUCAAAAAUUCCAGUUCUCCUCUACCCAAAGCCCUAACCCUAAGGCGUUCUCGGUGUAGCUUCCAUUGGUUUGUGCUUUUAUUCUCUCGUGUACCUCUCUUGUCUACCUCUGUCUUUCCGGUGGCAUUGUGUGUCUGUCCGUUCUGUCUGGUCUCAUUGAGGUUCGUUGUGCAUGUUGCAGGUGGGGUGGUGGUUCGUGGAUGUGCACGUGAGGCUUGUUCGCCGCAGGGGUGGUGGUUCGUGGCUAUACGCGUGAGGUGUGGAGGGGCAUCCACCGAAUUGGGUGUUCUAACAAGUAAGCAAGCUUCAUUCCUUUCCUGUUGGGCGCUUGUUCUGCUUUUUGUUUAAAUGUGACUCUUCUUCUUUAUGUUGUACCAUUUGAUGAAGAAGGAGGUUGUAUUAUUUCUUUACUGGGUAAUUGGUUUCCAUGUUGAACGUAUCCUUCCUUUAUGCCUGAUGAAAUAAAAAUGCUUUGUCUUGGUAACUCCUUAUGCUCAUGUGAUUAGUAGUAGUUUUAUUUGUGAAUGAAAAUCAUGGUGAGGAUUGAUGAGUGAUUGGUGAUAGGCCUUGGAUUAUGUGAUAGCAGAAGCAAGGCAACAUGGAAUUAGGCUCCUUCUUAGCUUAGUGAAUAAUUUGCAAGCAUAUGGUGGGAAGAGUCAGUAUGUGAAAUGGGCAUGGCAAGAAGGGGUAGGCUUAAGCUCCUCCAACGAUUCUUUCUUCUUUGAUCCUUCUAUCAGAACUUAUUUCAAGAACUACAUCAAGGUAUUAAAUCUCUAUCUUUCUUUUCUUUUCUUUUCAUUUCCCCUGCAUCCUGCAUUUUAGAAUAAACAAAGGAGAGUGACUAUUGCCACUUGUUAAAUUUCUAAUACUUUUCUCUUGGAAAACACAAAUGGAGAUGCUCUUUUGCUCAACAGUGGUGGGUUUGCCUUUCUUAAUCACACCCAUGCUUUUCACAGGAGAAUUAUUCAAAGCAUGGACCUCGUGUUCACAGGUAAUUUUGGAAUAAAAACUACCCUUUUCCACACUAGUAACAUGUUAUGCUUUUUUUUAAGCAUAAUCACUAGAGAAUAAGAGUUGGGGAAUCUGCCAAAUUCUGCAAGGGAAAAUGAUGAAAGGAGGCCCUUGGUAUAACUUAUUGUGUUCUAAAUGAAAGUAUUUUUUUUAGGUCAUAUUUUUUUAAAAUCACAAUUUCUUUGUUAUUUUCAUGUCAUGUGAAAGGAAAAAGAAAAUAAUUUGUUGUCCAAAUUAGCAUUUUAUAUUAUUUUUUAAUGGAAAGUAUCAAAUUUUAUUUUUUGAAUGCAUUUAAUAUUCUUGUACUUAUGUUUUGAUAUUGAAUCAUACGAUUUUGAUACUACGAAAUUUCUUCGCGUUAUGGACAAGUUGAAGCAUGGUGAAGCAGUAGAUAUUCCAAAGUAUGAUUUUAAGACUUACAAAAGUGAUGUGUUAAGAAGGGUAUAUCUCUGGAACUUAUGUUUAAUAUUGAUUUUUUUUUUUUUGGCAAAAAUGUUAAUUGGAUUUUUAUGGAGGUGAGUUUCUGAAAUGCGGACAAUUAAUGUUGAGUGUAAUGGAUUUAUUUAUUUAUUUUUAAUUUUAGGAUAAAAGGUGAAGUGGGUUCAAUAGGGCUAUGAGAAUGAUUGCUUGGUAUAAGAAGUUUGCUAGUCUUUUGAUUCAUUGCAGAGGGAAGGAGAAUUCAUGCAGGCCGUGUGGAGCCCCCAGAUGCCAAAUUAAUUGUUAUUGUAAGUUUGCUAGUCUUUUGAUACAUGAUAAGAUAUAUUCUAUGAAUGACCAACUUUACAUUGUAAGUAGAAAUCUUUAAGUUAUAUUUCUACUUUUGAUGGCCACGNNNGCGUGAUGGGAGAUUGACUUUACUGUAAAGUCCUCUUCUUCUUUCCUUUUUAAAAUGUUUAGGAAAUAUUUUUACUUUUAAAAUUUAAGUAAAACAUUAAUUCUUGUAUUUCUUGUUUAUAAUUUUGUAAUAUUUAAGUCCCUGUUAUGUGCUUGUUUGGACUCUAAAUUAAUGUGUGUCUAUUUUUGUAGAUUGUCAAAUGAUUAUGGACUAUUUUAGCAAAUUUGUAUGCUUGUGCACUAUAAUAAAUGUCCAAUUGCAAUACUAGUCUUAUUAUUGGAUAACUGAUAUGGCUAGCUGUAACUAGGGGCUCUGACCUAGUUUUAAUAAAAUUAUUGUUUUUGAAAAUUUAUGUAUUAUGGGCUAUGAUACAUGCUAGGAAAUCAGAAAUUUAUUCAAGACUUUGAAUGAUAAUGAUUUGAAUGGAAACCGGAAAAUCAUGACCAAUAUAGGAGUGAGAGGAGGGAAUUUAGCAGAGGGGCCUAUUGAUAUGUUUCUUUGCCUUAAAUAUUUAACUUGUCUUUCUGAACGGUUUUGAAAUGGUAAUUGCCUUGCAUUUAACUUGUGCCUCUUUGAAUGGUUUUGAAAUGGUAGUUUAUUUUGUAACAGUGCUUCACAAAUACCAUUGGCAGUAUAAUAUAUCUUUGUUCUAUUCCGGUCUCUUUAUAAUUAUUUUAAUUGAAUACAGUUUCUAGAUAUUGUACAUCUAUUUGAUGGUCUUUUUCUAUUGUUUUCAAAGAACUAUUAUACUUUUUUUUUAACAAGUAUGUGUUUGUUUCUUCAAAGGCCUUAUCUUUCAAUACUUGUUGAAUUAUAAUUUGAAUAUUAUUAAUUUUUUUGAAUUGUUUAUUUUCCAGUUUUUGAAUCUCUUUGGAGAUGUUCAAUCAAUAAAGAGAGCAGAGGAUAUGCAUGCCAAAUUGUUUUUGCCACACAGAAGCAUAUCGGAGUUGAAGAAACGUCAUGUUGAGGAUUUCUUAUCUUCAGACAAAGUUAAAAUGUCAAAUUGUAGGUAGAAUGAUAGGUAGAAUGAAUUGUGAGAUUGUGCAGUUCUUUUUCAAAUUGUAGGAGAUCCAUUUCCCACCAAUCAUAAGUUUUAUUUUCUUAAUAUAUAUAACAAAUAAAUAACCUUAUUUUUUAGGCUUCAUCUAUUGCCAUGAUCCAUGACUUUAUAUGAAGCUUGUAUCUUCUGUUUCCGUGGAUCAAAGUUAUCUCUUCCUUUUCCUUGUAAAUUUUACAUCUAACAUUUAUUUUUGUGUAGUAGCCAUGAUUGUUUGCAGAUCUGCAACCCUUGAAUCUGUCUUAGAUCAAUUAAUUGUUUCCUUUGAUUUUUUUUUUUGCAGACUGUCUUGACAAGGAAGAAUAGUAUUACCGGCAUUGAGUAUAGAAAUGGCCCCACCAUUUUUGGUUGGGAAUUGAUUAAUGAACCUCGUUGCAUGUCUGAUAUACAUUAGAAGGAACUGGACAUCUUUUAUUUUAAGUAUUAGUAGAAACUUGGCUACAAUUCAAUAGUAUAUGUACAUUUGGAUUUAAUAUAUACUUUUAUGCACAAACGAUGUAUUAAAUAUUAUUAGACUAUUUAAAGUUUGAAAUGAAUUAUAUUUUGUUUCAUUAAAUUUGUUUAUUUGGAGUGAUAUUGAUUAUAAAGUGAUUGGAUAAUAUGAUAAUACAGGAAAUUAUAAUUUCAUUGGAUGUCAAAUUAACAAUCAAUUUUUUUAAAACACACAUAUUAUAACGUAGAAACGUCUUUACGUCAUUAUAUCUUCUGCCAUAAUUAUAACGUAAAAACGGGAGUACGUUAUAAUAAACUGCCCAUAUUAUAACGUAAGAAUGGAAGUUGGUUGUAAUAAACUGUCCAUAUUAUAACGUAAGAAUGGAAGUUGGUUAUAAUAAACUGCCCAUAUUAUAACGUAAGAAUGGAAGUUGGAUAUAAUAAACAGCACAUAUUAUAACGUAGAAGUGGAAUUUCGUUAUAAUAAACUGCGCAUAUUAUAACGUACUUCAGAAACUACGUUAUAAUAUGUUGAACUUAUUAUAACGUACUUCAGAAAAUACGUUAUAAUAAGUUCAGCAUUUUAUAACGUAAAUUUCUGCUACGUUAUAAAAUGCGCAGACUUAUUAUAUCGCCCAAAACUAUAUCUACAGUAACUACGUUAUAAAAGGUCAAAUUUGUACGUUAUAAAAGGGUGUUUUUCCACUAGUGGAUCCCUCUGGUGACACUCUAUAAGUAAGUUUCUUCACCUGCGCUUUAGCACCUUGAAAUAGUAAUGGAAAAAGUAUGCUGGCAAUAUCAAAUUAUUUAUAACACGGUGGUUGAAUUUGAUAAAAUCUGAUAAGAAGGAUUCUACAUUCAAUUUUUAGCCCUUUUUACUAUCUGGAAGGUUAGACAAAUUAUUCGAUCUUUCAUAAGAAGGCCUUAUUGUUUGAUGUUCAUACCAUUUUAUAAUAUAAUCAGUGUUAUCCUAUAUAUCUGCUGCAUAUUCCUAUAAGUUGAGGCCACUGCUGAGAAAUGAAAGAAGAUUUGUAUAGUGUUUUUUUUCUUGUAUUAAUAUUACAGUAUGUAUGUGUAUCCUAAGUUUUUGGAAUGCAUGUAGAGGUUUUUGAUUCAUGCAUCAGUGUUUUUUGUAUCAUUGGUUUUGGUCAAUGGAUUGCUGGAAAAUGAAUUGCAGCCUACUGAGUUUUGGCUAUUCUACUCUGUUGUCACAUUAUUUUUGACUUAAAAUCUGGUAAUUACCGAAGGCUUUUGGCCCUCAGUAAUUACCGCGAGGGACGAAAGCCCUUGGUAAUAGUUAGCAACAAGCAAUUUACCGAGGGCUUUUUGACCGUCGCCGGACCCUCGAUAAUGAGUCUUUAGCGACGGCUUAUGACGUUUUCCGAGGGAUUGUGGCCUUCGGUAAUGCCCUUCAUUAUUGUAGUGAUACUUAUAUUAAAUUUAAUUAUAUUUUUGUAAUUUAAAAUUAAUUUAAUAAAUAUACUAUAAUUUGUAAAAAUGUUGUGCUAGACAUACAAGUAUUAGAUAUUCUGUAAACCAAUAAUACAUUUGUAAAACAUUUACUUCUAUAUAUAACACACCUCAACGCAAUGGUAACAAAUGAAAUAAAUUGUCUUGCAAUGUAUCUCUUUAACUUCCUAUCUCUUUGUCAAGGUUAAUCUUUGCCUUUUAAUUUUAUUUGACAUUGUAUGUUGUUAUAAUAUUUACUUCUUUUUAUGUCACAAGUAACAUUUUGUCAAUAAAGGUUAUUAUGUUUUGUAGGUGAAAGUUAUUGUUUAGUAGGUCAAAUGUUAAAAUGAAUAAUAUUCACACUACUACAAAAAAGUGCAUAGAUAGCGCUUUUUUUUUAUCAUAGAUAGCUCUUUUUAAGCGUAAUCUAUGCGUGCACUAUCUAUUAAUAGAUAACACUUCUAAAAAAAGCGCUAUCUAUUGUCUGCAACCAAUAGAUAGCGCUUCUUUAAAAAAGCGCUAUCUAUUGUCAGCAACCAAUAGAUAGCGCUUCUUUAAAAAAGCAUUAUCUAUUGGUUCAAAUUUAAAAAAUAAUAAUAAUAAUUAAUUUUAGAAUAAAAUAUAAAAUAUUGGUUCUAUUAUAUACAAAUCUACACUAUAUAUUAGUUAUAUUAUAUACAAAAAAAAUAUAAAAUAUUGACAAAAAUAUGACAAAUGUCUUAAAAAGAAUUGUGAUUAAUAUGAAUAAAAAUUAUUGGUCCAAUAAUAUUUCAAAAUUUAAUCAUUAAGUCGUCUAGUACAUGUCAUGACAUGAGAUUUCUUUAUAAGAUAAUAUAUACAGUCAUAACAUAUAUAUCCUAUUAGUAUUGUACAUCAUUGUAACAUAACCUAUAUGCAUGUAAUAAUUACAUGUAAACACUAAUUUCACUAAUUCAAUGAUCUGACUUUCAUGAUAACGUUGGCAUCUUCAACUAGAAAAAUACUGCAUGAAAGAAAAAUAAUGUAGAAUUAGUUAAUUAAAUUUUACUACAAAUUAAUUAUAAGAAUAAAGAUAACUUACAUAAGUUGGAAUUAUUCCUCCUUCACAGUAUGUAAUAAUUUCCUUCAUAUAUUGACACACAUAAUAUCCACAAUCAUUGCCAUUGGGUUGUCUUGGGCACUAGAAUUCCAAAAUAAUAAAAACAUUUUUAUAAUUUGAACAUAAAAAAGAACCAAAACUCUAGUAUACUCCAAACAGAUUCAAUGCAUGAUAACAAAUAACUAUAUACCAUAUACAAGUUUAAACUCUUAAUAAUAAGUCAUGCUUUUGUAACAACCAUAUACUCCUACAACGAGUUUCACAAUAAUACAAGUUAUUUAACUAACCAAUACCAUGCAACAAAGAAAUAAGUCUUCAACCAUUCAAGAAUACAUGUUAUUUACUUAACUAGUACAAUACAAGCAACCAUAACGUGAACUAAAGGUCACAUAAAGUCAUUAAGCAAUUUAAUUAUGACAAUGAAGACUAUAUUACACAAAUCAUACUAGAGUAAUGUACCUUAUUCUUUUAAUAUUUUAAAACAAUUAUUUUUUUGACCUAUGGAUGAAUUAUCACAAAAGUUCUAACUUUUACAACCGUAGAUGAAUCUUAUUACCUUGUUGACAUCUUCCAUCCGAUAGCUUGCUUCCAAAUUCUUAUCUAUGGCAUCUUCUAAGGCAAUAUGUGGUUUAUCAUCUUGGAAUAUUUUAUUAACCUGAAUGUCACAAAAACAAACCUCAAUCAAAAACUUUCAGCCAAGGAAUUUCAAACUGGACCAAUCAUUUUGAUUAUUUCCUCAACAAUUACAACACUAAUAAGUGAUUUCAUUUUAAUAAAUAAAAAAGAUUGUGCUCAAAAGAGGUGUCUAACUUUUGUGUUAUAAUGGACUGAAAUUCUAUUUAUGAUUAAAAUGCAUAAAACCUUACUCUUAUGGAAGGUAGCCUGGUGUUCCUACAAGUCUGGUUGCUAUAAAAUUUUCAUCAUCGGUUCUGUCUACCAGCUUUGCAAGUCCAAAAUUUCCCACCUUUGAAUCCAAUGUCAAGUGCAAUGAUGAGAACUAAAUUUAACACACAAACUUGAUUGGAGAAAUGUAAUUUGACAAGUACCUUUGCUCUGAAUUUGUCAUUAAGUAGAAUAUUGCUACUCUUUAUGUCACAGUGCACAUAUCGUGCUUUUGUAUAAUCAUGUAUAUAUUCAAGACCUUUUGCAGCAUCCAGUGCAAUUUGAACCCUAACACUCCAAGAAAGAGGCUAGUUCCCUGUUCUAGUAUCAUGUUUCAGAUUUCUCUAAAUAUAUCUUAUAACUCUUAUAAUUCUUCUGUUUCUGUGGCUUUUUUUGGAAUAACUUUUGUGUUUAGUUUUGCUAGGAAAAGAAAAUGGUACCUUCCAGUCAAGGUUGUCAAACUCGAGAGUUUACGUAAACUCGUGAGAGUCCAGUAAACUCGUAAGAGUUUACUUUGUAUGAAAAAAAAAAUAUAAAUGACAUCCUAAUUCAAAUAAGAUAACAAAAUUAUAUAAAUUGAAAUACAUAAGUUCAUAGAAAUAUUGUUCAUAAAGAUAUAAUGUAAAACAUAAAUUGAAAUGUCAAAGUCUCUAUGCCUAAUCCUCUAAUCCUCUAAUAAUGGCAUCAUCAUCUCCAUCGUCAUCCUCAUUUAACUCUUCCUCUGAUGAAUGUUGUGCAUGCUCAUUGUUUCCAAAUGUUAUGUUAUCAAGAUCAAGAGCAUCUAAAACAGGAUCUGUUGUUGCUCCAUCUAAGUGAAUAUGUUCACUAUCAUUUUCACCUUCAACUUGAUCAAUCUCAAUAACAUCAUUUGUCUCUUCAGCUAUCCAUUCAUCAUCAGAUUCUGUGUCAUCAAAUGGAAGAGCUAUAGUUUUUCGAAUUUGUCUACUUUUCAGCUUGGAGUUAUACAUCACAUAAAAUAAAUCAUUCAUUUUUUUUAUGUAAAUGAUUCCUUCUCUUUGUAUGAACCUAAAAUGAAAUAUAUUAUUUUUAGUGAAGAUAUAAACAUAAUAAAGGAAUUUAUUACUUAAAAAUAAUUUAAAUUAUCAUUUCAAAUGAACUCCAAUUACGCUCACAUCCAGAAGAACUACAAGUCAAGCUUAGAAUUUGAAUUGCAAAUCUCUUCAACUCUGGAGUUCCAUCACCAAACAUGUCCCACCAUUCUCCAGGAUUUAACUCUUUCCUACACUCUUUUGCAUCUUCCAUUCCAAACAGUCCUCUAGCAUUAUGAAAUUCAACAAUUUGUAAAUUAAUUUUUCUUCUUUCUGCCAUAUCUGGUAUCAAUCUUCUCAUGCAAAAAUACAAUCCUUCUUUCACCUCUCCACCAUCAUCAGAUCUAAAGUUAGGUUCAUAGUGGAAAUGAGGGUUCAGAAAAUAGGCAGCUGCAUGCAAAGGCCUAUGAAGUUGAUUAUCCCAUCGAGCAUCAAUUAUUCUCCAAACCUCUUCAUAACUACAUCAAUCAUGCUAUAUCAGAAAUAAUCUCACACAUAAGUAAUUAAACAUUGAAUGAGUAAAAGUUUGAAAAUUUACCUUUUUUUGAUAUUGUUAAUGUUAGACUUAAUCUUCUCUUUUGCACAGUCCAUCUCUUCAUAAAUGAAACCCAUUGCAGGUUUUACAUCUGAGUCCACUAGUCUUAAGACAACCAUGAGAGGGGCAGCAACUUUCAAGCAUGUGGAGACAUUCUUCCAAAAUCGGCUAUCUAAUACUACAUGUGCUACUUUUCUCCCCUCUUCUGAAGUUCCAAACUUACUUGUCUUCCAUUCCUCAGAGUUGAACAUUGUCAACAACGAUGCCUUCAAUUCAUGAAGACAAGNAAGAGUUAAAUAAGUCGUGGCAAAUCUAGUCACACCCGGUCUUAUAAGGUCUCUACCUUUAGUAAACUUUUUAAUUAAGGAAAUCAACAUUGAUCUCCCAUAAAUGUAAUUUGUAAUUUUUCUUCCCUUCUUAAUGGUCAAUUCAUGGACCUUCAAUUUUUUUUUAAAAUCUUCGAAUAUCAAAUCAAUGCAAUGUGCUGCACAUGGAGUCCAAUACAAUUUUUCCCUCUUUUGCAUCAACAACUCUCUGGUUGCCUUGAAAUUUGCAGCAUUAUCAGUGACAACUUGAACACCAUUUUCUUCUCCAACAAACUCGACAACAUCAUCCAACAUUUUGAAAACUUUAUCAGUUGUUUUUGAAAUGUCUGAAGUGUCAAGUGAAUAAAGAAAAAUCGUCCCUCUAGGACUAUUCACGAAGAAGUUGCAAAUAGAACGUCUUUUUCUAUCCGUCCAACCAUCAGACAUAAUUGUACAUCCAAUUUUCUUCCACUCCUCCUUAUAUUCCUCAAGAUUUUCAUUUGUUUUCUUCACAACUUGUUUCAAGAGCUUCUCUCUAAUAUCAUGAUAAGAUGGUGGUUUAUAUCCAACUCCAUACUUACCAAUCAUUUCACACAUCUUUGCAAAUGCUAGAUUUCUAAUUACAUUAAAAGGAAUGGCACUGGUGUAAAAGAAUUCAGCAACUUGAGCAUCAACUUCUUCUUUGUAUCCUUUUUUCAUCAUUUGAUUUAUAGUUGCUUGAACUCCCCCCUUACUAGUAGUAGCAACUUUUUCUUUUACUUUAAAACCGAAUACCUUGUGUCCUCCUUCAAAACUCUCACUUUCUUCCUCGUCUUCACCGAUAUUUAUCUUUCUUUUCUUUAAUGAAGCAUUCUUAGCUUCUGCAACUAUUUUUAUCAUCAAAUUUUUUAUUUCAUCCGGAACAGAAGCACAAGGCUCAGAAUCUUCUCUAGUUCCAGCAAGAUGAUGCUUAAAUCUAAAUAUGCCUCCACUUACAAUCUUUGAACAAAUAGUUGCAUUUCACUUUUCUUCCAUUGCCAUUAACAUCAAAUCCAUGUUUCCAUCCAAUAUCAGAUCGAUUUCCAGGAGCAUUUUUACUUCUACUUCUAACUGAUGAAGAUACACUUGGAUUAAAAAGAAUGAUGCACUGUAAUGUUGUGAUGUAAAGUGGUGCAGUGCCCGUAACAUACUAUUAAAAAGUUAUUUGGUGCAGUGUAGUGCCCGUAACGUAACAUCAACUUUACUUAAAUUCAAUAAAAUAAUAUAAGUUGCAGUGCCCGUGAACCCAAAGUACAGUUGCAUAAUGCCAUUAAAAUGUUUAAAAAAUAUGUUGUUCGCCCGUGACAUCAACUCAACUUAAAAUCAAUAAAAAAAAAUACAUGUUGCAGUGUCUGUGAGUGCCCAGUGCCAUAAAAGUGUUUAAAAUAUAACUUGUAGUGCCCAUGAAACCAAACUUCAGAUUUUAGUGAUACAGGGUUUGCACUUACAGAACCCACAAGGAUGAGAACGAAGGUGCAAAAGAGGCGAGGUCGAACGUCGAGAUCGACGGCGCGACGAAGGUUGAGUUCGAACAUCAAGAUCGACGGCGCGGCGGACUGCGCAUUUGAUGAACGAGGAAGUGACGAAGGACGAGAUCGAACGGGAUAGAAAGCGAGAGCGCAAGAAAGAAGAUGAACAGUGAGUGAAUGUUCUAAAAAACCUAUUCUGAUGCGUCCUAAAAACGAAUCGUUUUGUGUUUUCGAUUUUUUUUCCAAACUCGCAAAAUCGGAACCAAAAUCGCGAUUUUAGGCGCGUUUAGCGAGUCAACAACCGAGUCUACCGAUCCUACUCUAAAAUCGAGUUUGCUUACGAGUUAACUCGAAAGCAUUGUCUGAACUCGUAAACUCGGUCGAGUUAACGAGUUAACUCGCGUUUUCGAUAACCAUGCUUCCAGUAAUGGAUUAUGAGGAUGAUCACUGAGAGAUCCAUUUGGAACGUACUCAUACACCAAAUAGAGGUCAUCUUCUCCGUUUACAUAUCCCAACAGCUCCACCUGUAGUAGUCAUUAUCAAAAGCAUCGUUUUAUUUUUCUAAAAAAAAAAAACAACACAAUUUUUUUAUUUAUGGCAUUUCAAAAUUGUUAAACUUAGCUUUGGACAUUGAUCGAAUUCUGGCUCUUUGAUAGAUCAUAUAUCAGAUUUAUAUCAAACAUAAGAACUCUCAACACCUGGUCAAAGAAAAUAUCAUCAGAAUUGUUACUUAUAAUAUGUUGAUAAAGUGGAUCUUACAUAAGACCUUGAGUUCUGCAUAGAACUCUUUAGAUUUAUUGGAUCUAAUUUUCUUCACAGCAACUUCCUGCAGUUAAAUGAUAUAUAGAUUUUAGUCAACAAAUCAAAGGAUGUGCUUGCAUUGCUAAGGAUCAUUAAAGAAUGUACUUGGUAUUUGUGUACCUUGCUCCCUAACACUCCAAAAUAAACACUUUUGUAUUCACCACUUCUUAUUCUUCGACUUUCAUCAAAGUUAUUCGUUGCCUCUUCAAUCUUAGUCAAACCAGUUCCAUAUAAUAAUAAGAAAAAAGAGGAUAGAAGCACUACAAUGUUACAAUGAAUUCCUGAGAAAAAAAAAAUAAUAAUAAUGAAUGGAUUUUUCCUAUAUCAGUUGAGUAGUUUGGAAACCGGCAAAGAAAAUACAUAUGAUCCCCUAGGCAUAUAUGUUCUUCUUCCCAUUUUUUCAGUACAAUGGAGAAAAAAUGCCAUUGGUUCCGUUUCAACAAAGGAAACCAUGGACUUUUCAAAUAAAUCUGAAGGGUAUUCAUUAGAAUUUGAUUGCAUCAAACGAAUUGGCAAGGCAAAAGAGUAAUCAAAACUGAAUAUCCAGUCAGUAGAUAAGCCAAACAAACUAGACGAACAUCAUAUUUAUUAAAUGGUUUAUAAAUUUAUAAACAUGAAAGCACAACAACAUUUCACUCAGAUCAAUAACAUCUUAAAAAAAAUCAAUGGAAAACUGAUUAAAUGAUGGCAUACAUAACACAACACGACAACAAUAAAUUAUUAUCUUCUGUUUAGAACAUCUUUGUAUUGGUCAGAAGUGGAAAAAUGGAAAGCUGCAACACAAUCCACCAUCAGCUUAGCAAAUUAGGCACUAUAAUCUAGAAAGUCAAAAGCUUUGAGACAUCAAAAGAUGGAAGAUCAAUUCAAACAAAAACCCAAUACAUACCUUGAGAUGGGAACGUUCUAUAAGUAUGAAAAAAAAAAAACAAAGAUGAGGCUGAUACAGACACAAAAAUAACCAUGGAACAAAAGGGUGACAGAGAGGAAAAAGAAGAAGGUAAGAUAUCUAAAAUGAAAGAUUAAGAAGCCAUGAAGUGGAAAAGUUAUCACUGUGUGCAACGGAGGAGCGUGCAUUGAAGGAGCGAGCAAAGACCUACACGUUAAAUUGAAGGAGAACCGCCAAAGGAGCCUAACGCACUGAUGAAACGGAGGAGGAGCCCUAACGAACUGAUGAACAGAGGAGAAGGAGCCCUAACACUGAUGAAACAGAGGAGAAGAGCCCUAACCACAGAUGAAACGGAGGAGCAACGCGAAUGAAACGGAGGAGGAGCACGAAUGAAACUGAGAAGGAGCCCUACGCAGUGAUGAAGUGAACGUCAAAUAUCAAGAGUAGUCCUCCGCGCGAAUACGAAAAUUUUUUAAUCCUCAUAGAUAGCAUCUUUUUAAGAAAUCGCUAUCUAUUAAUAUAUUUUAAAUUAUUAAUUAAAAAUAAUAAUAUUAAAUAGUUAUAGAUAGCGUUUAUUUAAAAAAACACUAUAUAUUGUCAUGGUUAUAGAUAGCGCUUAUUUAAGAAAACGUUAUCUAUAGUUCUGCACAUGAAUAGAUAGCGCUUUUUCAAAUAAGCGCUAUCUAUUGAGCGCUAUCUAUAACCAAUUUUGUAGUAGUGUCAUAAAUUUACUACAAAAUCAAGUGGUAUUUAUUAUUUAUAUGUUCCCAAAUAUCUUUAUAUGAUUAAUCAUGAGUUGAAAAUCAAGUUAUUGGUAGUUGUUGUUAAAGAAACCAUAUUUUUUUACCUUAAUAUGGUAAGCACUGAAAAUAAUUUGUUUUCAUUUCUUUAUAACAUGUUAUUCUAAUCAUAUUUCUUUUAGGAGAAAGAAUUGGUUCAUUCAAUGAUGAAUUUUUCAAGAAAACUCAUUUAUAAUAAGAUAGGAGUCCCUUUGUAGAUGGAUGUUAUAUGCCAACACAUAUGAGUUUAAUAUUUUUUUAUGUUAUUUAUUUUAUUAUAAUAUGUAAUAUAUAUAUAUAUAUAUAUAUAUAUAUAUAUAUAUAUAUAUAUAAUGUAAUUUAUAUUAUUGAAUAACAAGGAAUUUGAGAAUAAAUUUAUGCAAAUUAGAUCAAAGAGUAAAUCUUAUGUUAAACAAACAUAAUUAAUCAUUCUAUUAGAGCUUAGGAAACAGAGAGAAUAAGGACUAAAAAGUUUGAUUUUUACUACAAACACACAAGAAAAGGGUUAAAUAUAUGAGGUUGGAAAGCACACGUAUACGUUCAAAUAUGGGGAUAAACUCACAUAUAUUCACAUUAAUAAUAAAUAAGAAAAUUAAGCGAGUAUAUAAAAGUGGCAAAAUGGCAAGCCUACCGUAUUUUGGCAUGCCAUGCCAUUAGUACUCAAAACAUGGGAUGUAACGAGCUAAAAAUCAUAAUCUAUCUUGUCAAAGGGUUGACUCACCAACUUUUAAAAUAAAAAAUUGCUUAUCUUUUAAAAUUUUAUUUUUCUAAAUUUUAUAUUUAUUAUUUUUUUAUGUAUUUUUUAGAUAUUAAAAACACACUAAGUAUAUUUUUUACCUCUUAAUUGAUUAAUUAAUAUCAAAUAAAUUGAAAUAAUUUUUAUUUUUACAUAUUAAAUUAUUCUAUUAUAAUUAAUAAUUAAAUUUAAUUUGUAAAUUUUAAUAAUUUAAAGGAUUAAAUAAGUUUUAAGUAUCUAAACUUUAAAUGAAAUUUGUGUUUUAAGGUUUGUUUCUCAAACUUAAAAAAUUAAUGAAUAUAAUCCUGUAAUUCAACUGUGAUAAAUUUUUAUACAUGUCAGACAACUUUUAAGACUAAUGUAUAAAUUGAUUAUAUUAUUUAAAAUAUUCUAGUUCAAUUAUGAUUCUAUAACGAUGUUUGAUUAAGUAAAAAAUAUUAUGUAUCAUUUCAUUUAUAGUUUAAAAAUUAAGAUGUAUCAAUCUUUCAAAUAAAAACAAAUUUUAAUUUCACAGGACUAAAAAUAUAUUAAAUUUCAAUUUAAAUUAAAAAAUUAUUUUGUAUUUACAUUUUCAAGUAAUGUAAUAAAAAUAAUAACUUUUAAAUUAAUUUUUAUUUUAGAAUAAAACUAGCUUACAUGUUAAUCUGUCCUAUCAUAUUUCUUGUCUACCAAUUCGAUACUGACAAAAGAAUUGACUAAUUAAAAUUUUCAGCACAGCUUGUCAUACAAGCAGCCUAACGCUGUUUCCUUUUUAAUGGAUUUGAGGAAGAUGAUCUGGGAGAGAUUUGAGUAAAUUUAAGAAUAAUUCUUUUGUUGUUUUUUUGAAUAGAUUUGUGGGUAAUUGAGAGUGGAUUUGAGGGUAAAGUUUGUGAGAAUUAGUGUAGGAUUUGAUUGAUGUGAUAGAAUUAAAAAAUUAGUUUAAUUGGUAGAAAUGAAAGAUUACCAAAAUACCCCUAGUUAUUUUAGUAAUAUAAAAUGUUAUUUUUUAAUGUAUAUUUAAAUGUAUAAAUGUUAAUAAAGAAAUGAAAUUAAUUAAUAAUAAGUCAAAUUAAUUUUUAAAAUAUUAAAAAAAUUAUAAUAUAGUAAAAUAAUUUUUUUUUUAAAUGUGGUAUUUGUUUGUAAUAUAAUUUCUUACCGAAUACAAUCAAUUUAUUUGUCUACGAAAGUGAAAUUCAUUCAUUUUAAACAAACAUAUAAUUAAAAGGAGUUAUUAUAUUACAUGAUCUAAAAAAAAGUCCCAACAUAAUAACAUACAAUUAUAUUAUUAAUAGUUCAUGAUGACCUUGCUUCAAUGGGGUACGUUGCAAUGCAUUGAAACGAUAUUGUUGCGGCAUCCCUAUUAGACGUCUUGUAUGGGAUGGAUGCGAAGAUAAAAAGUCGAAGCAUUGUGUGAAUAAAUUUUGAUCUUCAAUGUUCAUAGUCUGUAGUAAGUUUUGAAUUUCUUCUGUUGUUGGAUUAGGUCGUUUAAUACUAGCAUUUAAUAGGGAAUUUUGACGCUCCAUGACCUGUGUUUGUCGUUCAAUAACAGCAUAUAGUCUUCUUCCUUCAUUAAUUAUUUCUUGCAGUUCAUCUAUGAUUUCAUCUAUGAUUCGAGAAUCCAUCUGUUUUGCAUUUAAUUUCAUUGAGCAAUAAAUAAAAGUAUGAAAAUUCAUGUCAAAGAUAAUAACAUUCAAAAAUAGGUAAUGUAGAAGUCUUCAAACAAAUAAGUGAAUUAACACAUUUAAGUCAUGUAAUGCAUUCUGAGUAUACUAAUGAACUUAAUCAUCUAAAUGGUGAAGAAUUAAAUUAACAUUGUGAUUAAGGUGAGCAAUUGUUGAUUCAUGUCAAGGGAUAGGUUUGCCAAGUUAUCUUAAAUACGUUCAACCCGCACUUGCAUUUGUUCCAUACCCUGCAUUUUGUGUUGCAUGUCUUGUACCCUCUCCUGCACUUGCACAUAAUAGAAAAUGGUGUUCUUCUCGCCACGAAAAGCAUGAACGACAACACCUUCAGCGCCUCAGACAACAACAACAUGCAGUUCAUCUGAAACAUUUUUCAACCAUUCAAAGUGGACAAAGAAAUCACUAUGUUUAGUGCACAUCUGAAUGACUAACAUCCUUCGUAGCUUACUAAAUACUUGUAGCUGACCAGAUGCACCUUAUGCUUAUAAAAACCUGCAACACAUACAAAUGGUUAGGCUGCUGCAAAAUAAAACCAAAUGUUCAAGUCCCUAUUACUCUCGGGCUACUCUUGACAUCAUUGCAAAAGGUUGCCUUAAAACUCCACACAAUCGUCGUCCUCCUCCUCUCCACCUCCAUCCCCAUCAACCUGUCCUCCACCGCACACACCUUUGUCGUCUUCUUCUCCAUGCCACACAUCUGCAUCAUCUACCUCCAUGCGAAUCGAAGAACAUGAUAAACGCAUCACCCAUGCACGAAGCUUAAGGCACUUCUCCUAAGUUAGCUGUGUUGACAGAGUAAGGAAGGAAGGUACGACCAACCGGUGAAUGCAACCGGAAACAACCCAUCGCUACAAUCGAAAGAAGCGGAUAGGAAAACGACAGCUUGAAACCGGAUACGCAAAGUUGUAUCCGAAUACCCUUCCUAAGCAAAAUCUCCACACAAAUUGGAUCCGGAUACAGGAAGAGUGUAUCCGAAUACCCAGCGCAAAAUUUUUGAAAAACCUCUAUCCGUGUACGCUGAAUCUGCAAUGGAAUACAUGAACAUGUGCAAAGACAGAAAGAGAACUCUUCGCGCAAAGCUCGUCAAAGACCACACACUCUCAAACUUCUUUCACUCUAUCUAAACACACAACCAUCGGUUUUAAUACACACACCAAACUUAUACAUUAACACACUCUUAUUAAUGGUCUUCAUGGUCAGACCUUCUUUUUCAAAUUCAAAUAGCAGGCUUCUCUCCUUUGCUUUGUAGUGAAUGGUUGUAUCAACAGGGAAUCUCUCCAGCGAAUCUCCCCAGCUACUUACACUGUGCACCAGCUACUUACAAUGUGCAAUGGACUGAAAAGAGAGCUGCAAAGGCCGAAUAAGCAUGGCCAGAACACUGCUUUCUGGAAAAUUACAUGGGCAAUGGGAAAAGAAUAUUGUUCUCGUGAAAGUUCUCGUGAAAGAACAGUGCAUGCAUUGUGUUUUUUACAAUGGAUUUUGGUUUUUUAAUAUUAACUUUAAUAUUAGAGUUUUUUAUUAUUAUAAGGGGUUGGACAUUCAGUUGAAAUUUUGAAGAAUGACACAGGACAUAUAGGUCUUUUACAUAUAAAUCAGCGCAAAUCUUUGCAUUUUGGAGAGAUGGUCGAAACAGUGUAAUAUACCCAAAAUCCAUUCAAACAAUCGCUUUUCCAUCGUCUCAAAUCACUACAAGGAAACAGGAUUUCAAAAUCAAUCUUCGCUCACAAAUUCGCUUGAACAGUACAAUCUGUUCAAGCGAACACAACAUAAGUUUUAAUUUUUUUUUAUUAAUUAUAAUAUUGUUUUAUCCUAUAUGAGCCUCUUAUAAUAUUAGUUGAUAACAAAUCACCCCACUUUACCAAGUAAAAGAAAUUUAACAAGUAAUUUAUAUUUAUCAACAUAAUGUCUGUGGAAUUUUGAAUUGAUUUUUUUUAAAUAUUCAUUUAUUCUCUUUACGCGGUCGGUUAGUUCUUUCGGCAUGUAGAAAACGCCAAAUUUUUAGCUUAUCUAGUUUAUUUCCACUAAUGGAUACGUUCAAAAAGCAAAUGAUGAAUAUAAUGCAGUAGCAAUAAUUACACGGAGAAUGUUUGAAUUAAGACUAAGAAAGAUAUCAGCACUGAUUCUGUUUACAUUGUCGUGGUGCUAGUUUUGUGUCUGUACAUCUAAGAUAAAAAGAAAAGUAAUAACACAUGACACAUUUUUACAUUUUUUAUACAUAAUAUAAAAAUAAAAUAGUUUAAAAAAUAUAAAGUUUUUGUAAUUUUUUAUAAAAGAAGAGAGUAAAAGGUAAAUAAAAAUAAUAUUAAAUAAAUGUAAAAAAUUUAUGUCUGUCAAAAUCAUUUCUUUAAAAAGAAUUUGUGAAACAAUCGUUAAUUGUUUUCAACUUCUUGAAACAUAUUUUUUUUUUUAAAUCAACUCAUUUUCCAAAAGAAAACUCUUUUUCGUUUAUAAAAAAGUAUAUAUAGCUUUGUCUAUAUUUUUCAUUACCGUGAAUGAAUAUUUUUCAAGUAUUUUGUCGGCUACGUAUCCUUAAUAAUUGAGUUUCUGAUCAUGCAAUGGCAAAGAAAUUAUAGAAGAAAUCGUCUUCUAUCGGUAAGAAUUUUAAUGUAGAAAGUUCGGAUAAAAUACACAAUAUCAACUAAAACUUUUAUACGUCAUACUGAUCUUACAAAUAUCUUAGGUGAAACUAUGGAAAUGUGGGAAGAUUUUAAUAGUAGCUUAUAUGGUUGAGAUUGAUUUUUUUUUUUUUUUUGUUACUUAGAAGAAAAUACUCAUGAAAACUUUAUGACACUAAAGUUAAGAAGGGAGUUGAAAUUUUUAUGAAUUUAAUAAUAAAUAUAAGUGAUUAUUGAAUAAAUAUUCUUUAGAUAAUAUUAAUUAUAUUUAUAGACAAUAAAUCUAUAUUAUUAUUGGACUAAUACUUACUUUAAAAAUAUAAUAGCAACAUAAUAAUAUCUCAUAAAUAAUAACCAUAUUAUCAAACCCUUAAUAUUAAUUAUUAUAUUUCGAAUGUUUGAACUGUUCUAAAAUUAAAAAACUUAAUAGAUUUUGUUAGAUUGUAUUUUUUCAGUAUGUCUAUUAAACCAAGUGAGAACAUAUAUAAAUAUGAAAGUAUAUAAAUAUUUAAUUUGAUAAUGCCAAAAUAAGUAAACUGAGUAUACUGAUUUUGGGACUUUCUUUUUUUCUUCUUAACUUUUAAUAAGGAUGAAAAGAGUCUUAAGUGACACUUUAAUUAACCUAAAAUUUUGUUAAUUUUAAUUAUAUAAAAUGAGAAGAGAGUAAUUGUUUUCUUCAUAAUUGCAUUAAAUUCAUUAACCGAUUUUGUAUUUGACGUAAGGUCGAGUAAUUAUUCCUGAUACGCUAAUUAGUGUCUGUGAUCUAAUCCAAUGCCAACACCACCAACAUGUUAGAUCUCUAAAAUAAUUUUCAUUUAUCUAUCUAGACGUGAAUACAUGAACAUAAGUUAUAAAAGGUAAUAAUUUUGUAUUUUUGUUUUCAAAUGAAAAUUAAAAGAAGUUUUAUCAGAACCAAAUUUCAAAUUUUAACAUAAUAAUAAAUAAUAUUUUUUGUAAAACAAAAAAUAACAACAUUGCAUUCAUAUAUUAAUUAUAUUUGAUUUCACCAUUGACGUGGCAGAAUCUUCACUUGCCGAAGCUUUGUCUGAUCUCAUUAAGAAUCAAACGAAAGAAACUUGAGAAGUUCUGGAUUUUGCUCAAAAUGCACCAUGUCACGCGAAGUCAAGGUUAUCCAUGCCUCCAUGCCAUCACCAACCUUAGUACCCAUCAAAAUCACCACGUUUUUUAUAGGAACUCCGAUAGUGCGCACGUAACUUGGUUUUCCACAUCCGAAAUCCGUUUCAUAGAACCCAAAUCUCAUCCAACUGCUAAAGCUGAAACAUGGAACACCCUUUUCUGCGGCCAUUCUUCUUGCUUCCUUCAAAGACUCCAUCACCUUAUAAAAUUCAUCACCCUGAAGCUUACUCACAUAAUUUCCAUCAAUUUUUCUUAUCGUUUCCCUCACUCUCUCGCACAAAUCACCAAGCCUCACUUCUCCUUCCACCUCUACCACCGGAGACACUGCUUGUUGCCACAGAUUUCCCGUCGAAUGCUCCGACAGCGUUUGGGCCAUUCUGCUGCGAAUAUUCACCGCGUGGGAUACCAUAGAUGCCGGAAUUUUUCCUUCCUCUGAACUUGCUUUCGCCGCUUCCAGUGAUGAUUUCCAUAUCAGUGCUGUCACGGCUUCCACACUAGUGGGAGUGAAAUCGAAGCUCCCCAGCUUUUGCUUCAGUCUGGAUAUGUUCGUCCUGUUGAACACAAACCUCUUUGUGGCAAUGCUUUUUUGGCCCAUCAUGCCACCAAUCAAGUCCAUUUCUAUCUUCCUCGGCGGAAAAACCUGUGCGCCUUCUUCCAUUUGUGGUAGUAUCGGUUUGUUGCCUCUGCAAAAAUUAAAAUUAAUCACACAAUAUAUUAUAAAAUAAACAUUCAAAUCUCGAGAACUGGGUAUAUAAGUUUAUAAAAUGAGUAGAAUGAUUGGAAUAUGUGACCUUUAUACCUUGAUGUUGCAGCCCAAGCAGUGAGGAAGGAUGCUGCUGUGGAAGCAUCAGCGAUUUUGUGUGAGAAGCAGACGCCAAGAGCAAAACCUCCACACGUGAAGUGGUUGAACUGAACUGCCAUGUUCCCAGUGAGAGUUUCCCUUGCAGGGUUGUAUGGAUCGCAUGGGAAAAGGUGGUUGAUAUGGUGAAGGUCAGGGUUUUUAAGAAGGCUUGAGAGUUCCAUGGGGACUGUACAGUCGGUGAAAACAACGCCCUCAUCGUUGCACUCAACGGUUGAGUUGUCUCUGAGGGUUCCGCAGAAGGGGUAAUAGAGAGUGAGGACUUGUGAUAAAGAAGCCUUUAAUUUAUGAGAUACUGGUUUGUUGUGUGUGGCAUCGGAAGCAGAGUAAAAGAGGAGAAUAGGAACGUAAAAUGGAGGAGCCAAUUGAUCGAGGAGAGAGAGUUUGAAAAACUUAUUGGAUGUUGGAGAAGAUGGCUUUAUAGUUUCCUUAGAUACAAUCUCAGCUUUCACUUCCAUUUCUCACAAAGAGUUGCUAUGUAUAAUGACUCUCUCAAACUAAUUCUUGCCUUUAUAUAGCCAAAAAUCUUGCCUUCAUCAUGAAUUUUUAAGAGCAAUAAUGCUCACGAGAGUCUGAAUCUAAGAUAUGAAAUCGUGCACGUUAGAAUAUUAUAUUAGGAAAUUAUGAUAAAUAUUAUGAUAUAAUAAAAUAAUAAUUUAAAAGCCGUGUACUGGCUGGAUAAAAAUAUAUCAAGAUAUAUAUAAAUGACCCUAGAAUAUAAGAAAUGUGUAUAAGAUAAUACCUAGGUUAGUCAGUAUCCAAGAUUCAUCGGUUUAUUCAUUAUAGCAGCGCUAGUCAAUACUAGGUCAGGUUAAAAGAUGUUAGGCCACAAUUAGGUUAGCAUUUAAGUUAUUGGGCUAAUAAUUCAGCAGAGAAUAAAAUGAUCAACGAUAUCUAAUUAAAGAUAUUGAUAAAGUUGUUUAUUUGCAACAACUAUUUAUGAGAAACCGACCGGAUUUUAAGAUAAAUUUGUUUCAGGUAAGUCUAUUUAUAUUUUAUUAGGCUUGUGAUAACUUAUAAAUACAGGGUCAAGGCUAAAAGUCAGUUACGCUUCACUCACACUCGAAAAUACUCUACAGUGAUAGCAAAGUCACUUUCUAAAGAGCAAAAACUCUACAACCUACGCCUAACUUGAGCGUUGGAGUGCCUUUUGCAGGUACAUCCUCCCUCUGCUGGUGAAGGAGUGCGAGCGGUGCAAGCUGAAGGAGCACAAAUGACACCAUCGAAGGAGAACGAGCGGUACAGGCUGGAGGAGAGCGUGUGGCUCCAACGAAGGGUGAGCGAACAGUCUACACUGUGGAGAAGUAAGCGUAUCAAGCGUCCAGAGGUAGCAAAGACAAGUCAGCGAGGUUAGUCUCUCAGUCCCACACAUCCAUACUGAAACAUUUUGGCGCCCACCGUGGGGCCUAAGAUUUGAAGACACCCAAUGGUGACCACAAGAAACAUGGAAGAAAACAACACCAUAGAUUUGAUCAGAGAGUUACAAGACCAGAUAGAGGCGCAAGCAAUGACCAUACAAGAACAGUAGGAGACGCAGCGUAAACAAGCAGAAGAAAUUGCGGCAUUAAAGGAACAACGACCCCCACCCAAAGUAUCCGCUUCAAACAGGGAUAAUGAGGGUAGUCAUAAUGGGGGGCGAUUUGUCAAUACCAAACCUGGCGGUAGGGGAAGAAGGGAACCCACACUCCUUCAAAUCAUUUGACCUACCAAUCUAGUGCCGUUUACGGAAACCAUCAUGCAAACUCUUAUGCCGGAGAAGCCUCCUCCAACAUUAGAAAGAUAUGACAGCUUGGCGGACCCAAAUAACCACCUUAGAAACUUCACUGAUGCGAUGACAUUCUACAUAGUUAGUGACCCAGUCAUAUACAGAGCCUUCUCCUUGUCUUUAAGGAAUGAAGCAUCAGAAUGGUAUUAUACCCUCCCUCCGAACACGGUAAGUUGUUUUGCAACAAUGGAAACUCUUUUUAGAAGGCAGUACGCCGCCAAUCGAAGGCAAGAGAUGACACCAGCAGAACUGGUAAACACCAAGCAUGAGAAGGAUGAAACCCUAAAAUCAUUCAUGCAGAGGUACAAUGAGGUCGCACGACGAGUGAAAGAUGCGAAUCACACUUUCAUCAUUAACAAUUUGCCCACAUGUUUAAAAUGAGGAUAUUUUGUUGAACAACUAUAUGCCGAACCACCAAAAUCUAUGGAAGAGCUCUAGGAAAAUAUUGUUAAAUUUAUUUGUAUUGAGGACAUGAGGAACUUAAGGAAAAAGCAUUAACAUGAAGUCCCCGCCAAUGGAAAUAAAAAGGAGGCGAAGCGAUCCUCUAACGGCAAUAAGGUGACAGGCCUCCCCGAAAGGAGUUAGCUUGGACACCCAAGUACGAUCAUUACACAGCUCUUAACGCACCCAGGGCAAGAGUACUUGAAGAAGCCCUACACAUCGAACUCCUCACGGUCCGAAGGAAAUCCUCACCAAAAAAUGUCGACGAAAGUAGAAGUUGUCAUUUUCACCAAAAUCAUGGUAAUAAAAAGAGGACUACACCACAGUGAAAGAUGAGAUAAAAAGGCUUGUUCGUGCGAGCUACCUUCAAAAAUACGUGAAGGAAGAAGCAGCCAGAGCAAGAUCCCCCCAAAGGAAGAACUUCGCGCAGAAGUCUUGAGCGGCCAUGUCAGAAACACAAUAGGCGUAGGCGACGCUCCCGAAGCCGCACUCGUGAUCUUGAGUGAGAAAAGUUGGUCCGGGGAUGAAUCGAUACCAUAUCUGGAGGCUCCGUUGGAGAGGGGGCAUCAUCCUCUGCUCGCAAGAGACAUUUGAGGAGCUUAAAAACUGUUCACAUGGUAGAUCAUCAACCUCGAUCUAUGUCAGACAUUACUUUUACCGAUGCAGAUUUUCACGCCCCAACCCUGAUCAGGAUGAUCCCAUGGUCAUCACCACCGAGAUAACACGAUAUGAUGUCAAUAAUGUUCAUUAGAAUGGACAAUAGUGUUGGAAAUUAGGUAGGCUUCGUUUUUACACCAAGAGGGGGUGAAUUGGUGAUGUUUCAGAAACAAAAUCUUUUCGCAAUCUUUUAUCAAAAGAACAAAGCUUUUUAAACUUUCUUGAAAUGCAAGUAAUGAAAAUUUAUAUGCAGCAGAAAAACGUAGUUGACUGCGUGAAAAGUAAAGUCGACUGGAAUUAAAGAGUGCAGGGAUAGAGAAAAUCAAACGCUGAUUAUUAUACUGGUUCGGCCAACAAUGCCUACAUCCAGUGUCCUUCCAACCCAGGAAGCAAACGCACUAUAAUGGUUGUAGUUUUUACAUCAAGGAAUUUAUAGAAGACCUCCACGUCAAAAAUAUAAAUCUCCUCUCUAACCAAACACCAAAAUAUAGCUACAAUAACAAAAACAAGACUUGUAGCAAGAAUCCCCUCUUCUGCAUUUUGAACACCACGUCGAACAAUCCUCAACGUGAAACCCCUAUAUCACAACAGGUCCAAUUCUAGCAGUCUUCACAGGAUGCCAAGCCUUAACAAGUGCAGCAGUCUUCAAAGGAUGUCAAGCCUGAAGCGAUCAACCCAGAAGCACCUUCUUUGUGUAGUAUUUGGUCAGACAAGGAGUGCGCAAGCUAUCUCCCUUUGAAUCUCCCUCAAGAAAGAUCACCACCGUGUUCUUGGAGAAUUCUUAGAGUUGUUAUCACAAAGAAUUUAAUCUGAAACAAGAAUGAAAAUGUUAGUUCCUCAAAAGUCUCUGAACAAUUCGCAUUCAGUCAAUUUAUAGUUUUUUGUCUAUCAGAUUGUUAUUCAGUCGAAUAGGAUACUAAUUCAGUCGACUGUAUUAUUGCAGUUAUAACAGACAGUCAACACAGUAGCCUAUGGUCAACAAAUAAUAGAACUCAUUUAAUACAGUUGACCAAGUAAUCAAUGCUCAACUAACUUUUAAAAAUAUAGUCGUUGGAGCUCAAGAGCAUAACAAAAUUCCAAAAUAAACAGCAGAUACAAUCGAAUAUGUAAAAUCCAAUGUCGACUAACACAUGUAAAAACACUUUGAAAUUCUUUUCAACUCAAAACAUCACAGAGCACUGAUUCUCAAAAUCUGUACAAAGAUUUUUACAUAGUCGAAUCCAUUAAUAAUGUAGUCGGUUAUACUAUCGCUUUGUCACACAGUUAUAAGUUCACGACAGUGCUUGUGGUUAUUCUCUUUAAGAAUGUGCAAUAAAAUAUAUGUAAUAAAGUAUUUCACAUUGCACAUAAGCAUGUAAGCAUGUUCCACAAAUAUAUCAAUCAAUCAACAUAGGAACAUACAAUAUAGUACAUCAAACAUUUUCAGCAGAUAUAACAAUCAAUUCAGCAUAAGAACAUGUAAUGCAAUAACAUGUGUACUGUUAUUAAGCAAUGUGUUGUCAUCAUAAAAAACUAGAGUGAUAUAGAGUGUGUGUUGUCAACAAUCUCAACAAUCUCUCCCUUUUUUGAUGAUGCACAACCAUGAUUAAUAACCAGCCAUGUUUGUACAGUUCAAUACAAAACAAAGUAAUAACAUAUAGCAAAAGAAAGUUUAACACAGUUCAAUUACUUUGCAUUUAAACCAAUAACAACCAAAUAUCAAGCAGAUGAUGUAAGAGACAGAAUAAUCAAGUGGCCAUAGCCAUUUGGCACGUAAGCUCCAUGGCAAUAUCGGCCAUUUGGUUCUCGGUCAUGCCUUCAACCACCUUUUUCUCGGCAUCAUCCAGGUUGAAAUCAAUCUUGUGACCCAGGUUGAAGGUCGGGCCCCACAUGCCACUUGGAAUAGGGCAAUCAAUCGGAUCUUGGGAAUUUUUCCCUUUCUUUGAAGCAUUUGGCAUAAUAGCUUGUUGUCUUCCCUUACGCUUCCUUACAAAUGGACGAUCUUCAUUGACAGUCACGUCAGGGGAAGGUGGUCGGUCGAUCUACGGAGGAAUAACGACCCUUUCCCUCGAGGUACCUUCAAUAGUCCUCGGAGCAAUAUGCGUAGGGACGGGAGCGUCGCUCGGUUUAGGAAAGGAGGACUCUCCAUGACUCUCUUUCUCGUUCAUAAUCUUGAACGAGUCCUGAAUGGGACCUUUUCUUCCAAUCAUAUAUGCAAAUAAGUUGCAUUAUCCACAUAUCAGUCACAGUUAUAAAAUGGCUAGGAAAAUCAAUAAAGGGAACAUACCAAACACCCUUGAGUCAAAGUCAUCAUGCUCAAGGAAAUUUAUAAUCCUCUAGGAAGAAAAGGGGUGAGGCAGUACAGUCAAAACAUUCAACACUUCCAUCUCGUCAAUGGUCAUUUUUUGUUCUAACCAGGAAAUGAACUUAAGAGGAUCUUGGGUCCAAUAAAGGGGAAACUUAGGGCUAUUAUCCUCAUUUAAAAAGAAGGGGCGUCCUACGUCGGUAAUUAUUACCUUAAAAAAUUUGUCAUUAAAGAUUUUAAAGGAUUUUGCAUAUAGCUCUAGAAAAGCAUUCCCAGGUUCAAAAAUUAAUGAAACCCAACCUCUCUUUGCAACUGAAUGGGUUUUAUAGAAAUACAAGAAAAAGGUUGGAGUCAAUUUAAUAGCCAAAACCUGGCACAAGGCGGCAAAAGCCUGGAUAUAUCCCCAACUAUUCGGAUGUAACUAAGAAGGGCCAACGUUUAGUGUUUUCAACACAUCCAUUUGGAAUACGCUAUAAGGCAGCCUAAGGUACAUAUCAUAGAGUAAACAUAAGUAAACAUAGCAGAAAUUAGCAGCUGAGUUCUCUUUACCAUGAAAAAAACUUUCAUUCUCUCUGCAAGCAUUCAGUUUUAUACACGAAUUAUAACCUAGGGUCCUGAGGAUGCAACUAUUCUCUACCUAAUCCUGUAAUACGGGUUUGCUAUUAAAUAAAUUAUGAAAAUUGCUAACAUCGCAGGAAGCCCAGUCGUAGCUUCUAACCGCUAACAGUGGGAGACGAUGAAGAUGGAUCUUCUACUUUAGGGUUCUCAGUGGCGACAUUGUUGGUACCAGGGGGGUAUGGUUCGAAGAGUAUAACACAGCGGAAUAAAACUAAGAGUAGCGUAUAAGCGUGUUCGGUCACCUUUUUAAAACAAGUUGGUCCUUUUUCGAAAAACAAUUUUCUUUCAGAAAAUUUAUCGAACAGUUAAUAUGCGUAAAAUGAAAUGAGUGUAGGGAAUAGAAAAAUCACACAAGUAUUUUUAUACUGGUUCGAUUCAACAGAAUCUACGUCCAGCCGUUAAUCACUAUAAAUAGUGAUUAACAAUUCCACUAAAAAUAUGUUUCUCAUAUUACAAUUAUAGUGAAUGAAAGACAGCUAAAUAAACCUUCCUUCAACGAACGAAUUGGAAGAAGAACACUCUACCAACUCGAAGAGAACCGCUCCGACAAUCGACCAACGAUUCGCGAGCUUCUCCUAUUCACGAGACCAGACAGAGCACCUUGCUAACUCGAAGAGAUCCUGCUCCGACUAUCGACACACGAUACGCGAGCCUCUCUUAUUCACGAGACCAAGCAAGGGAACUUUGAACAAAGCUUCUGAGAACUUUCCUCUGACAAACAGUGUUCUACUUAGCUAUCAGUUCAAAAACGUUGCCUCUAAAAUUUAUAGAAGCCAAAUAUAUAGCCAAUUGCAUUGAAUGCCAAAGGUCAGGUCCCAACUGCCACGAAUAAUCGAUUAUUAUAAGUGAUAAUCGAUUAUUCAAGUCCGUUACAGGUUUUUCAAAAAGUGAUAAUCAAUUAUAUGAAGUGAUAAUCGAUUAUUCCUGAAUGACUUGUGAUAAUCGAUUAUUGCUUUCCCAUAAUCGAUUAUUCCAGUAGAAAAUACAAGUGAUAAUUGAUUAUUGCUUGUCCAUAAUCGAUUAUUGCAAUUAAAAAUGCAAGUUUUACAAAGUUUAUAAGACUUUCCUACUACAUUUAAUUUCUACAAAUUGCUUUUAAAUAAUUUUAAACUCCUCUUCAACUAAGACUUCUUGCAGCAUCAUGAAAACAAUUGUCUUCAAGAUUUACCAAUACUCCUUAUUGGUAACAAUCUCCCCCUUUUUUAUGAUGAUAAAAAAUUCAAUGUUAAAAGCAAAUUUGGCUUACCUGCAAAACAUACAAGCUAACAGACAACAAUAAAGUUAUAAAUACUUGCAUCAAUUUAUAUUAUACUUCUCCCCUUAAAAAUAUAUUUCUUCCCCUUUAUGAUCAUAAGCAAAAAGAUUAUAAAGCUCCCCCUUAAUGUGAUGUCCCCCUUAAUUAAACAAUGUAUGCAUAAAGACAAGAUAAAAGAUCGUUUAUUCAUUAACAUAAAGGAUUACAUUUUUAUCAUAAGGAGCAUCAAGAGGGUUCAGAGAUAAAAGUAAAAUCAAUCAAGCAACAAAGCACAUGAACAUAUAAACCUAAAUCUAAAAUUCAGGGCUUUGGGAUCUCUCAGAUGGUUGAAGGUUGAGAUGAUUUUCAAUAUUUCCUAGGCGAACAUCAAUUUCAUGAAAUUGAUCAAGCACUUAAUCUUCACGAGCUUGCUGCCACUCAUAAAUUUGAUCAAAGUUCUUUGGGCAAGACUUACAUCCUCCAAUUGCUUAGACAAAUUUAAGAAAGUGUUCUUCCAUGAAAAUUGUAUGAUAAUCGAUUAUAGAUGAAGAUAAUCGAUUAUCUUCUCAUAAGUGUCCAGAUGUGGGUUUGAGUAAGAAUAAUCGAUUAUUCUAUGGGAUAAUCGAUUAUCUGCGGUUACAGACUUUGCCAAAGACAAAAAUAAUCGAUUAUUAUCCUAUGAUAAUCAAUUAAUAACGCUAAACUUACGAAAAAUGGGAAAAUUUCAUAACUCUUGAGCCUAAGACAUAUCUAACACUCCCAACUCUCUCUUAAGUUCAUAGAAUCUAGGCACCCCCUUAAAUGGCUCUCAUCCUUAACAAAAGAAAGAUUAAUUUAUAAAGUUUGAUCUUUUAUAAAAUGAGAGGCAAAUACAUGAUGAAAUACCAAAGUAUAGAUGAAUAACCAGAUAUCUAACAGCCUUAUAUAUCUCCCCCUCACAUGGGUACCAAGUAUCACAAUAUCAUGUCAUAAGCUGUCAAACAAAAAUUUCUCUUAAACUCAAAAGCAGAUUUUGAAAAAUAUUUUAAGAUUUGUUCAGUCCAAAACAAUGAAGAGAUACUUAAAAGCCAAUUCAGAUUUGUAUUUGCAAUUUCAAACAAGUUUCAAUGAUUCUUAGUAAAUCAAAUUCAGCUUUUAGCAUACUCAAUUUACCCAUGAAAUCAACAAUCAUUUAUCAAAUAAUUAAGAUGUUUAUGAUUCAGCUACUAAUUUAUAAAGUACAAUGAACACAACAGUAGCUUCAAUGAAUAUAAUCACAUCACACCUGCUCCAAGUUUAUCAUGAAGACUUUAUUGUUAGUACAAUUUACUCAAAGCUAACUUUGACAACACUAUGUAUAACUUCCCAAACAACAACUAUAAUUCAUGUAUUUUCAUAUCCCAAUCUGCUCAAUCUCAUGAUUUCAGUUGUGCAUAUCAAAACAACAUAUACAACAAUUCAAACAAUAUGCAGUAAUCAGAUUUAAUUCAAUAGAAUUUUUUUUAUCUCGGUCCAAAGAAUUUUAACCACCAACUUUAUCAACUACUUCAGGCUUCUCUUAAGAAACUUAAAGCACACAAAUCUUUAUUUCAAGUUUCAGAAACCAAAAAAAAAUUCUCAGACAAGAUUUGUUAGGCUAAGCAAUUAGAAUUUUGAGACAAAAUAAGACAACUGGAAAUUAUCAAUCAAGAAGCUAUGAGACAUUUAAGAAAUAGUCAAAUUUGGGUGCAUCAGUUUUCAUAUUUAAGCUUGCGUUGGUACCUCAGCCUUUUAGAAGGAUUUAAAAGUUUCUUUUGAAUAAUUUAUUUUAGAUAUCUCACAAGUACCUAACUUUUGCUGCAGGAUUACUCAAAUGUAAGUACAUCAUACAUACUUCAGGAUUAAGCAAUUGAACCAACAACUUAUUAUCAACAAAAGAUUUAAAAAUAUGAUGGUAUGAAGAGUGAAAAUACCCAAGGCUAUGAAAACACAAAAUUCUUUUGUUAUGAACAUGUUUAAAUCAGAGAAAUGAACUUGCGAUCACAACUGAUUGAUGUUAAACAACAGUGUUUCUAAAAUUUACUUAUCCAGAUCCAAUUAUGUGUCAAUUUUAAAUAUAAUGAAUCAAAUAACUUUUAGACUCCUAAUUGGUCUCAAAAACAAUUUUGAAAGCUUGAAUAAGACAAUAUGAAAUUAUUGCAAGAUGUUCAGCAAUUAACUAGUGGAAAAUCAAAAUUUUAAAAACUGAAAAAUUUACUCAACCAAGGAAAUGCAGUUUUUGCCUAACUUCUUUUAAAAGACUAUUCCUUUCUAAAUUUCACACCAAAAUUUUAACACAAGAGCUGAUUUAGAUUUUAUCUUUCAACAAUUUUUUUUUAAACCAAAUAAUUUACAAUACAAUUAUGCAAAUUUGAUAUGUUCAUUUACUGCCUCCAAGCUCUUAAUGUGUAUAAUCAUAUCAUAUAUGGUAUGCAUUUGAACUUUUUAAAAGCAAAUCUCCGCAGAAAUAAUUUCAAAACAAAGAUGAUAAUUUAAUUUUCAAAAUGUCUUUAAUCAUCCAAAAAUGCCAAUAGAAACUAUCAACUAUCUCAUUCAAAUGAAUUUUUCAUUACUUUUGAUGUUUGGCAGAAAUUAUACCAAGGCUAACUUCAAAGUACUCAUGAAGUUAAAUACCAAACCAGUUAAGCACAAAUUCAAUUGACAAUUAAAAGCAAAGCACUGAAAUAACAAAGCACAUGACUAAUCAUACCAAAAGAUUAAAUUCAGCACAUGAAUGUCUCAAAUAGAUGAAUUUCACUGAUUAAAGUGUGUAAACAGACAAUAACACACCAUAGGAUGAAUGAAUCAGUGGUGGACAUAUCAUUCGCUCAAACAGACAUGAAUAUGACAGUAAUCAAAUAAUGGAAGAUAAAAAAGAAUACAAUACAACAACACAGUUUAAACAAUACUUAGCUCAAUCACUUUGUGCUCGAACCAAGGCUUUGGAUAUCACUUGAUGGAUUCACUUCCUGGCUUGGAGCAUCAAUUCCAAAAGUAGAAUAAUAUAAAGUUCUCUUCUCCUUUUGAAAAACUUAUUCUGCAAAACAAAGCAAUAUAGUUUUUGGUACCCAUAAUCUUAUUUGGGUCCUUGAGGUUAGAGACAUAUUACUUUGUGACAGGAAUCCAAGCAUAUUUCCCAUUUGGAACAUCAAAAUGUUUAAUGUUACAUUUGUUUGAAGUGUGCCCCUUUUUCAUGCAAUAGAAACAACAAACAUCAUGGACCUUGUUUUUCACAAAAGUCCCCUUCUCAACCCAAACUCUAAGGGUUCUUUUAAAUUGAGGUUUCCUAUGUUGACGCAUGUUUUUGUUUUUAACAUUUUUCUUUCUAAAACCAUUUUGACUAUGUGAAAUAGAUUUGAUGGCUUUAGCAAGCAAAUUUUCAAGAAUAUCUAGGUCAAACAUGUGACUUUUACAAGAUAGACACUCAUCAGGUUGAUUAUUUGCAUUAGAUUCAGAUAAUUUCAUUUCAAGAUUACUAAUUUUAUUUCUCAAAACAACUUCUUCAUCUAAUGCACUUUCAUAAUUAAUUUUCAAUUCCUUAAGCUCAUUUUUCAAUUUUUUAUGAUGCACAUCUAAUUUCUCAGAUUCAUUUAAUAAUUCAAGAAAAGCUUUUUGUUAAUCAAACUCACUAGUGCCAAGACUAGAGCAACUUACUUGGCUUGCAGUGUCGUCAGAAUUUGCUGUCAAACACAAGUUUGCUUCUUCAACAGAAUCACUUGAACUACAAGUGCUUGAUGCAGUAUCCUCCCAAGUAAUGUAGACCUUCUUCUUUUUGUGAGAUUUCUUUGCUUUUCUUUCUUUUCUUCUUUUGUUGCUUGAACAAUCAGCUUUUACAUGGCCUCUUUCACCACAUCCAUAACAUUUGAAGCUUGAUGCGGAGCCUUAAUUGUUCUCCUUCUUCUUCUUCUUCAAGAUUUGGCUUUGACUAUUUGCCAUUAAGCAUAUAUUUUCUUCCUCAUUAAAAUCGCUUGAGCUUGAGGAGUUUGAUGUAGAGCUUGAAUCACACUGUGUCAACUUAUCCACAUCUUCGACUUCAUUAUAAAUGAGUCUUCAAAAUUUCCACAUUUCUUGUGCACUUUUAUAAACAGAAGCUUUGAUGAAUUCAUUAGGGAUUAGUGUAGAUAAAAUUAUAUUUCUAGCCUUAAAAUCAAAUUGGGCUCUUCUAUUUUCCUCAACAGUGCAAUCAAAAUAUGAUUUCUCUACUUCUACACCAUCAACUGUGCUCUUAGGAAUAAAAGGACCAUUUUGUACAACUUCCCAGAUGCCUCUGUCAACCGACCCCAAAAAAAUUUCCAUUCUAACUUUCCAGAAAGCAUAGUUAUCAUUAGUAAAAAGUGAUGGUCUGUUAGUAGAAGCACCCUCAGUAUAUACAAGGUUUUGGUUGUGAUUGGCCAUUUUCGCAAAUAUUUUGAAAAACUAUCAAAGCAAGCUCUGAUACCAACUGUUUGUACCAGGAGGGUAUGAUUCGAAGAGUAUAACGCAGCGGAAUAAAACUAAGAGUAGCGUAUAAGCAUGUUCGGUCACCUUUUUAAAACAAGUUGGUCCUUUUUCGAAAAGCAAUUUUCUAUCAGAAAAUUUAUCGAACAGUUAAUAUGCGUAAAAUGAAAUGAGUGUAAGGAAUAGAAAAAUCACACAAGUAUUUUUAUACUGGUUCGAUUCAACAGAAUCUAUGUCCAGUCGUUAAUCACUAUAAAUAGUGAUUAACAGUUCCACUAAAAAGAUGUUUUUCAGAUUACAAUUAUAGUGAAUGAAAGACAGACAAAUAAACCUUCCUUCGAUGAACGAACCAGAAGAAGAACACUCUACCAACUCGAAGAGAACCGCUCCGACAAUCGACCAACGAUUCGCGAGCUUCUCCUAUUUACGAGACCUGACAGAGCACGUUGCUAACUCGAAGAGAUCCUGCUCCGACUAUCGACACACGAUACGCGAGCCUCUCCUAUUCACGAGACCAAGCAAGGGAACUUUGAAUGAAGCUUCUGAGAACUUUCCUCUGACAAACAGUGUUCUACUUAGCUAUCAGUUCAAAAAGGUUGCCUCUGAAAUUUACAGAAGUCAAAUAUAUAGCCAAUUGCACUGAAUGCCAAAGGUCAGGUCCCAACUGCCACGAAUAAUCGAUUAUUGUAAGUGAUAAUCGAUUAUUCAAGUCCGUUACAGGUUUUUCAAAAAGUGAUAAUCGAUUAUAUGAAGUGAUAUUCGAUUAUUCCUGAAUGACUUGUGAUAAUCGAUUAUUUCUUUCCCAUAAUCGAUUAUUCCAGUAGAAAAUACAAGUGAUAAUNGAUUAUUGCUUGUCCAUAAUCGAUUAUUGCAAUUAAAAAUGCAAGUUUUACAAAGUUUAUAAGACUUUCCUACUACAUUUAAUUUCUACAAAUUGCUUUUAAAUAAUUUUAAACUCCUCUUCAACUAAGACUUCUUGCAGCAUCAUCAAAAUAAUUGUCUUCAAGAUUUACCAAUACUCCUUAUUGGUAACAAUUUGUAGAUCCCCUAGCCCUGAGUUUUAGAGAUAGGUCUCUAUUAGAGCAUAUCUUGUUAUUUGCUUGCCAUUUCCUCUAUGUUAUAAUUCUGUUUUUUUUAUGAUGAUGUAAUCUUUAUUUUCAUAAAUAAAAUGAUCUCUUAAUUAUAUGCAUAAUUUGUUUAAUUGAGGGGGAGCACAUAUUUAAGGGGAGCUCAUAUUUAGGGGGAGCUCUUUACGUUAAUCUUUUUGUUUAUGAUAUAAAAAGGGGGAGAAACAUAAUUUAAGGACAUAAUUUAAGGGGAGAAGCAUAAAAUACAGGUAUUGCUUAACUCUGUUGUUGUUUGUUAGAUUGUAUGUUUUUGUAGGAUAGCCAAAGUUGCUUUUAAAACAGUAUUUUUGAUCAUCAUCAAAAAGGGGGAGAUUGUUACCAAUAAGGAGUAUUGGUAAAUCUUAAGACUUUUGUUUUGAUGAUGCUGCAAGAAGAUUUAGUUGAAGAAGAGUUUAAGUUUAUUUAAAAACAAUUUGUAGAACUUAAAUGUAGUAGGAAAGCUUUUCAAACUUUGUAAAAAUUACAUUUUGAACUACAAUAAUCGAUUAUCGUGAAGCAAUAAUCGAUUAUCACAAGUCAGCCAGGAAUAAUCUAUUAUCACUUCAUAUAAUCGAUUAUCACUUUUUGAAAAACCCGUAACGGACUUGAAUAAUCAAUUAUCACUUACAAUAAUCGAUUAUUCGUGGAAGUUGGGACCUGACUUUUGGCAUUUAGUGCAAUUGGCUAUAUAUUUGGCUUCUGUAAACUUUAGAGGCAACGUCUUUGAACUGAUAGCUAAGUAGAACACUGUUUGUCAGAGGAAAGUUCUCAGAAGCUUUGUUCAAAGUUCCCUUGCUUGGUCUCGUGAAUAGGAGAGGCUCGCGUAUUGUGUGUCGAUAGUCGGAGUAGGAUCUCUUCGAGUUAGCAAGGUGCUCUGCCUGGUCUCGUAAAUAGGAGAAGCUCGCGAGCCGGAGCGGUUCUCUUCGAGUUGGUAGAGUGAUCUUCUUCUGGUUCGUUCGUCGAAGGAAGGUUUAUUUAUCUGUCUUUCAUUCACUAUAAUUGUAAUCUGAGAAACAUCUUUUUAGUGGAACUGUUAAUCACUAUUUAUAGUGAUUAACGACUGGACGUAGAUUCUGUUGAAUCGAACCAGUAUAAAAAUACUUGUGUGAUUUUUCUAUUCCCUACACUCAUUUCAUUUUACGCAUAUUAACUGUUCGAUAAAUUUUCUAAAAGAAAAUUGUUUUUCGAAAAAGGACCAACUUGUUUUAAAAAGGUGACCGAAAACGCUUAUACGCUACUCUUAGUUUUACUCCGCUGCGUUAUACUCUUCGAACCAUAACCCCCCUGGUACCAACAAACAUUACCAUAUAAAAAGGCGUUUUCACUGCUAAGUAUAGUGGUGAUUUCGCAGCAAACUCCGGUUGGUGAAGUCCUCGAAGCCUCGACAUUGCCACCGUGCCCCCUUUCUUCCGCGGAUUCAGACGAACAAUCUAAAACAGUGCAAGGAUCCAUCGUUACCUGAAGAGAAGUGCGACAGUGAAGGCUAGAGAAUUUGGAGGAGAAAGAAGUUGGCGCAGAAAUGACAAAUGAUGAUUGAGUAAACCAGUGUUUUCAAAUAUCCUUUCACAUUAAUGAGGGGAAACUGACAUAACCGCAAGCGAUGUGCACCGUAGGAUCAAGAUGAUCUUUCGGUCGUACUUUUGGGACUCUGCAGUUGCCUCAAAGGCGGGAAAACCUAAACGAUUGUUUGGUAAAUGAAAUGUCUACAUUAAAUGGUGCACAUUAAGGAACCCUCAUGUCGAGCAUCACUCCGAAGUCCUAUAGUUAACCUGACCAUACAACCGGACGAUUAACUCAGACUUGGGGGGCAUUAUGUAUAAUAUGAUAUCUAGGCCGAGCGGUUAGCAUCCAAGUCCAAUAGAGGAUAAAAUGAUCAAAGAUAUCUAAUUAAAGAUAUUGAUAAAGUUGUUUAUCUGUAACCGUUGUUUUUGAGCAACCGACAGGAUUUUAAGGUAAAUAUGUUUAAGGUAAGUCUGUUUAUAUUUUAUUAGGCUUGUGAUAACUAAUAAAUACAGGAUCAAGGCUAAAAGCCAGGUAUGCUUCACUCACACUCGAAAAUACUCUAUAGUGAUAACAAAGUCACUUUCUAAAGAGCAAAAGCUCUACAACCUACGCCUAACUUGAGCGUCAGAGUGCAUUUUGCAGGUACAUCUCCCCUCUGCUGGUGAAGGAGUGCAAGUGGUGCAAGAUGAAGAAGUGCGAACGACGCCAUCGAAGGAGAACGAGCGAUACAGGCUGAAGGAAAGUGUUUGGCUCCAACGAAGGGUGAGCGAACGAUCUACACUACGGAGAAGCAAACAUAUCAAGCGUCCAGAAGUAGCAAAGAGACGUCAACGAGAUUAGUCUCUCAGUCCCAUAGAUCCAUACUAAAACAAAAUGUAUUGGCAGAACCACGAUUUUGUUACAUUUAUUUUUCUUAUAUAAUGUAAUAAUAUUUAACAUGAUUUAUGAUUAUAGAUAAUAUAAAUUUUAUAAAAGAAUAUGCAAAAUAUUCAGGUUAGACAAAAGAAGUAUAACUUAAAUUAAACAUGAUUAAUUUUUUUUCCUAAUUUGUCUAACAUAUCAUUUAAAAGGGUUUUAAGGUAACAUUAAUUUUAAGAGUGUUACUGAUGACUUUCCUCUCCAUCCCUCAGGCAAAAACCGUGAGAAUCCAAUAUAUAUAUAUAUAUACAUAUAAAUACCUUUUUAUUUUAUUUUAGAUAUUUAAAAGUUAAAACCUAUGUUAGGUGUCUUCAAAACAUAACGGUUUGGGAAAAACCUUUUUAUUCACUAUAUACGUGUAUGAGUAUAUGUUGUUCAUUUAUGUCUAGAUGUAUGUGGCCUUUAUGGUAUGAUCCAAAACAUCAAGACAUCUUGGCCAAAUACAUUUUGAUCAAUCGAAAUCAUUAUAUAAAAAACGUUGAUUGAGUUUAUUUAACAUGGUGAUUAUAAAGUAAGAUUAAGUAACUUGAAUGACUAAAAACUAAUUAUAAUAAUUAACAUGGGUCAUGCUUAUCCAAGUAAAAGGCUCAUAACACAUGGUAUACGUAGCAGAAUACAUAAGAUAAAUUAAUCACUUCUAUUAUUACAACAUUUAUUACAUUUUCAUGCACUUGUCUAACUUGAACAUUAAAGUAUCUUUUGUAGAUAUAACUCCCUUUUGUUUGAUACCAAGCCCCUCUAAAGGGAACUAUCAAUAUAAUAUUUGGGUGGAUUUGCUAGAGGAGACUCAUCGUCACAGCUAGGAAGCAACACCUUAAAAUUGUGCAGUCUGUUAACGUAGUAUGUAGAACCUAUAACAAAAAAAGAAUGCCUCAUAUUAUGUUCACGGAUGUUGAAUUUCAAGGGAUAGACCCUGAGCAGGAUGACCUUAUGGUCAUCAUGAUGGAAAUUGAGAAAUUGUUUGUCAAGAAGAUCUUGGUAGAUCAACUUAGUUUAGUAGACAUACUAUAUUGGAAGACAUAAAAGAAGUUAGAGUUGUUGGAAAAGGCGAUGACCUUGUAUGAUGAGCUCAUAUUCAGGUUUUCUAGAGAAAAGGUUGAUACUAAGGGGUAUAUCGACCUAUAUACCACCUUCGGGAAAGGAAACUUGAUGAAAAACAUACUUAUAUGGUAUCUGGUUAUAUAUAACAUUUUCUUGGGACGAUCAUCAACCAACCUCUUCAAGUAACGAUGUUGUUAUGUGCAAGUUGUGUUAAGCUCUAAACCUUGUUGGUUGCGUAUUGCCGACCAAACAAGGUAUGGAUAGUUAAGAAGUUGUACACUAAGUUGGAUGGCUAAGUGUUGAACUAUGCUAGCGCUUUCCCCUUUAAGGAUAGCGUGAAGGCCUAAGACCACAUGAAAUUGAUCCUGCUAAAAAAGAUCAUGGUGUUGAAAAACGUCCGUUGGUUAUCGUCGGGGUCAGUUGGCCCAUCGUAUUUCUCGAAUGCUGGAGGCAUCCACCGCUCGGGCAUGAACUCAUCCAUGAUAGCAACUUUAAGAGGUAACAGACUAUCCGUUUACAAAGUUUUCAUUGUGAGAGAUUCCUUGCUUGCUCCCAUAUGACUUGUUCACAUUCGAAGGACCAGCCCUACUUAGUACAAAGUUUUAGGCAGUCUUCUCGUGACGUAGAGUUGCAUUCUCAGUCCUCAACACCGCUAUCUCAACUUCAUGUCUCCUUUACAACUCUUGUAUUUGUCUUUGCAUCUCCCUAAUCAACUCCAUAGGAUCUUGUUGCUUACCCAUGUUUCUUAUGGUCACCAUUAGGUUUUCUUGUACUUCCUUGAACUCCACGGUGGGUGUCAAAAAUUUUCGGUUUAUGGAGUUGAGGUUAUGAAUCUUCCAAGUUUUAUUCGUCCAAUCGUUAAUCCUAGUCACCAUUUUUCCUUCACAUCAUUUGGUCGUAUUGGGAGAUUACCUAUGAAAGACACUCUAAUGCCAGAGUGAGCAAAGAUUUGACAGUUUUAGUAAUAAAUGUAACCAACCUACCUCUUUACUUCAAACCUAUAUUAAUAGUUUUUGGAACAUGCUUAGAAUUAAUGUUGACCUAAUUAUGACUCAAUUGGUGACAACCGUGUUUUAUAUUAAGUUAAUCAUCAUUAUCCUACGUAGUUGUCCACCCUCCUCAAUAUCCACAUUGUUGCCACCGCUAAGUUUAGUGUCACCACUCAAGUUGCCACCACUAUUGGUCGCCUCUCAUGUUGUCGUUUACUCAUGCCACCACUUCUACACGUUCUACUCAUGUUGUCGCUCGUUCGCUCAUCACGUUGUCGUCACUAUUCUUGACCCAUUACCACCAUUGUUCGUUUCGUGUUGUUGUCUUGUGUUUGUUCCCAUUCUCGUUGUUGCUGCUCGCAAGGCAUUGUUGGUACUCUACUCGUUUGCUUACGUCUCAUGACACGUUGUUCUUUCCAUCUUGUUCACUCUUCAUUCUACGUAAGUUUAUUUAUUUUAAUAUGAGUAAAGUUUUUAUUUGUUUUAUUGGUGAUGUUUCAAAGGUUGACCCUAUUUCAAAGGUAGUUUAAAGCAUUUGAAGAAAUGACGUUCUCGUUAAAUUUUUUUACUCUUUUUUGUAUUUAACAAUGAUCAUUUGAACCAUUAUCGUUUUAUCCCGACUUUUAAUGACAACUAUAUCUACAACAAUUCAAAAGUCGUUAUUGGAGGACCAUUUUAACCGUCGACGAAAGUUUGUUCUAUAGUUGUGUUAAAUUGAAUUUGACUCUUAGGAUCAAUAAAUAUUCCUUUUCCAGCUUGUUUGAGGUAGCGUAAAAUUCUUAAAGCACCUUGAUGCACAACUUUAGUAAUAUCUGACCUAACAACAAUAGAAAAUUUAACUGAAUGAUUCGUAGGAGUUGAAACUGGAGCAUGAUGUCAGUCUUGUAUCUUCAAGUUCUGUUGACAUAGGUGAACAUCGUCUUUAUAUCUUACAGCUUCCACCCAGAGGAAGUCAACUCACCGAGGUUCUUUAUCUUAAGUUCUUUUGAGAAGUUCAAUUAUCCUUUCAAUUUAAAUAAUGUUGGCUCCAAUAAUGAUGACAUCAUCUACAUAAGAAAAGUAUUAAAGAAGUCAAGUCCUUCAAUUGUGUAUAUCCUUUAGUUACAAGACUUGUCUUAUAUAUAUAUAUAUAUAUAUAUAUAUAUAUAUAUAUAUAUAUAUAUAUAUAUAUAUAUAUAUAUAUAUAUAUAUAUAUAUAUAUAUAUCAUCAACUUUCCAUUUAGGUUUAUAGACCCACUUGCAUGUCUGAUUAUAUUCUAGAGCAACCACUUCCUCAUCCAUUACUUUUUACCAAUGUGCAUGUUUGGGAACCUUUUUAUAUAGUUUUGGUUUGUCAUUGGUAGGGAUGGUAACAGGUCGGGUCAGGUACGGAUAGUGUGAUACCCGAAUCUAACCUGCAGGUAAAAAUUGUACCAUUUCGCCGUCUCGCUACCCGUCGGAUACUAACUUAAAAAAAACGCACGGAUUAUCCAUUCGAUACCCGUUUUCUUGUCUGAUAGAAUAAUAACAUAUGAAAAAAAUAAUAAAUAAAUAAUAAUAUAUGAAACAAAAUUUAUGGGCUGGUCCAUUUACUCUCUUUCAAAAACCACUAGGGUUUAUUCUUCUCAAACAAAGGGAGCAACCUCCAUCUUAUUCUUCUUCUCUAUUCAAGUCAAUCUCUAUUGCCCAACAGAAGCUUCAAGCUUCCUUUUUCUCCCUUUCACAACCAAACCUUAUGCCCACUAGGAGUCAUCACUCGUUCAUCAUUCAUUGUUGUGGUAUUUUGUGUAGUCUCAUUCAUCAUUCUCUGGUGUGGUGUGGUGAGAGAGAGUUUAUGUGUUGGUGUGUUGGUAAUAAUGGCGGAAGAGGAGCUUGGUAUACUCUACUUGUUCUGUGAUUUGUAUUUUUAUUAUUAUUUAUUUUCAUUUGUCAAAUGUAUGCGUUAUUGUUUUGUAGUGAUGGGAAGCUUGAGGUUGUGAUUCCUUCUUUUGUUCACUACCUCGUGGUUCUAAAAGGUGGUGAUAGGGACAAAAUGCCAGGUAAAACGAUUUUGGGGUUUUACUAUUUUUUUGUGAUAGGAUUGCAUCGAUGAUGUUGUUGAAGUUGCAACAUUUAUAAAGCAUAAAAUAUAUGUUGUUUCCCAUUAUUUUCUCCACAAGCCUUAUUUUUGUGUGUGGAUAUACUAAAGGUUAUAAGAAUUUGUUCAGGCUAAGUUGUCUGCUGAUAGGGAUGAUGCUUGGAAAGAACGAGAAGCUGUUGUCUUGGCCCUUGGUGCCAUAGGUGAAGGUUGCAUCAAUGGUCUUUAUUCUUAUCUGUUGGAGGUAUUUUUUAUUCGAAGUUGUUGUAGUGUUUGAUUGUUCUAGGUCUAGUCGUCAUGUUUUACCCUAUUUAUAUAUUUAUAUUUAUAUAGUCUGAUCUCUCUUUAUAUAAUUUGACCCUGUUACCAUUCUGGCACAACAUUGUAUAAACAACAUUGUAUAAGAAGAUGAUGCAACAAGAUAUUCGACAUAGCCCAACACUGUGCACUAAUGUUGGUGGCCCAAUUGGCUUCAGCCCAAGAAACGUCAAAAGGGUUUUGGCAAAACAGAAGCGUCAUUUAGACGAGAAAGGAUUUCUUGUGAGAGGAGAGAGAACAGAGCAUCGAGAGGUCUCCGAGGAAUGCGAUAGCGAGAACUUCCGGCGGAGGCUGCGGUGGCCGGAGACGAAGAAGACAAAGUUGAUCAGCGUAAGGAGAUCGGUAAGAAAAACACAAUCUUUUAUUAUUUCUAAAUAAAACUCAUACAUGUAUAAUGUUUCUGUAUUCUACUCUUAAGGGAAGAACUAUUAUAUGUAUAUAUAGAGUUCGAAGGGGGGAAAAACGGGAAAAGGGAAAAACACUCAAACCGAAUACCACGUAAUUGUCCUUCUGACAGUAACGGAAAAACUAACAAUCCUCAAAAGCCUCCCCUCAAGCUGGACGGUGUAUACUCACCAGUCCAAGCUUGGGAACAAUGGUUCUGAACUUGACACGGUGUGGAAAUUUAGUGAAAAGAUCUGUCAGUUGCUCGUCGGAUCGAACGGGAAGGAGAUGAAGAAGACCCUCUUGUAUCUUCUCACGAACAACAUGGCAAUCAAGCUCUAUGUGCUUGGUGCGUUCGUGAAAGCUCUGAUUAUGAGCAAUAUGCCUCGCGGACCUGUUGUCACAGUACAAAACAGGGGUUCCGGAUUCUUCUAUCUGAAGGUCCUGUAGGAGAUAACAAAGCCACUAUAUUUCACAUACAAUGGCAGCAAGAGCACGAUAUUCAGCUUCUGUAGAGGAUCUGGAGACCGUCUUCUGCUUUUUAGACUUCUAGGAAAUGAGAGACGAUCCAAGAAAAACACAGAAGCCUGUGGUGAAUCUUCGAGUGUUGGGACAAGUGGCCCAAUCAGAGUCACUAAAACCUUUUAGCUUCAUAGGAGAAUCUGUAGCAAAGAAUAAUCCUUGGGACGGCUCGGAUUUGAUGUACCUGAGAAUGCGUUGAACAGCACGAUAGUGAUAACUAGUAGGGGUUUGCAUGAAUUGAUUGGAUAAAAUUGGCAGAUAUUAGAAAGGUUGACAGUUUUCCAAACCAUUGCCUAAUGGCUUGUUCCAUAUAAAGAUUUAGUUAACUUGCAAGCCUGUCCUUUUUGGAUGUUCAAACCUAGGGGUGGUUCCAUAUAGACCUCUUCAUUGAGAUCUCCAUGUAAAAACGCAUUAUCUACAUCAAGUUGAUGUAGAAACCAAUUGUGUGAAGCAACUAGAGCUAUGCAUAAUCUGACAGUAGUUAGCUUGGCCACAGGAGAAAAGGUAUCCAGAUAAUCAAUUCCUUCCUGUUGGGUGUAUCCCUUUGCCACCAAUCGAGCCUUAAGCCUUUCAAUGCUACCAUCUGCCUUAUACUUGGUCUUGUACACCCACUUACACCCUAUGGGGGUUUUUCCUGAAGGAAGUUGUACUAAAUCCCAAGUCUUCUUAUCCUGUAAAGCUUUAAUUUCUCUUUUCGUGGCUUCCACCCAUUUAGCCAUUCCCUUAGCUUGAUUAUAAGAUUGAGGAUCCUUGUUUUCAGUGACAGCCAAUGUAUAUCUUAAGUGUUUCUCUGUCAAAUUAUCACAGCAUAAUGAAUUAGAAAUCGGAUAAGGAGUCUUAAAAUUGUUUUUCAUAGUUAAGGAUUGAUUGACCUGGUGAACAUAGUCUUUGAGAUAUUCCGGUGUCUUUCUAGGCCUUUCGAAUCUCCUUUGCUCACGAACCUCCUGAUUGUUUCCUGUACUGCAACUAUUUUCUCUAUUAUCAGAUGUCUGUUGUAUCUGUUCUUCAUUUUCAGCAUUAGGUUCAGUGUGUCUGUCAUUGUUUGUGGUACACUGAUCUCCCAGUAGAUUGUGGAGAGAGUCUGCCUUGUCUCCUUCACUGUCAAUAUUUUCAGCAUUUCCUUGCUGAUUUUGGUAAGGGAAGAUGUCUUCAUGAAAGACAACAUUUCUCCUUAUAAAAAGUUCCCUGGUGUUCAAGUCAAGUACAAUAUAACCCUUCAUACCAGGUUUAUAUCCUAGAAAUAUACCUUUCCUAGCUCUUGGAUCAAGUUUACCUCUGUUGUUCUCAAGUGUGGAAGCAAAACACAAACAUCCAAAGGAUCUUAGAUCUAAGUAAGUGGGAGGAAGAUUAUACAACAGAUCAUGAGGAGUCUUGUUAUUUAAAAAGGGAGUGGGUAAUCUAUUUAUUAGGUAAACAACAUGUCCUACUGCAUAGGACCAGUAAGAGUUAUGUUCUUAACACAACUUUUUUGAUGUAUAAUGCCAUGUGAAUCGUAAAAAUUCAUGCAGUUGAAUUCAGGUCCAUUAUCUGAUCUAAUGACCUUAACCAUUUUGUUAAAUUGAUUUUUGAUCUUAAUAACGAAGUUUUGUAGUAAGUCUCUAGCUUGUCCUUUAUUGUUCAUUAGAAAAAUCCAUGCAUGCCUACUAUAGUCAUCUACUAUAGUAAGAAAAUACCUAUGCCCAUGGACAGAAAUAGUUUUGAGAGGGCCCCAUAUAUCACAGUGUAUAAGAUCAAAACAUUCAUUAGUAAGAGAAACGCUUUUAGUAAAGGGUAAUCUGUGCUGUUUAGCAUAAUGACAAGUGUCACAAACAAUAUCAGCACCCAUUUUGAUAUAAGGAAACUUCUCACACAUUUGUCUUACAACCUUUUGUCUUGGAUGGCCUAGCCUAACAAGCCACAGAUUAAUAUCAACACUCUUAAAAGAAAAAACAGAAUUUGUAAUACAUCUUGAAUUGGAUUUUGAAAAAGCUUGUAGAUAAUAGAGGCCUCCCCAAGAGUUAGCACAUCCAAUCAUCUUCAAAGUAUUGUUCUCCCUUAUCUGACAAGUCUUAGAAGAAAAGGUUAGGCUGCAAUUCAAGUCCUUAAUAAGAUUUUGGACAGAAAUCAGAUUGAAACAGAAGUCAGGAAUGUAAAGAACAUUAACAAUGAUAAACUUUUUUGUGAAUUGCAUAGUCCCAACGUAUUCAGUAGUAAUUAUCGUGUUGUUAAGUAAUCUGAUAGGAACAGGUUUGAUCUUAUAAAAGGUCAUAUAAUUCGUUUUAUCAUGUAUGACGUGAUCAGUAGCACCAGUAUCUAAAAUCCAGGAUAGGUUACCUUUUUCAUUUUCAGUAUUGUUUCUCUGGACUUGAUUAAUCUUGUGGAUAGAUUCAUCGCUUUUAUCUAUCAUUCUGAGUAAUUUCUGCAUUUGUUUAGUUGUGAGGGAAUUUAGAAUGUUGCCGUUAUUGAUCUGUUAAAUGUUUUGAACCCCUUCAGUCCCAUUGCUAUUCGAGCUAACAUUAGCAGAACUCCAAUAAUUUCUUUUCUCAGAAUUAUUGUCCCCCUUUUUGUACCAAGGAGGAUAUCCAUGCUUAGAAUAGCAUUUGUCCACUGUGUGAUUCAUUUGUUGCAAAAAGAACAUUGCUUUCCAUAGUUAGAAUUUUUGCCUCUACCUCUUCCUUGUCCACGUAAUCCAGGACCUCUUCCUUGAUUCCCUUGAUUUUUCCAAUUCUGAUCAGGCUUCCAGGAACUACUUCUGUCAGCAGCAUUAGCCAAAAUCUUGAUUUCAGCAGAGACUUGCUUUUCUUGUCUCUCUUGUUGCAUAAUAAGAGAGAAGACACGGUUAAUGUAUGGAAGAGGGUCCAUCAACAGGAUCUGUGUCCUGACAAUGUUGUAGGAAUCAUUUAGUCCUUUGAGAAAACAGAUCACAUGUUCAACUUCCCUGUAUUUCAAAGAACAUCUGGAGAGAUCACAGUUGCAAGGGGUUGGACAUGUGCAUGUGGGUAUGGGUCUUAAAGACUCUGGUUCUUCCCAUAGAAUCUUAAGGUCAGUGACAAAUUGGCUGACUCCUCGCUCUCCUUGUUUGAUGGAGUGUAUGUCCUGAAGUAAGUCAGAUAUCUUGAAAUAAUCCCCCUUUGAAAAACGUUCUUUCAGCUCAUCCCAUAGUUCUUUUGCCUCCUCCACAUAUAUGACGCUUUUAGCUAUCUCAGGGGAGAGAGUUUUUGUUAUCCAAGAUAAGAUCAUCAUGUUGCACCUCUCCCAGGCAUCAAACAAAACAUCCAUUCUUUCCGGUUUCUUUAUCGUACCAUCAAUGAAUUUAACCUUAUUCUUGGAAAGCAAGGCACGUCGCAUGCUCCUGCUCCAUGAGGAGUAGUUGUUGUCGUUUAAAACUUGAGUGAUCAAGGUGAGUCCAGGAUUUUCACCUGGGUGUAGAUAGAAGGGACUAAUUGGGUUGGAUGACUGAUCCAUCUGUUCCAUGAAGAAGCCUAGAAAAGUAAUCCAAGAAGAUCUUCAAGAAAGAAGAAGCGAACAACGGAAGCAGAGUAGGCACUAGACCUGCUCUGAUACCAUAUUCGACGUAGCCCAACACCGUGCACUAAUGUUGGUGGCCCAAUUGGCUUCAGCCCAAGAAACAUCAAAAGGGUUUUGGCAAAACAGAAGCGUCAUUUAGACGAUAAAGGAUUUCUUGUGAGAGGAGAGAGAACGGACCAUCGAGAGGUCUCCGAGGAAUGCGACGGCGAGAACUUCCGGCGGUGGCUACAGUGGCCGACGACGAAGAAGACAAAGUUGAUCAGUGCAAGGAGAUCGGUAAGAAAAACGCAAUCUUUUAUUAUUUCUAAAUAAAACUCAUACAUGUAUAAUGUUUCUGUAUUCUACUCUUAAGGGAAGAACUACUAUAUGUAUAUAUAGAGUUCGAAGGGGGAAAAACGGGAAAAGGGAAAAACACUCAAAUCGAAUACCACGUAACUGUCCUUCUGACAGUAACGGAAAAACUAACAAUCCUCAAAACAAGACAUGAUUAAAAGCUGUGAAUGUUAAAUCGUAUUUUUUGGAGCAUGACUAACAUUUUUUAUUAUGUUUUGCUGAUAUGGUUCAUCAAUAUCUACAUUUAAAGGGUUCUAACUGAGACUCAGAGCUCAAAAGUGCAUAUAUUGUGUUGUUGGAAGAGAAUAGAUUUUAAAUUUUACUUCUGUGAUGAUUAGUAGUUGUACAUAGGAGGUAAAAACCAAUUUGGUUCAAGGCAUUUCAUGAACUUGGAAUUUAUGACAUGCAGGAGAACAUUCCUCUUGAAGAGGUUUUUGAUAAUCUUAAAUGCAUAAGAGAAGGCUUAAGCUCUCAACAAGUACAAGAGAGGCUAGACUUGUUUGGAUACAAUAAGCUUGAAGAAAAGAAGGUAAAAAGUCAAACAUCAAUGCCUUUUUAGUUUCUUAUUUCUUUUUCGAAAUGUUUAUCAGGUUUCUCAUGAAUAGCUUCGGCAUAUACCUUUUGAUAAUUGAACAGGAAAGUAAGAUAUUGAAGUUUUUGGGGUUUAUGUGGAAUCCUAUGGGUUAUGGAAGCUGCUGCUAUCAUGGCCAUAGGCAUGGAGGGGUAAAUCUUCACCUUUGAUAGUGUUAUAUCAAACCUAUGAUAGUGGAUAAAUCUAUUACUUACAUAUAUAACACUAAAUCUCGUUGUUAGUUUAUAAUAAUUUCAUAAAGAGAACAAUUCCCUCUUAAAGAUACAUUGUUUCUAUAUUUUUAUAUUAUACAUAUUUACAUAUUGCUCGUUGCUAUAUUACUAAACUUCUGGUUUUCUGAAUGCAGACUUCUCUUCAUGGAAGUUGUCCAGUGAUUAAGGGAGAGAAAUGGGUGGCAACAAAGUGAAUUGAUGAUGAAGAGCAAUAGUACUACAACAAAAAUGAUUUUAAACAACAAUGAAAUACUACGACCUAAAGAGUAAAAACCGUUGCGUAAAUUGUGAGUGUAGAAAUUUAUCUUCUAAAAUUUUGAAUAUUUGUAUUUUAAUAUUUAAUGAAUAUUAUAAUUUGGUAAUUGGAACAUAUCCUGCCACUCAAGCUUCAAGAUUAUUUUGCCGAUAGCCAUUCUACUGAAACGGAUCCUGUCACUCAAGAAUAAUGAGUCUUAUCUUGAUUAUUAUUGUUUAGGCUUUUAGAGUUUAAUGUGUAGUAAGUAUUGCUAUAUAUCCUGUCACACCUUAUUCUUUCUAUGUUGAAUGUAUUUUAUUUCAUGCUUUUAACUAGUUAUACCUUGAACACUUUCUCUUAGCAAUUUUAUUGUCUUGCCAAUUUUUUUGGAUCAUUAUUAUUUUUCUCUUGUAAUAGACAAUGAAAUUUUAUUUUAUUUGUCUUUAUUUUUUUAGGAGAUGAAAUAUAAUAUUGGGUAAAUGAGUAACAACAAAUUUAAAAGAUAAUAUUAGUACAUUUGAUUGAAUGUCAAAAUGUCAGCCUGUUUUUUUUUUUUUUAAAAAAAAAACCUGAAUCUAUUAUAACAAACUUUUUUUGCUAUGUUAUUAUAACGUACUUUUUUAUGAGGUUGAAUCUAUUAUAAUGUACUUUUUCAUUACGUCAUAAAAUUUGUAGACUUAUUAUAUCGCUCAGAGUUAUAUCUUCAUUUUGUACGUUAAAAUAGGUCAUUUUUGUAUGUUAUAAAAUGUGAUUUUUGUGCUGUCCAUACAGGGCGUCUAAGCUCUGUGUUGUCCCUCCUCCUAGUGUUUUUCCAAGCCUUUUUGUCUCCUUGGUUCUUCAUCUCUAUUUCCAGUAUUACUUCAUUCUCUACCAAAACAAUGGGAAUUAGUCAUAGAAUCAUUUAAAUCAACAUCCACUCUCUUAUUCACACAACUUAAUGCAAAAGCAUGAGUCAAAGCAAGUUUCUAAGUGAAAAAGGAUGUUUUUAGUAUCAAAGUCACAUUACAUAUAACAACAUUUUCAACCGUUAUCAUAGUGCGUAUUGCAGCAGCCAAAGCUUGAAGUUUACACUGGUUUUAAACAUUAUUUUGAGCUUUUUGAACCUUCAUAUCACGGAACCAUAAAAAACCAUGAGAACAAAGAUAUAUAUAUAUAUAUAUAUAUAGAGAGAGAGAGAGAGUGAGUGAAGAAAAAAAACCAUAAAGUUAGAAAAAAAGAAGAAGUGAUAUAUUAAAGAAAGAGAUAUAAUUGUGUGCAUACGAAGUCCAACAGUGAUCUUAGUACAAACUUUGAGAAUGUGAAACCUUUUGUAUUAUUCUUAACUUCGUAAAUUUAGCACAAAUGAGCUUAAUAUAUACUCUCUCUUUGGAGAGUUUUUUGUUAUUUCAAGAGUUCUUAAUUUUUGGAAAAGAUUGAAAAAUUGUACCUGAGAUUUAAUAAUCGUGUAAUCUGGAGAGGUGUAAUAUGAAAAUUUUGAUGUACUUGCUGUAAUCAAAAUUUUAUUUGAUUAGUGAAAUUUUUUAUAAGGAAAACUUAAUAUAUUGUGAAGAUUUGGGAUAAACUAUCAUAAAAUUUUAUUUAUGGUUGGUUUGUUUAUUUUAAGUUAUUUUAAUUUUAUGUUAUGCAAAAAAGAGUUUGAGACUCUGUUCAAUCCUCUUUUUAGAACUUUGUACGAGGAAGAUGAGAUUUUGAGAAAAAAAUAAAACAAACAAAAACAAAAGAAAGAAGAAGAGAUGAAAGAGAAAAGAAGGUGCAGGGGUUUCAUAUGCAACAACUCAUGUUUUAUUUAAAUGAAAAGAAAUUAAAGACUUUACAAAUUAGUUAAAAUUUAUAUUAUAUAUAUUUUACAAUUUAUAUUUGUACUAAUAUUUUCACUGCUCUCAACUGGUCUGUGGUUAAUGACAUAUUGAAUAAUUUGAACACAUUGCUUGUAAGUUCUUCUACGUUAUGAGCAAAAUCAUCAAUUGAAUAAUGACUAAAAAAAUAAUAAGAGAACCAAAUACAAUUAAUAGAAAAGGAAUUCAGCAAUGAAAAAUACAUAGCAUUUUUUAAAAUACAUAAUUACAAUUUUUCUAUGUUUUUAGUCAAUAUAUAAUUAUUUUUAGGAGUACAACAACUAUUAAUAAUAUAUAACCAAUACAACAAUAUAUUCAAAAUAAAACAAAUUUGUUAGCUCAAGGGAAAUGAAAUCCUUCAUCACAGUCUUCUAUCAACAAAAUAAUCAGAAAAAAGACACUCAUAUUACAACUAAACUUGGAAUUAAAUAUCCAUAAGGUACCUACAACACAUUCAUAUUAGAACUAAACUUUGAAUCAAAUAUCCUAUGCAGUGCAAAGUGAUAAAGUGAUAACGUUCUUGCUUAACUUCUUUUGUUUUCAAUGAAGGCACAAUUGAAUUUGAACAAAGUGUACAACAAAACAACCCCAAGUCAUGCAACCAUUCUCACAAGCCAUUGAGGCUUUCCUAUUAAUAACACACAACAUCCCAUUCCCAUUCCAAAUACCAUUCCACAUCCAUAUCCUAUUGCCACCGCUUUCCAUCCAAAUCCAUAUCCAUAUCCAUGUUCUCUCUUGAAGGGCACUGAAGGUGGAGAAUGUUCUUCAAUGUCCUUGUUGCAUUUUUUUGUCAAUGGGAACCCACAUAACUCAGAGUUUCCCUUAUAGGAAUCAUUGGAAAAUGUAUUGAAUUGUUUUCCUUGAGGUAUUUCUCCCACAAUAUGAUUAUUGGAAAUAUUCAGAACUUCCAGAAAGUUCAAAUUGGUUAGUUCUGUAGGAAUCAUACCAGUAAGCAUAUUUGAGGACAGAUCUAGCGAUUCUAAGUUUGUCAAAUUUCCCAGGGAUUGAGGAAUAGGACCACUAAGUGUGUUAUGAGAAAGGUUGAGCGCUCUAAGAGCAUGAAGUUCUCCAAUCACGUUUGGAACCUCUCCUUCAAAUCUGUUUUCUGAUAAAUCAAUUGUUACAAAGUCUGUCCGAAUUUUCUGCAUUGUAACAACGAUUGAUUUUGUUGUUAUAGUCAAAGAAUCAUAACCUGAAUAACUUUUGAUGUAUUCCUCAUAUUCAUCUUGAACAACAUUCUUCAUAGCUUCAAACAUUCUUAUGUAGACCUCUGGUAUUGGGCCGCUGAAGUUGUUGGAAGAGAUAUCAAGUAUAACUAAAUUGGCAAACCCAUGUUUGGUCUUUAAAUUUUCAAUGGGGCCAUGAAACUUAUUGGAUCGCAAAACCAAUAAUCUUAAAUGUGAUAGACCUUGAAGCCAAUUAGGAAAUGCACCUUCUAAUUGAUUGUUGGCAAAAUCUAAACCCACUAGAGUAAUGCAAUUGGACAUAGAUUCUGGCAAAGAACCUUUUAAUUGGUUGUCAUUGAGAUUCAGAAUUUUGAGCAGACAGUUCUUUGAAAAGCCACUUGGCAAAGUGCCAUGAAGUUUGUUGUGUUGUAGAUCCAAAACAGAAAGGAAUGAUGAGUUAGCAAGGCAUUGUGGAAUGAUGCCCGUCAACUUGUUGUGUGACAAGUUGAGAUACUCAAUUGAACUUGCAUUGCAAAUUGAGGAAGAGAUGCCACCAGUGAUUUUGUUAAAACUAAAAUCAAGAUAACUAAGUUGUUGGUUCCAUGAAAAUUGGUCCAGGGAUUGCUCCAAUUGGUUGUGAGAGAGGUCCAACAUAGAUAAUGACCUAAUUUUGGGUAACCACUUGGGAAUUUUUCCUUUGAUUUUGUUAUUGGAUAAAAAGAGAAGUAUUAAUAUUGGUACUUUUCCUGAUAACUUUGGAAAUUCAGUUAAACUCGUAGAAGAUAGGUCCAAAUUCUCUAACGAGGAAAAAGUACAGUUGACAUUGGAUUCAAAAUUAAGGAAAAACUGAUUGGAAAGAUUAAGAAAUUCCAAAUUUUGAAGCUUACAGAAAAGAGGAAAGUGAACAUAUCCACUUAAGUUGUUUGACGAUAGAUCUAUGUAAGUAAGAUUUACAGGACUGAAAAUUGUUUCUGAAAUAUUACCUUGUAGCUUGUUGUAGGACUCCAAGGAAUAUGAUGAUUCUGAACUUAGAAGCCCUGUGAACUUAUUUGUUGACAAAUUUAAAUUCACCAAAGAUGGCAAAGAUAAACACCAUGAAGGAAUUGUCCCAUUAAGCAAGUUGUUAUCUAAUGAUAAGAUAAUUAGACUUGAAAAUCCUGUUAUAUUUUUGGGCAAUGGACCCUGUAAUUUAUUAAAAGAAAAUAUCAGUUCAGAAAGUUGAGUUAAGUCAAACAAUGAAGAUGGGAUUUUUCCUUCAAAAUUGUUCUGCGAAAUAUCAAGAGCUGACAAUUUGGUUAGCCCGACAAACACGUCUGGGAUUUGACCACUGAAUUUAUUUCUGGAAAGAUCCAAGAGAGUGAGAUGUUGAAGAUUUGAAAGUGUUGAUGGUAACUCACCUCCUAAAUUGUUACUACUGAAAUCCAAUUGUUUAAAUUUGUUUGCCUGAGGAAAAACAUUCGGGAUUUCACCACUAAGAUUAUUACCAUCGAUAUAGAGAAAAGAGAGACGUGGAAGGGUUAGGAGUGAGGAUGGGAUUGAAUCCACAAGAGAGUUAUGUGAGAGGAAUAAUGAAGUAAGGUGUGAGAGGUUAGAGAAGGAGGGAGGGAUUGAAUCCACAAGAGAGUUAGAUGAGAGGUCUAGGAAAGUAAGAUGUGAGAAGUAAGAGAAAGAGGGAGGAAUUGACCCUUGGAAGUUAGAAUAUGAAAGAUCUAAGAUAUUAAGAGAAGUAGUGCUACAACCAACUUUUGGAAGGUGGGUUUGAAGGAACAGAUUAUAUGAAAGAUCGAGGUGUUGAAGAUUUGGUAAACAAAAGAUACCAUAUGUCAAGUUUUCUCUUAGCUGAGUCCCUUGAAGACUAAGAGUGACUAAGGAGGAAGACAAAUUGAGAAUGUUGAUUGAAAUUGAAGACAUGUCUGUAUCAUCCAGAACAAGCUCUUUAAGAUCUGUUGCAUUAUGGAGUAGACUCUUCCAAGGGCCUUCUUUCCACUUUAAAUCAGGGUUAAGAGAUAGAUCCAGGGAGACUAAUUUUGUAAGGUGUGAGAGUUGGGAAGGAAUUUGACCUUGGAAAGAAGAACAAGAUAAGUUAAGGUAUGUGAGACUAGCAAACCUACCAAAAAGAAAUGAAAAAUGAGAUGGAUAGAAAAUGUUGAAAGCAAGGUUGAGUGAUUGGAGAUGAGAAAGAAGGAAAAGUGUACUGUUUGGAUAGAUUUGGCCAGAAAGGCCACUGCAGGAAAGGUCGAGACCGAUCACAUGACCGGAGAUGGGGUGACAGGUGACUCCAACCCAAGAACAACAAUCUGUCUCAUUUUUCCAUGUUGCUGUCUUUGGAUAAUAACAACUAUAAUCAGUAAUAAUAGUAAAGGAGUUCUUGAAAUGAUGCAAGAGAAAGGCAUCAUAAGUGUGGCAUAAGGAAUGAGAGGAUGAAAAAUGAAAAAGUAAAAAGAGAAAGAACCAUCUCAUCCAUAACUCCAUUACUUCUAACUUUCUCAAGUCUGUGUGGUUUGAUAGAUUGUGUUGAGCACUAUAUAUAGGGGAUCACAACAUAACAGGAUGUGCGCAAAGUUAUGCUUUAAUUGUGUCGUGGACCCAUCUUCAUACUUCAGCAACACAUGUCUCAUGCAAACAACUUCAACCACACAUGUCUCACGCAAACGUUAAUUUUCUGACCGUUUACAUACUCUGUCAACUUUGACUUUUCUGCUUCGUGUCUUCAAUUUUCGCUUUUAUAUUUCUCCGUUUAAAAUGUAUUUUACAAGCUUUGACUGAAUGAUAGUGUUAGCAAAUACUUGAUUUUUUUUUUAUAUAAAAAGGAUGAAAUAUUUUAUCAAAUUUAUUGAUAUCCACAAAUUUUUGAAAAAGUACAUAAAAUAGAUAAAUCAUGUUAACACGAUUUUACAAUAUCAAAAGUUAAUGUUUUUUAAACACCACUUCAAACUAUCAAAGAGGAUGAAACUGUGUUUUAAAAAUAUAAUUUAUAUAUAUAUAUAUAUUCUUUCAGAAGUCUCGUUAUUUUUUUCUCUCUUUAUAUUGUUAUCUCUCUUUUACAGUUCAUAAUUUUUUAGUUUUUUUAAAUUUUUAUAUAAACUUAUUUUUAAUUUUAAAUUACUUUUAAUAAAAGAGUAGAUAUACACUAAUUCAUUUCUAGAAGUUAUUUUAUUUUAUCUUUUGACAUUUUUAUCAAAUAAACUUUUAGUCUACAUCAAUUGAGUUGCAGUACAAAUUAAUUAGAAUAUUCAAGCAAUUAAUGAAGGAAAUUGUGACUUAUUUGUAUUAUAUCAGAUGACUAAUUUUUCUGUAUUAUUUUAACCAUACCUAUAUCAUAAAGGAGUUUAUUCUUUUUAAAACAAUAUUGAAAUAAAUAGUAGGAAAAACAGAAGUAACACGUAGACUAGCUAUCUAGCUAAUAAUACAUUAAAUAUCGAUUCCAUUGAAUAAUAUUUCUAAUUUUUUAAGUGUUUUUCUAUAACCAAUAUGAUUAUUAAAUAUGCAAAUUUCAACCUAAAAGUAACUACUUUUAUUAUGUACAGUACCAUUAAUUAAAAAAUAAAAGAAUUACUUUAGAGACAAAAUUUUAAAUAUAUUAGAUAUUAGAUAUUCAUACAAAAUUUAAAGACAUCAACUGAUAACACGAGAAAAGUUUUGAGAUAUAAAAGUAAUUUAACCCAUUAACAGAUAUUUUUAUUCAUAUAUCUAGUCACAAUACACAAUGAAAUUAGCCAAGUGAAUCGAACCUAUACAUUAAUAACUUAAUAUAUAUACUAUUAAUUUUAGAUUGCUUAUUUGGUGGCAUAUAACAACUGUUAAAGAAAAAUUUUCUUGAAAAGUUAUAUUUGAUUUAAAGUACCAACAGAAUUGUCACGUUUCUCCUAAGAAUACUGGAUUGAAGGUGUUUGAUGAACCCUAAUCGCAAUCACCCACAAAAUCCCAAUUCAAAUCGCAAAUUUGGGUCAAAUUUGCAUCUGACCAAAAUCAGUUUACCUAAUUACCAAAUUACUCCAAUUUGAAUUUUUAAUUUUAACCCUAAUUUUAUUACAUUUCCACGUAACAAUUAAUAAUUUUUUUUAACACAUAACAGUGCCAGCACAAUGAAAACGUUACACGUCAUCAAAUAAUAGUCAGUUGGACAGCUCUGUCAUUAGCAGAAUUAAUGCCGUUAGCAAAAAGGACUAACUUGCACAGUUUUUGCAAAAAAUAGGACUUUAGUGAACUUUUUAAAAAAAGGAGGAUCACUUUGAACAAACCCCCAAAAAAGAGGGACCAAAAUAGGUAUUAAACCUUUUAUUUUAUAAAGAUCUUUUAAGUGGUGGUGUAUACAUUUUUUGAUAUCAGAUAUUUUUAAAAUUUAUAAUUUUAACUGCCAUAAUAAAUAUCAUAUUUUAAGUGGCUGUGUAUAUAUCUUAUUAUGUCAAACAUUUUUUAAAAUUUAUAAUUUUAACUGCCAUAAAUAUCAUAUUUAAUAUCAUAUUUUGUAGUGUCACCAUUCAAUUGGCAUGGUAUUUGUCUUUGUGAAAUGUUGUCAUUUGAUUUAUAAAGCAUAUUUUAUACACAUUCUUCAUUUGGUGAUUUUGACAUUCAUGACACCCAUCAUUAUCAUUGUGUUCAUAUUUAUACUAUAUGUAUCAUCUCCAAAUUUUAUUAUAAUUUGGUUACCAACAUCCAUGAUAACAUUUAUGUUUUUUGAAAACAAAUUAAUCAAUCAACAAUUUGUUGAGACUCUUAAAAAAAUAUUUUGUGGAUCCUAAUAUUGAAAAAGGGUUGGAGGGAUAUCUUACUUGUUGGUAAUCCAUAAAAAAAGUGUAGUUAUCAAUGGAUUUUUGUCUUCAGUAAAUUCAGUUUGUUUUUGUGGUACAAUCAACAUAGCGUCAUCAACAUAUAUUACAAAAGCUAUAAAGUUUGGAAAAUGGAUGUGAUAAUUGUGACUUUCAAGUUGUGAAGAAAGGCGAAGCGUUUGACGAGUUCAAUGACAAAGAUGAAAUGAUCUAAACUUGGACUUAAAACGAGAACCAUAUGAGUUUUGGUGAAGUGAUUAUGAUAAGUACUAGAAAAAUUCCAAAAUUUACAUUUGUUAUCUCUGAGACAAAGUAAAUUCACAUAUCUUAUAUCUUUAAUGAACAUAAAUUUAUGUUGAAAUUUUAACAGAUAUAAAUUUAAGUCUUCCAAUAUUACAUCUGACAUAUAAUAAACGUAAAAAAUAAAAAUAACAUACGUAAAAACAGUUUUUUUUUUGUUAAUAUAUAUAUAUAUAUAUAUAUAUAUAUAUAAUAAGAUUUUUACUAUUAAAAUAGAAAUCAAAAAAUAAAAGGAGAAUGCCAAUUUUUUUAACACUAAUAUAAUAAUAGAAAUAAGAAAAAAACGAUUAUAUCUUUAUUUUCAUCUUAAAAUAAAAUCUGAUGUAGAAGUCAGUGCUGCCAAAAUUGAGAUUUCAUAGGUGAAAGUUUAGUUAGAAAUAUUAUUUUGAGAUUUUAUACUAUUUUUUUAAAGAAAUUAUUUAUUCAAUUUUUAUUUUAUAAUAAAUCUUAAUUUAAAAUUUUAAAUAAAUCUUUUAAGUCUCCUUCAUAAUUGUUCAAGAAAAGAUCAUUUAAAAUAUACUCACUAGUGCAAUAAGGGAAAACUACAAAGGUUAUUUUCGUCCCUACAUUACAAGAAAAAGUUGAAUUACAUACAGUCAAAAUUCGUAUAUAAAGACUAAAAUCCGUAUAUAACACUUGGUUACAUACGGCUUAUAUAUGAACAAAAAUUCGUAUAUAAAGUUCUUGUAGAUAAAUUAUAUACAGAUACAUCGGUAUAUAAUUUAUAUACGGAAAAAUCUAUAUAUAAAAUUUGUAUAUAAUUACAUACAGAAAAAUUCGUAUAUAAAAUUCAUAUGUAAUUAAAAAUAAUUACAUAUGAAAAAAUCCAUUGGUAAAAUCCAUAUAUAAUUAACAAUAUAAUUACAUACGGAAAAUUCGUAUAUAACUUUUGGUUUUAUAAAAAACCAAUUAUCCUAAUUUUUGAUUCCUUUUGCAGUCCAUAAACUAACAUCAACCACAAUUUUAAUAUAUAUACUCAUAAUAAACAAACUUAGUAAUCUACACAAACCAUAACAAUGCCAGUUUUAAAACGUUUUUUCAUUUAGCAUUGCAUAUACCAUAACAAAGGCCUAUAAUAUACACACAAACCAUCUUAAACAUAUACUAAUUGGAUCUACAUUAAACAUUUUAAAGUCUAAAACUUUAAAACAAUUUGUAUACAUUAACACUUGAUAAAAUUCAGAAUAGAUUCCAUUAAAAUCUGGACAACAAAGUUUUUUCCACCAUUAAUACAUGUAUUUCUUGAUCAAAAUACUUGACCAUGUACAACCAAAUUAUUUACAUCAAAAGAAUUAAUACCAUACACAAAGUUUUUCAAGAAAGCACCACUACCUAUACUAUGAAACUCAUAAAUAUAUCUAUAAUGAAUGAUACAUACAUGAAAAUCGGUUAAUGCUUUAAUGCCCCCUUUUGACACCAAAUCAUGAGCUUUGGCGGCAUCAACUUCACUUGAAUAAGCACCUGCAACAAAAGCAAGAAAAUAAGAAAGAUUCCCACCAAAACCAAUAUUUUAUCAUCUACUAUUCACAUUAACAUAACCGACACUUGAUACAGAAACACUAUUAUUAUCUUAUUAAUGCUCAUGUCAUAUAAUAUUGUGCUCACUAUAUUUGUUUGAAAAAUAAAUUAUCAUUAUUAGAAGUUGUAUACAUAUGCAAUCAAAUGAAAAAGACUUAACUAUGAAUUAAUCUAUCUAUAGUCAAUAAAUGAUGAGUUGUGAGAUUCCAUGACUUAAGUGGUCGAGGGUUAACACCUUAACAGGGAAUGGUGAAAACACACAAUAAACAUACAUGCAUACAAUAAAAUUAAUCAAACUAUACAAGUCAGUUUCAGUUUUUUUAUUUUCUGGGGCAAAAUUAUAUAAUACUAUAAUUAAUGAAAACCUAGUAAGUUAUGAAAUAUUAUAAUCUAAAUGAAACGAGAUAUGGAGAAUUGAGCUAAGUCAUAGCAAAGUCAUACCUCCUGCAUCAUCAACCUUCUCAUUCAAUGCAACACAAGUCAGAAUCCACCAAAGAAAAGAAAAAAUAACAAGAACAAAUAUCAAAUCAAAUACAAAGAGCUAAGUCUAUGAACUUUUGAACGAAGAACAAAUCAUUGAUUAUUAAGCAGUUUUUUUAUAUUUGUUAUUGCAAGUUAAAAUAUAAAUAUUUAUUAUAUUGAAAAUAAAUAUAACUAAUUAUUUUUUAAUAACAUAAAUAUUAAAUAGCAACAUAUUAAAUAUUACAAAAGGAAAAACACUCGAGACCCUUUAAUAACAGAUCUUAUCUAAAUUUUGUGACUGCCAAACUCAUUAUGAUUAUUUUCUAAUAUUGGCAUUUCUUACACUGCUUCUAAUAGCUCAUAUUUUCUCCUGUAUACAAGUAAUAAUUUCACUUUUUAACAAAGAACUUUUAUUAUUUGUCAUUCAGAAUAUGUUUCUAAUUUCUAGCAUGACACUUAAUGAACACUAAUACAAGGCAACCAAAUGUUAAGUCACUGGCAAGUGUACCAGAUCGUUACCAAAUAAUAUAAAUGGGUAAGUCCAAGUAUCAUUUCCCAAAGGACUCUUAGGCCUUACUUUUCAUGUAAACCAAUCACAUAAGACUAGAGAAGAAAUUAAUUUUGGGUUUUGAAUGCAAAAACAAAAGUAAACAUGCAAAUGUAGUAAAUCAAUUGGCUAAAGAAACUAUGAAUGAAUGGAGUUGAUGGAGAUUACAAUUUCAUCUUAUCCACCCUCUUAUAUCUAGUUUUCUUAUCUAAUUCGCUUAUUUAUCAAAUUGUCAGGCAAACUUUCUUGGUCUACCCUUAACCCAAUUCCUUGGCGAAAAGAGCCUAUUACUAAUUACCGGCUUGCUAUCCCUAGCCUCCCCUAGUACUUAGUAAUGCAUGAUAAACAAAAGCAAAAUACAAUUGAUCUUCUUACCCCUAUCCCUAGGCGGUAUUAGCAUAAUCAAGGAAUUCCCCCAGUUCAUGACAUUACUGUACGUUCCCAUAUCAAUAAAGACAAACAACAUUUACCGAAUGAAUUAAACGAUAAAAGCAUUAAGCAAAGGUGAAGAACCCAACAUUUGAUAAAGAUAAGCAUAUGCAAGCAUAUAAAGAAGAUAAGAAUUUUGAUAUAAGAGAGUUUCAAAAGAUUACAUUGUUCCCCAACAAGCUAGGGUUUAGUUCACCAUAAUCAUGGUGAAUCUAGAUGUAAUAUAAUGAAAGAAUGGAAGAAAUAACCCAAAAAUUGGUAGUUGGAGCCUAAGCAUCCAAGGAACCUCCUUCAAGGUGUGUUGAAUAGCUCCGGACGUUUCUCUCUGCCAAAAGAUUAAGUUUUGAUUCGCACUGAGGCCAUAUAUAAGCCAAAAAGAUAACAAAAUCUGAGCUAAUAAAAACAGACAACCGCCCAGGCGUCUAAGUAAACCGCUUAGCGGUUUCCCCUUUAGCCAUCGGACCGUUCAGCGGUCAGUUUUAUCGCUGAGCGGUUUCCCUCUAAUCGCUCUGGACGCUCAGCGGUCGAUUCUGUCGCUCAACAGUUCUUUUAACCCUUAUUUUCAUCCUUUUUCUCCCUCUUUCACGGGUCUAAGUCCACCUUACUUCACUUCCAUCUUCCAUUCACUUUAAAAUCCUACAAAACAAUGUAAAAACAAGCAUAAUAUCUCUAAAACCAACUUUUGACUCUCUCAUGACUCAACUAAGUGUUUUACUUGAUUUUAAACUCAUUCUAAGUCAUAAAGGGUGUGUUUUGAUAUCAAUUUUGAGUAUGAAAAUAACGGUUUUUUGACCGUUAUCACAACCCCAACCUUAGAACUUUGCUUGUCCUCAAGCAAAACAAGACAAAACUUGGCUUUCCACUUCUUCAUCAAAUAGUUCAACCAUUUUCAAAAUUCCUUUUUCUCACAAUAAGUUAUUAUACAAUUCAAAUUUUCAGUGGAGUCCUAUAAAGAUGCAUGCAUGCUUUCAAUCCAACUCAAUUCACAUAAUCAAUUUUUUCCAACAGAUGUUUUCUUCAUGAAUGAUCAAUCCACUAAGCAUAGAUGUAAUCAUGGAUUUCAAUAAUUCUCACCAAGCAAGUGUUUCACUCAAUCACUCAAGUGUUUAGGAGGUCACUCUACUCUCUACUGUUCACAUGUCAAAUAAAACAAUAUUGUCAUUCAUCUAAAACAAUCAAAAUCCUCACAUGCAAAUGUCAUCACAAGGACUUUUCCAAGGUUCUGGGAUACAAAAUCCUUGAGUUAAGAGAGUUUAAAUCAUUAUUCAAAGUUCAAGCACACUCUCAUUUUAACCAAUUUCACUCAUUCCCAACUUCUUCCCUUUUUCCUUUUACAUUGAGCUCACUGGUGAGUUGUCGCAACCCACACAAAUUUGAUGUGCAAAUAAAUGCAGUAUAGCUAGGGAAUGACCUCUAGGUCGUCUCCCAAAGACCAAUUUUGCGGUUCAAGAAUCGAGUCUAACACGAAAGGGGGGGGGUUUGUAAAAAGGGUUUUGCAAAAAUUAAAGAAGUCAAUAAAGACACAGAUGCAAACAAACUAAUUUAAGCUAGCAUGGUAAUUAAACUAACAAGACCACGAAUACAAGACAACAUUAAGACAAAAUAAAAUAAAAUACUAGAUACCAACACUAUUACACACAACUAUCUAACAAGGUCAAAUUAAUUUAAAUGCAAGACUAAAUUGGAGAAAUCAAAAGCAAUUAAUCCUAAUAUGCAAAUUAAUUUAUAACAAAAGAAAUAAGCAAACACAACUUUUUUCUAGCAAUUCAUGUGACCAAGUGUGCACCAAAUAAAGAAAUUGGAAAUGAAAAUGGCCUAAGAAGACCCCUUGGGCCGUGACCUCCCAUGCACAAAAGUCCCUUCAUUCUCUUCAUUCAAUUUAAUAUGUUGCCUCCUUUUGUCCAUGUGCUCCAAUUUUCAACACAACACACAUGUGCCUUUCUACACACCCAAAACCGUCACUUUAUCCCUUCCAUGCAGCAAAAUAUGGUAGCACACUCCAAUACCACAAAUUUACGUGAGCUACCAAGUGAUGGUUACAAAAAGUGCUUCAAAAAAAAUUCUUCUAUCAAGAUGCCACAUGUGCAAAGUCAAAGGGAAUAAACAACACAAGACCUCCCAAUCUUCAAGCAACUCACGACAAUAUUGCUAGCAAAAGACAAGACCAAAAUGGAAAUCUUCUUUCUAUGAAAAUGUGCUCAUAUUAUGCUUGUCCAAAUCGGGUAAAAAUUAAAUGUGCCCAUUCUCUCUCCUUUCACCACUCCUACAUGGUUUUCUUUCACCAACACAAUCAUCCAAAUUUUUUCUUCCCUUCUCCAAACUGAGAACACACCCAAAGACCCCAAAGUUUCAAUUGCAAAAGCUUACAAGAACAACAACCCCAAAUUUCAACUUCUACUAACAAACCUAACACUCCCUUUUCUUCAAACUUUUAUGAAAAUCAAAAUGAAUUUCUACUCCACCUUGCAGCACCGUCCAGCUCUCCAAAAGAAACACAAUGUUCCAUUUCAUAUAUUACUUCCAACCAUCAAAACAAAAGCACAAGAAGAAAAGGGUUCAAGCUCCCAACAACCAUGCACCAACUCAAGCCUUUUUCACUACCAAACUUAACAACAACUCCAUUUUCAUCAUCCAAUCCAAGAAACUCAAAGUAAAUACGAAAUAACUGCAGCAAAUGAGAAGAAAAACGAAAUGGAAAAUGGGUCUUCCUUCAACCAAAGAAACCACCAUGAAAAAGCAAAGAAAAAGCUUCAAACUCAAGCAUUCAACCUUCAAAACGAAAAUCUAAAGAGAGAAAUGGUAGAGCUUCAUUCCAUCAAGCAAGAACAAGCAUUGUUGCAAGCAUGAGAAAAAGAAAAACGUGAUCUUGUUCAUUCAUAGCUAAACACUGAAAAUUGCAAGGCUCCAAAAGAGAGUUCAUACAAGGCAAAAGCAAAAGCAAAGUGUAGUAUGAAGUGUGUUAAGUGAAUGAUCGGCCUUUGCUACUCAAAAUAUCGUCCCCCCUCAAAAUAGGUGGGGUCCACCUCCUACAAACACUAGGGUUUUGGUGCCAAGUGUCCCACACAUUGGGCUUCUACAAAAUUUCCACUAAAAGGGCCCAAAAACACCUAAUCUAAUUAAGGUUUCUAAAAAAAACGAAAUUACAACUUUAUUAAAAUGGAAAUGACUAAAUGUUGAGUCUUGAAUGAUCAUGCCACCAUCCCUAAUGCUCCAAAUGAUGUUUCCCAAAAUUUCCCUGCAGCCAAAAUACACUUAAUCAACUCAGGAAACCCAAAUUAGCACAAUUACAAAUUUCCGACCAAAUUAAGCAGAAUUCGGAAAACAGGGAAAUAACAGACAAUUAAACACAAUUCCCUGGUUUAUUUCAGUGUAAUAAACUAAAUAUAGUUCAAGAAAUAACGACUCAUCACUCACUUUACAUGCUUUUUCUUUUCUUCUUUUCCUUUCUUUUUCUCAUGCAUUUUUCUUUUUCAACUUUUGAACUCAAUGCUUUUCUUUUGCCUUUCAACUUUCCCCAUACAACCCCAAACUUGAACCUUUUCAACACAUACAAUUAUUCUCACCCCAACUAUUUAAGGGUUUUCAUACUAUUUAAGGCCAAGGUUCAAAAAGGGUAUAUCAUUUAAAACACUUUGGGUGAAAAUUUGGCUAAGUAAGGGCUUUCAAACAUGGCCUUGAUCAUAUAACAUAAACAUGCAAUUCAAUCAAUUAUCAAGACUAAGGCAAUAUCAUUCAUGAUUCCCUAUGAAUAGUGCACUCAUCAAUAAAAACUCUGGAGCUCAAUACCUCACACAACAUGCUUUUCUCACUUAUCAUUCAUGUAUCCUGCUUAGCAUCACAAUCACAAUCAUAAACCACUUACUCAUUUGUUCACACAGUUAGUGAACCAUGUACCUGAAUAUCAGCAUACACACAUUCUCAAUCAUCAUCCACAAUCAAUCAUCCGUGAAUAACUCAUCAUGCAACAUAAAAUCAAACCAUCAUCAGAAUCAGUGUACAAGCCAAGCAUAGACACAAAGAUAAAAUACUCUUAUACUACAAAUUCAAAGUACCAAAGAAAAAGAAAAACAAAACUCGGGUUGCCUCCCAAUAGCGCUUGUUUAAUGUCACGAGCCUGACCCAAACCUGUUUAGCACUCAUCGGUAAGUGCUUAUCUUUCCAACACCCUUCAAUAGGUGUGCCUACCUGUAUCCUUCAGUAGAUACAUAAAGUUUUAGCAUCCCCCAGUAGAUGCUACCCAAAAAUUUUUAAAAAUCCAAAAAGUUACAUGUCCAAAAUCCAAUAUCCUAAAACUAAAAAUGUUUUACAACAAGUAGGAUUAAAUCAAAUAUCUUCAAGUCUUUCCAUCCCUGUUGGGAUCUUUAUCUACCCAACUGAUGAGUUGCCUUCUAUCCACUCUUUUGACAGCUUUGGCAUAUGGUCUUAUAAUCCUCAUCACGCCAUCUUUGAUUUUGUUGACAAUCCCCUUCCUAUUUUUGAAUCUUACCUGUGAACCUCGUGGACGUGGUGUAUAUUCUGAGUGGAUUAUUUCUCCUUUAUCAACGUCCUUCUCUUUAGGUACCUGUAAAACAUUACAACUGUUAGAAUUGGUACCUGUUGUGCUAUACUCUAGUGCAACUUCUCUACUUGACUCUUUGAAUCUGGCUCUCUUCUUAAUUUUUACUUUAUUUCCUUUAGAGCAAUUAUACAUUAACACAUAUUCUUGAUCUUUCAAAGUUAUUAUGCCAUCAUGGAUACGUAUCGCCAUUUUGGAAGUCCUCAUAAAAGGUCUUCCCAAAAUUAAUGGAAUUCUUCCCUAAUUUUCCAUAUCUACAACUACAAAAUCGACCAAGAAUUCCAAUUCCUCAAUACGAACAAUUGCAUCCUCCACCCUACCAGCUGGCUUUUUAAUAGAACCAUCUGCAACUGUCAAAGUAGUAUUAGCUGGUUUUAAUACUAGCCCUUUUCAAAAAUCCUAGAUCCUUCAUUUUAGGUGGAUGAUGUUUCUUUCUUAGCUACACAAGCAAUUCCUGUUCUUCUUCAUCUGCAUCUAAAUCUAUCACCUCUCCAAGGUAAUAAUUAAUUUUCUUAGAAUAAAUAGGGAUUUGAGGAUGAUUUUCAUCUAUAGAAACAAUAGUCACUUGACUGAAUAUUUCUCUCAUCUGUCCAUUGUGGCCAUCUCUUCUUUUCUCAGUUUCUUCAAACCUCUCCUCUUCUUUCUCUUCUUCACCAAUCUUAAUCUUGUCACUCUCACUUACCUCUUCAUCUUCUUCAUCACUACUAAUCUCAAUAACUUCCUCUUCUGCUUUUCUUUUCUCCCUUGCUACAACAACAUGACACUCUUCCUUAGGAUUACCAUCAGUAUUAACCCUGAGUUGAUUCUUUUCUGUAGUCUCAAUUCUCUUUGACAAUUGGCCAAGUUGCAUCUCCAAAGAUCUGAAGCUGGCUUGGUUACUUUCAUGUUGAGACUCAUAAACCUUCAAGAAUUUGUCAAAUCUAUUUGUGAAGUCUCUAACAUUCUCUGUCAAUUGAUUUACUUGCUACCACAAAGGAAAAGGUUGAUGCGGCCUGAAGCUUCCUGUUUGCCCUGAUGGGUUGUUUUGUUGUUGACCAAUACUCGAAUGGUGCUUCCAACCUUGGCUAUAGUUGCCUUGGUUGAAGUUCCCUUGCCUGUACUGGAAUUGAUUCCCCAUGUAGUUUGCUUCCUGUUGCAUCUCCUCUGGUAUAGCACAUUGACCAUUGAUAUGGUCACCACCAUAGAAAUCACAUAGCUGUUGCGUUUGGGAAACAUUACGAAUCUCCUUUGGAAGUUAUGAGAGGAUCUUUUUCAAUGUAUCUAGCUUUUGGGUCAAAAGAUGAUUCUGAGCUAGCAUGGCAUCAUCUGCAGGAAAGUGCAAGACUCCUCUCUGUUGUGUUGGUGCGCCCCUUUCACUAAAUGCUUCUUGUUCAUUAGCUGUCAUACUCUCUAUCAAGUCAUAGGCUUCAUCUUCAGUCUUCUGUUUUAUAUAACCUCAAGCUGAGGCAUCCAACAUCAUCUUGGACUACAUGUUCAGACCACUUAGGUAAGCAAGAACUAAGGUUGUCUUGUCAAACCCGUGGACUGGUGUCUUCCUAAGUAGGCCUUUGAAUCUUUCCCAUGCUUGACCUAGAGUUUCUUCCAUGCCUUGCUUGUAUGAUGAGAUCUCCAGUCUUCCCUGAGUAACUUUAGACUGUGGAAAAUAUUUAUUGACAAACUUUGUAGCCACAGUCUCCCAUGUUGUAAAUGUCCCUUCAGGGAAGGAAUUAAGCCACGUCUUAGCAUUGCCUCCCAAUGAGAAUGGGAACAAGCUAAUCUUCACUCUUUCGUCUGAUACACCUGCCAUCUUCACUGUGUUGCAAAUUUCACUAAACGUUGUCAAAUGAUUAUAUGGGUUCUCAUUUGACAAGCCGUGAAACUAGUUGCUUUGCACCAGGUGUAUAAGCGUUGGAUUCAUCACCAUGUUGGUCAUUGAUCCGUAGGCAUGGCUAUGUUGUUAAAAUGGAAAGGGCUAACAACAUUAGAUUGGUCUGCAAGAGUGCGUCUUGGAGGAGUUUGUUCAGCCAUCUCCUCUGCUCUUCAAACUGGUGAAGGUGAUAGUAAUCUACCAGGAGAAGGAAACAAAUCCCUAGAUGGGCGUCUGACUCUCCUUCUUCCUCUUGUCUCACUUAAGCCUUCAAGAAGAGGUUGCGUAUUUUUCUUGCUCCUAGUAUGUCUAGUCUCCUGCUGCAUGUACAAGAAACACAAACCCUAGUAGCACUUUUAUAUAAAAAAAGAAAAAAAUAAAAAGAUAAAAAAACAAAUAUAUACAAUCAAGUCAAAUUUAAUCAGUUUACACUACUAGAUAAGUUAAACCACGAGUCCCCGACAACGGCGCCAAAAACUUGUUAAGUCCCUGGCAAGUGUACCAGAUCGUUAUCAAGUAAUAUAAAUGGGUAAGUCCAAGUAUCGUUUCCCAAAGGACUCUUAGGCCUUACUUUUCAUGUAAACCAAUCGCAUAAGACUUGAGAAGAAAUUAAUUUUGGGUUUUGAAUGCAAAAACANNNNNNNNNNNNNNNNNNNNNNNNNNNNNNNNNNNNNNNNNNNNNNNNNNNNNNNNNNNNNNNNNNNNNNNNNNNNNNNNNNNNNNNNNNNNNNNNNNNNNNNNNNNNNNNNNNNNNNNNNNNNNNNNNNNNNNNNNNNNNNNNNNNNNNNNNNNNNNNNNNNNNNNNNNNNNNNNNNNNNNNNNNNNNNNNNNNNNNNNNNNNNNNNNNNNNNNNNNNNNNNNNNNNNNNNNNNNNNNNNNNNNNNNNNNNNNNNNNNNNNNNNNNNNNNNNNNNNNNNNNNNNNNNNNNNNNNNNNNNNNNNNNNNNNNNNNNNNNNNNNNNNNNNNNNNNNNNNNNNNNNNNNNNNNNNNNNNNNNNNNNNNNNNNNNNNNNNNNNNNNNNNNNNNNNNNNNNNNNNNNNNNNNNNNNNNNNNNNNNNNNNNNNNNNNNNNNNNNNNNNNNNNNNNNNNNNNNNNNNNNNNNNNNNNNNNNNNNNNNNNNNNNNNNNNNNNNNNNNNNNNNNNNNNNNNNNNNNNNNNNNNNNNNNNNNNNNNNNNNNNNNNNNNNNNNNNNNNNNNNNNNNNNNNNNNNNNNNNNNNNNNNNNNNNNNNNNNNNNNNNNNNNNNNNNNNNNNNNNNNNNNNNNNNNNNNNNNNNNNNNNNNNNNNNNNNNNNNNNNNNNNNNNNNNNNNNNNNNNNNNNNNNNNNNNNNNNNNNNNNNNNNNNNNNNNNNNNNNNNNNNNNNNNNNNNNNNNNNNNNNNNNNNNNNNNNNNNNNNNNNNNNNNNNNNNNNNNNNNNNNNNNNNNNNNNNNNNNNNNNNNNNNNNNNNNNNNNNNNNNNNNNNNNNNNNNNNNNNNNNNNNNNNNNNNNNNNNNNNNNNNNNNNNNNNNNNNNNNNNNNNNNNNNNNNNNNNNNNNNNNNNNNNNNNNNNNNNNNNNNNNNNNNNNNNNNNNNNNNNNNNNNUUUUUAAAAGAAAAAAAAAAGGUUUUUAACACAAAGCCGACAGAAUGGUCGCGCGUGUGCUAUCAACCUUUUAAAAUAAAUUUUUGAUUAUUUUUAUAAAAGAAGGAAAAAGGUUUUUGUAAAAGAAAAGGAAAAGAUUUUUAGCACAAGGCCUACACGAACGGUCGCAUGUGUGCUUAAACCUUUUCAAAAUAUAUUUUUAUUGAUUUUAAUUUUUAUGAUUUUUAAUUUUUUAUUUUUAUUAGCAAACAAUAAUGAAAACAAAAAGUCCAAUAAGAAUGGGAAAGGAAAUGUAACCAGGAAAUUAAUCUCUACCCUUCUGAAGCUGCCUUAAAGGUCCUCCACUGCACCACAAAAAGCUUCUACAGAAAGUUGUUCAUUCAUCUGUGCACGUGCCUCUUUGCCCCACUCCUUUUUUCUUUAUUCUCUUCCUUCUCUUUUCGAAAUUGGAUUUUUCUACUUUUUUUCUGUUCCCUUAUGCUCUCUUCCUGAAGUUCAAUCCUCUCCCCUUUUUUCUGUUUGCUAGGUGCAUAUUUAUAUAUACACAUUUGUCAUAUUAUUGUGAUCUUGCCUUAAUGGCGAAUUAAUUGUCAAUUAGCAAAAUAGGGAAAUAAAAGGUCAUGAUUGAAUCAAAUUAAAAAUCAUAUUUUUCUCUUUAGGAAGAAAUUGAAUACAACAAUCAAUAUAUUAUUUUUAAUUAUUCCUUGCAAUGAUUGUCAUAAUGUUGAUUCGAAUUAUUACCAAAUAAAACAAAAUUUCAAAAAUAUCCUAAAGUGAUCUUUCCUGCAUUAAUAUUAAUUGCUUAUGGGACUGCUGCACCAUUUCUCCAAGAAAAUCAUGUGAAACAUCUCUCCCAUUUAAUCACCAUUCCUUUCUUUUCAUUUUAUUCACGUGCACCCCUUUUUUUUUUUCUUUUUUCCUUCCUUCCUUUUUUCCUUUUGUUUUUCUUUUUCCUUUUUUCUUCUUUUGUUUUUUUUAUUUUUCUUUUUCUCUUUUAUUCUUUUUCUCUUUUUUUCUUUUUUUUUCCUCUUCUUCCUUUUUUUUAUUUCUCUUUUUUUUUUCCGUUUUUCAUGUUCUUUUUUUCUUUUCUUUUUCCUUUUUUUUUCUUCUUUUUUCUUUCUUUUAAUUUUUUUUUGAUUUUUUUUAUUCUUUCUUAAUUUUUUUAAUUACUUUUUUUUCAAAUUAAACAAAAUAGUAAAAUAAAAUUAAGAACAACAUAAAAAACCAAGUCUCAUUAUUUAGUCACCCGGACGAAAUUGGGUGUUGACACACCCUCUUAUAUGUACUUUUCUUAUCUAAUUCGCUUAUUUAUCAAAUUGUCAUGCAAACUUUCUUGGUCUACCGUUAAUCCAAUUCUUUGGCGAAAAGAGCCUAUUACUAAUUACCGAGUUGCUAUCCCUAGCAUCCCCUAAUAAUUAAUAAUGCAUGAUAAACAAAAGCGAAAUACAAUUGAUCAUCCUACCCCUAUCUCUAGGCGGUAUUAGCAUAAUCAAAGAAUUCCUCCCAGUUCAUGACAUUACUGUACGUUCCCGUAUCAAUAAAGACAAACAACAUUUACCGAAUGAAUUAAACGAUAAAAGCAUUGAGCAAAGGUGAAGAACCCAACAAUUGAUAAAGAUAAGCAUAUGCAAGCAUAUAAAGAAGAUAAGAAUUUUGAUAUAAGAGAGUUUCAAAAGAUUACAUUGUUCCCCAACAACCUAUGGUUUAGUUCACCAUAAUCAUGGUGAAUCUAGAUGAAAUAUAAUGAAAGAAUGGAAGAAAUAACCCUAAACUUGGUAGAUUGGAGCCUAAGCAUCCAAGUAACCUCAUCCAAGGUGUGUGGAAUAGGUAUGGACAUUUCUCUCUGCCAAAAGAUUAAGUUUUGAUUCGCACUGAGGAUAUAUAUAAGCCAAAAAGAUAACAGAAAGAUUACAAAAUAUGAGCUAAUAAAAACAGACAACUGCCCAGGCGCCUAAGUAAACCGCUCUGCGGUUUACCCUUUAGCCGUUGGACUGUUCAACGGUCAGUUUUACCGCUGAGCGGUUUCCCUCUAAUCGCUCUGGAUGCUCAGCGGUUCAUUUUGUCGCUCAGCGGUUCUUCUGAUCCUUCUUUUCAUCCUUUUUCUUCCUCUUUCACGGGUCUAAGUCCACCUUAUUUCACUUCCAUCUUCCAUUCACCUUAAAACCUUGCAAAACAAUGUAAAAACAAGCAUAAUAUCUCUAAAACCAACUUUUGACUCUCUCAUGACUCAACUAAGUUUUUUACUUGAUUUUAAACUCAUUUUAAGCCAUAAAGGGUAUGUUUAUAUAUCAAAUUUUAGUAAGAAAAUAACAGUUUUUAGACCAUUAUCACCAAACUGAGGGCAUCUAGAUGGAAAGUAUAAAAUAGAACUUAUAGAGACUCAUGUUUUGUUGGUGACACUUGAAAUGUAAUUUUAAGAAACGGAGAGAUUAAAGCAUGAUGUUAUUGUGCUUCGUAAUAUCUCUAUCUAGUAAUAUAAAAUAAAAUGAAACAGCUUACCUCAUGUUCUAUAUUGUGUAUCAUUAAUAUACUUUGAGCAUCCUUAUAUACCCCAUGUGAACGAUACUUCACUAUCAAAAAUCUUCACUAGAAUCAAGUACUAGUCUCAUCCUUAAUAAGAUAAUAAUAUCUUCUAAGAUAAAUCAAAACAAGCUCCGAAAGAAAUUUUAAUAUGUGAAAGUCAUAUGUCAUAAUGUAGCGUAAUUAUAACUAAAUUGACAAAAUAAAAGGGCAGGGGAGAAAAGAGAAAUUGGAAAAUGGUGAAUAAAGUUAGACAUGCAUAAACUAGAACUAGGUUGGCAUGUCAAUCAUUAGCAAGGAAUAAACAUUUUUCUCCAUAAGUGAAUCCCUUAAGGGAAGCACCAACGAUGUUUCACAUGUUGCAUGGGAAAGAAAAGUGAACAGAAAUUGUAAAACCAAAUGACAAAGAAGUUUAUCAUUAUUCUUGAAUGUAUAAUGGAAAUCUAGUAUCAAAGCUAAAAUUAACAAGAAUAUACCUGAUUAUCUCCAAAAGUCACAAACAAUGUGUGACACUCCAGUCAUAGGUUUUUCAUCUCUUUCAAAAACUCUUCAAAGACCAAAAAAUAACAUCCUUUAAAUGAAACUAGAUGGAUGGAACACUACUCUUCAAUUGUCAUCGUAACAUAACAUUGAUACACCAUAUUCUCAAUCCUAUGAAAAAGUAGAGGACCUUAACUAACUUAAUGGAACUAGAACAAGCCUAGAGAGAUUAACACAUGCAUGAAAAAGAAAAUGAGUAAAAAAUACUUCUUUAAUAUGGGAAUGAAAAAGUGAUGAGUGAAAUGUACCAAACCAGUCUCAGAAACCAAGCGGAAGCCAACAAGAUACCCAAAAUCAUGAAUAAAAAAAAUCACCAAUCUCUAUGUCCCUGCAAUAUAUAUGCCUCCAAUAUAUGAGUGCGUAAUCCAGCACCUUUCCAUACCUUAAAAUAUAAUUUAAUCAUAUAAUGGUGGAAACCCAAUAAAUGGAGAAAGAGAUAAAUAAUAUGAUAUGCCAAUAAUUCUAAAAGAGCAAACUUGGUUACAACUUGUAUACCUCCUUAAACCAUCAUAACAUCCUGUGAAAAAGAACAUGCAAACACAGUAACACUCAAUUUUAAAUUCAUAGUGAAGGAGAUACAAGUAAAAAACCAUUCAACUUAGUAAACCAGAAUCAGAAUUUUGAUAUUAGUCAAAAUUACACAAACACGAGAUAAACAAAAAAAAAGUAUUCUAAAGAACCUAUUCACAAUGUUAGGUCGUUUCCCCUUAAUACUCCUAAUGUCACCAUCAACCACAUUGCAAAACCUCAAAAUGGGAACUCAUGAGUUAAAAAAAUGGCUUUACAAUAACACUCAUUAACCCAAUGGCCAAAACUUGAAAAAACCUACUUAAAAUAGGAUUUGGUUAUGUCUUCUGAUUACUACCAAUGCAAAAAUAAUGGCAUAUUGCAGUUGUAGGCAAUAGUAUCAAACAUAAAAGCUAAAUAAGAAUAUAGGGUCAAUGUAAAAUCUUUUACAUUUCCAAUCAAUUGAAAAUCUUCCUCUGUAGUUUGACUUUCAUUAUAGUUAUUACAAAUUCCAAUAUAGUCAUCAUACACAGACUAUGAAAGCAUAUAUGAGGCUUAGCUCUUAGGUACUCAUAUUUAACAAUGAAGCCAUAUUGGCUUCAUUAGGUAAUAAAUAAACACAAUUAAAAACAUCAUGAAAGUAGCCAAAACGUAAGAUAUGAAGUGUUAAUUUGCAAAUACUAAAAAUAAAAUUAAAGUCAUGCAGGUAGUCAAUGUAACAUUAUUUUUUUUUUAAUAAAAGCUUUUCAAAUCCGUAUGUAACUUCGUAUGAAAGUUUCACUUUCAGUUAUUGGAGCCCCUUACAUACUUAGGAAAUAUUCUCACCUACUUAUAUACGGAUUAUCGGUAGGUAAAAAUCUGUAUAUAAAAUCCAUAUAUAACUCAUUUUACUAAAUCCGUAUAUAAAAUCUGUAUAUAAUAUCUAUAAUACAUACGGAUUAAAAUCUGUAUAUAAAUGUCACUAGAUAAUUCCAGUUUUUCUUGUAGUGAUAGGCAAGGGUUCCUGAACCGAGACAUAUAUAGGCAAGGCAAAAUGUCUACCCUUUUAUGCCUCGGUUCAGAACCGAGACAUAAAAAGGGUAGGAUUUUGUCUUGAUUCAAAGGUAACCGAAGCAGUAGGGUUUUUGAAUUUUUUUUAAUUUGUUUUUUCGAAUUACUUUAUGCCUCUAUUCCUUUUGAACCGAGGUAGUAUGUCGACCUCUACUGACUCGGUUGGGACCUGCACCAAGGUAGUAGAGUGUUUUUUAUUUUUAUUUUUUGCUUUUUUGCAGACUUUCUGCCUCGGUUGUGGCCUAAAUCGAGGCCAUAGAGGCUUUUUUGCCUCGGUUAAGGUCACAACUGAGAUGUAUUUCCCUGUUUUUUUAAGAACAUGUUUGUUUCUGCAAUAUUUCCAACUGCACAAACAGACCUGCAUAAAAUUUUACAACCAGAACAAUCUAGAAGAAUAUAUUUUCAAUAAAAAGUAUAUUAAAACAUAAAUGCAUUUAAUGUAAUCAUAAAUCAAGUUUUUAGAAGCAUAAAUCAGUUCAACAUAAUCAUAAAUCAACUUUGAAGCAUAAAUCAAUCCAAUGUACAAAGUUAAACUAAUAAUAAUGUACAAAAAACAUAAAACAACUUAGAAGCAUAAACCUAGAACUUACUAUAUCCUAAUAUCUACUACAUACUGUUAUAUAGUUCAAUUACAUAUUUAGUUAGUGCUUUCCUCACGAGUUUAAGUGACUUUUCUGGAAUUGGAGUAGUCAUAUUAAAUCUCUACAUAAAACACAAUGAUUUCAAUUAGUGUAUAUGAAAUCUAAACUAUAGAGAAAAUAAAAUUUAAACCUAAAUAUUAUUGUUUCCCAUCCACUGGUGUAAUGUGCACGAAUAGUAGUCAUCAUCCAAUACAUGAUGUAGUAACCACACUCAUAUGACUUGUUUUGUCUAUUACACUACAAUAUAUCAUCAUAAUUAUAAAAUUUUAAUUAACAUCAUUAGAACGGUACAAAAUGUAAGAAAGUAUGGACUAAAAUACCAAACUUUAAGGGUCAUCCAUGUAAGUUUUUUAGUUGUAGCAGUAGAUCUUCGAGACAACAUCAUAUGUGCUGCAAGGGAACUAUUAAGAAAAUUGCUUUAGCAUAAAUUUAUAUAACCAAGAAAGUUGAAACAUUGAAGUUCUUACCAAUCUACUACUUUUCUAAGAGGGCUGGGAGGAGACUUGUACAAUGAACAAAAUAAGACAGUAGUGUUCUCCGAUAUGGAGAUCACAAGUAGUUAGCACGAGGCCGAUGCGAAUGAUCGUACACGCACUUAAAUCUUUAAAACAUUUUUGAUAUUAUUAUAAAAGGAGAAAAGGUUUUUUAGCACAUGGACGAUGCGUGUGAUCACACAUUUACUUAAAACCUUAAAACAUAGUUUUUUUUAUUUAUUUUUUUAUGAUUUUUAUAUAUUUUUUUUUAUUUUUAACAAACAAACAAUAAUAAAACAAAUUCUAAAGCUAAAGAAAUAAAAGCAAAGACAAUAAAAAAACAAAAUACAGUCCAAUAGGCCCAAUAAGAAAAAGGCAGUGCAGAAGACAAUAUCAGGGGUGCAACAUGAAACUUAUUGGCCCAUGACCAAAGGUAGGGGUGCAGUAGUGCCAUUUGGGGGUGCUACUAGAUAUUUUGCUCACCAGGCCCAAGGCCUCUUUUCUUGUUUACAGAAAGGGAAUGGUGGUCCAAAUAAAGUUGCGCGGUGGCAGGAAGAAAGGAAACAGCCCAUACUAGGCCCAAGGCCCUUAAUACCAUCAGAAACUCAUGGGGAUCUCAACAACUUCACUUCAUUUGCAUUCAAUUCCAAGACCCAGGGUUUCUUUCCCUCUAAACGAAGGAAACCUGAGACCUCACCCCCACCGCUCACGGCCACGACCAGCUUCCACCCAACCGGCCAGCGUAGUCCACAGUCCACGGUGUCGCGCCUCGCUCUAGCUGGUCAGCACCGUCGUCGGUGAUAUUGAUCGUCGUCAGAGUCACCGCCGACCACCACGCCAAUCUAUCCUCUCUUGCCUCUCUUCAUAUGCGAGAAGGAAACACUUUCACCUUUUCACGCCACGCCCUCGCCGUCGCGAACGAGAUCGGAUGUCGUAGCUGCUGCUCACAUGGCCAGCCACCGCAAGGACUCUCUCCUCUCUUCCUCUUCUCCGCGUAACAGCCCAAACUCACCACCGGAUGCAGCGCGAGCCACGACGCUAGGUUCUGCUCACGUAUUCUUCUUCUCGACUUCAACUAACUGCAGCUUCUCGAUAUUGGAUUCCUCUUUGGCGGAGACAAAGAUCUCGUUGGCCCUUUUUUUUGGAUCUAUCACAACACCGCUGCUGCGACGAAGACUGCUGCUGAUACUGUUGCGAUGGUUGCUGCCCCCCGGUGGAAGGAACCAUGAACAUCACCAGGAAUCACCAUUGCUAAAGUCGCUGAGUCUAUUGCUCCAUUUUUCUUUUCGACCUUGGUUUCAUUCUUGGUUGUUCUUCAUUGAAUUUGGUUUUGUAUGGUAUUGGUUGAUAAAUAGAUGCUUGGAAGAAAGGUGGUGAUAGUAUGAUGUGCACUUCUUUUUCCUUCCCUUAUUCUCUGUUUUUUUUCUUCUUCCUUAAAUAGUGUGCGCCUGAAUAGGGGAUAAAAUAGAGGAGGAAUUGUGGUUGCUAGUGUGAGUAUGAUGGUCUCUGUUCUUGGUGACUUUGUGCCAAUGGAAGGUUGAGGAUCAUGAGUUAUACUAUAGGAAGAGGGUUGGUGGCAGUCGUUAGUGUGUGAAUAUGUUGGAGGUGAAUGAAGAAGGAUUGGGCAGUGGUGAAUGAUGGGGUCUGUUGGAGGUAAGUAAUGGGAGUGAAAGGCGCGAUGUGAGUAAUGGAGAUUUUAUGAGGAUGAAGGUGGUGGGAGGGUAUGGGUAAGAGCUGACGGUUGGAGGGGAGUGAUUUUUUUUCUGCUUUUGGGUUUAGAGGUGCUUUGGGAUUAUCUCAUGAACGUGGGGAGUGGCCAGUGUUUUGUUUCAGAAAUUGAGGUGUUGCCCUAAGAUUAUGGAAGCCUCAGAUGAAGAUUGUGGGUGUUAGAGGCCAUGGCGAAUGGUCAGAGGUGAAAGGUGGGUCUGAUGGAAAAUGAGAAAAUUCGGAGACGACAGGAAUGUGGUUAAUUGGGAUAAUGAGGUAGUGGUUCGCCAAAAAAGAUUCUCCAUAGUGGUUUGCCAAAAAAAAACUAAAUCAAAUACCAAUAAAAAUUAAAAAUAAUAAAACAAAAUAAAAAUAAAAAUAAAAAAAAAACAAAAAAAAAAACAAGUCUUAUUAUUUAGUCACCUAGACGAAAUUGGUGUUGACAGUGGGCAACUCCUAUUCUGGAUGACCCUAUCGCUGAGGACCGAGCGUUUGAGGAGGAGGCAUAUCAGGCCUAUGAGGGCCUUGUCCAGGAGGAGGCAUUUGAGGCCUCUGAUGACGAUUAUGAGGAGGAGGAACAUGUCGAUGUUUCUGACAUAGAGGAGGAGGUUUUCGGUGGAUUUCCUAGAGGUCCACGUGAUGCUUCUUUGCUGAUGAACUAUGUUCAGCAUGUUGCUUAUGGUAUUUAGCAGGGCCGGGUGAUACAUCAAUUAAAUUUUAAUUAUUGUUAUUUUUUUAAUACAAUUUAUAUUAAAUAUUGUUGUGUAGAUCGAGGGGAGAUGCUGAAAUUGAUCUCCCAUGGUAAAAAAGUUAAUAAGUUAGUAUCGUGCGUCGAGGGAAUUCAAUACAUUGUGUGGAAUUCUUCUUUGAUGCCUCUCACACAGAUAUGUUACAAUUACGUUGAUAAGGGUUUGUUGCUCGGUUUCAUAGAGAGAUGACACUUUGAGACGAGUAGUUUCCAUCUCCUUGUAAGGGAGAUGACGAUCACUCCUGACGAUGUCUCCACUUUACUUAACCUCCCGGUGUUGGAACAGUUAUGUGAUUUGGAGGAGUUGGAGUUUGAGGAGGCUCAUACAGCCCUUGUAGACCUGCUCGACAUUGAUGGUGGCACAGCUGGUGCUGAGAUGGAGGAUGCAUAUGGUACGAAAGUAAGACUCAGCUGGUUUAGAGACAUAUAUGUUUAGAGGUGUCGCAACAUUGGGACUAUGCUGCCACAGCAUAUCUGUUGCAUCUAGUAGGAUGCACGACUUUUGCAAAUGAAAGUGCCAGUUCUAUACGCGUGUCUUACCUAUUAUUAUUUAGAGAUGUACAUACGUGGCAGAUAUGCCUAGGGUGUUGUUACACUCGCCCAUUUGUACGAGCAGCUCGGGGAUGCCAGUCUGGCUUCCACAGAGCAGAUGGCUGGAUAUGUGACUCUUUUUCAAGUACAAACAUAAACCUUGCACAUUUAUUUGAUGUUCUUAUCUCCAUGUUCAAAGUUAGAAAAUAUUUAAUUGAAUAAUUACAUUUUUAGAGUUCCUGAACGUGGGAAGGAGGCGGUUGGUGUCUUCUUAUGAUAACACCACACCACGUGCGACUAAGUCGUAAAGCCCUCGACAGAGUUCGACUCUUGCAAAGAUUCGGUCGCAGUUGGAUGGUCUAACAUACAGUGGAGUUGUAUGGCAUCCAUAUGAGGUACAUCGGGGCAUUCAUCCAUUAUUCGGAGUCUGUAUGUAUUCUGGAUAGAUUCAGAUAGGUGACACCCUUUCUCAUUAUUUGCCUGUGCGUGUGAUGAGGCAGUUUGGGUUUUACUAGGAGAUUCCACGAUCACCCACUGUCAUUGCAGAUGCAGAUGUAGUCGCUGUUGAUUUUGCGUGGUUGCACUUCAUAGAUCAUGUUAUUAUGAAUUUGAGACAAGCAUCAUACCCUUCUGAAUGUGUCGAUGGCUACAUACAGUGGUUUAGGAGGGUUUCACAUCCCUAUAUUAUUGCUGCUCCAACUAACGCACGAUGGGCUCUUGCGCCUACACAGCGCCCCGAUGUUCCAUAGGAGGCACGACCUCAUCGUAGAUCUUCUUCACUUUCAACAUCUGGCACCUUGGUAUGUUAUUUUUCAUUGCUUAUGUUAUUAAAUUUUGCUUAACCAUGUUUAUUUAUUUGUUUGAUAUAAUUAUUAUGCAUUAGAUUUAAGCGAAUGGCAAAAAAAUACAGUCGUUGAUAUCGUGUCGUCAUGUGACUGAGGAUACUGUUGCACAUCAGGUGAUGGUGGAACUGCUUCAGGAUGCUAAUGAUGGCAUCGACGAAUAUUCCCCGACUAGAAGAGGAUAGAAACAUGUGCUUGGUAGACACUCGACGUCUAAUUGAUAGGACAUGGAAAAGAUAACAUUGAGUUAGUGUUUUUGUGAUUUAAGGGAUUGUUAACUUUUAGUACUAUGUGUUUGUCUGAUUUUGGAAAACAGGUUGUUUUUUUAAUAUGAUAUUUCAUAACAUGUGCUUGAUCUUUUUGUGAACACUUAUUAUUAGUACAGUCUGAUUUAGGCUCGUACACUCUUAUUCUUAUUCUUGGUGUUGAGUGGUGUUGUGUAGAGAGAGAGAAAGAGGGUGUGAUGGUGAUUCCAUUUGCUGUUCAAUGGGUAAAAGUGAGCAACAGCAUGUGCUGGAAGAAGGACAAAGUGGUGUGAGUGAGUUGAGGCUCCACUCUUUUGGGUUCUUCCCAGGCACACCGUUACUUAUAGUUUUCAUGCAAGAGAUGUAAUCAAUCAAAAUGUUCAGACAUCCUUCAGACUGGAAAAACCAGUUUCACAGCUUAUUCCAUAUAUUGAAACGUUAGAAUAUGAUAUAUAUGUUAUUCACAUGUACUGACGUGGUGUUUGGUGUUCUCUGUGUUCUCUUGUUCCAAAAAUAUGAUGCAUAGUUUUUCUUCCCUGUUGGUACAUAACAAAAUGAAUUUAUUAAAACAGGAACUAAAAUGUUCAUGUUCUAUUCAAGAAAGAUAUUUAUAUAUCUAUCUGACAUGUGUAUAUUUGAAAACACAAUUUUGUCAGUUUUUACUUGAAACGCAAAGAUCAUUAGAAACAGUUCCAUGAGCAUGUAAUGAGAAGUAUACUCUGAGCUUCCAAUUAUAUGCUGUAGAAUGUCACUAGCAGCCUACAAAGAAAAUGGUAUAUUUUACGAAAACUUGUAUUGCUAUUUUGGUCUUAUGUCCUUGCUUAAAAGAGAUGAAAUCCAUGCAACCAAUAAUCAGAAGCACUGAUGACACGCACUUUUUUAUUCUUUAUCACGUGUAAAACUGGGUUGAAAGAAUCCAUGUAACUGACCUCACCUAGAGGGAUAAGACUUUGAUGUUGUUGUAUUAACAACAUAACCCUUUUCAAGACAUCACAAAAUUGAAGAGGCUUCAAUGUACAUUUUUUCCUAUUUCAGUACCAAAAUUUACUGUAGUUCUCCCUUAUUUUCUUUCUUUUCUCCUCUUCGUAGAGAUAUUUUUAUUACAAAAAGUGUGCGUAUGCUCUUAUUUUACAGAAAAUCAUUACUAAUCCAAAAAGUUCUGAACCUCACCAAAGACUGUGAUGGAACACAUUUGAAACAUGAUGCAAGCCCGACUACCACUGCUUUUACCCAAACAUAACGUCUAAAGGAAACAUUUUAUCAUAUAAAUUGUAAAUAUGCAAUUUAUAAAGCAAUACAUUUACUGUGUAAUAUAGAUAAGAUAAUUAUAUAUAUUAUCUUUACUUUUUUAUUUAAUAAUUAACUGGUAAUAUUAUAUUUUUUUUAAAAAAAUAACUAUGAUUUAUUUAUAACUUAUACAUUAUUUUCUAUAUAUUUUAGUUUUAAUAAUAUAACACUGGAUUAUCAUAAGAUAUAUUUUUCAAUAUAUCAAAGAUUUUAUUCAAAAGAUAAUAUUAUAUAUUUGGUGAGUAUGAUACAGAUUGUAUUGUACAUUUUCAUUUACAUGCCUUAAAUUCAUCCCAAAUGAUAAUAAACACAUCGUCCCUUUUCUUGCACCAAUACCAAAUGGGGGUGUGGUGGUCAUUAUUCACUAGUGCAAAAAAGGUUUUUUAUACCUCUUAAAAAAGGCUUUUUAUACCUGUUUUCAAGUAGAUCUAGAAGCAAGGGGUAUAGAAAGUUUUUGAUUUUUUACACCUACUAUAAAACCCGUAUAGAAAGUUUUACUUUUAUACCUCUUCUGUUUAUAAUAGGUAUAAAAAGUCUCCAGAGAAAUUUUUUUUUAUACCUGCUGGUGCUAGAAUAGGUAUAAAAGAAUCUUACUUUUAUACCUACUGGUAUAUAAUAGGUAUAAAAGAAUCUCACUUUUAUAUCUCUUGGUACUAUAACCGAUGUAAAAAGUGACUUUUUUAUAAAAUAUUUGAUUUGUACGUACUACUAUCCAUAUCCAGACCCGCAUAAAAUUCAAUCCCAGAAUAUAGUUUAAAUAAUCAAUAACAAGAAAAAUAAUCAAUAUUGUUUUUAUUAACAAAUCAAAAUGUAAUAUUUAGCUAACAAAGUUCCUAAAUAUAUUUACCUAACAUAGUUAUUUAACAUAGUUACACAUAAAAUAGUUCUAAACUCAAAAUGUAAUAUUGAAUCAUUUAAUCAUCUACAAAUGGUUAAAAAAACUCCAGCGUACUGCUCUCGAACAUCCUUUAUGACAUGUUGCUCCAUUGAAGACAUGUCAUCAAAUAUCUACACAAUGUAUAGUUUGAGUCAAAUUAUAAUAUUAACUUUUAGAUAAAAAUCACGAGACAUAUACCCAGUUUAACUAUCACAAUUCAAAAAGACAACUUCAAAAAGUACAUGAUAAGUAAGAGAUAGAUAUCUUUAGAUCAUAAACAAUGCUACAACAAAUUCAAUUAAACUAUGUUCAACACACAAACAAUCGCAACCAAUAUGUAAAUUCAAUAUUGUUAAAGUUUUUUAUUAUUAUUCUAUCUUUGCGAAAUGAAAGUUGUUAAAGUUCUUUUAUAUACAUAUAUAUAUAUAUAUAUAUAUAUAUAUAUAUAUAUUAAAUAAUCUUAAUUAAAAUUUUUUAUUAAAGAAUAUUGGUUAUAAAAAGGCUCUAGUUAUUAAUAGAUUAAGUUGAAAAAAGCAGUUCAGAAAGAAGACUUCUAUGACAUAAACUUUGAAAAUGAUACGUGUCUAAAUGAACUAGUAAAAUAGGCCAAAGUGGUUCUGCUUUGCAUUUUGCCAGUUAGACUUAUAGAUUAGACACCUUUGAACUAUAUAUGCAUUUGGUCCUGCAUUAGCAAGGAAAAGUGAUUUAAAUUAGUUAUCUCCACUCUUGUUCAUAUGCAAGAUGACUAUUAACUGAAAAGUAACCGUGAGACAGAACAAGGUAGUUUAUAGUACUUGGGGGAGACAGAACAAGGGAUUAAGUUGUAUUGAAUAGCUUAUCACUGGAAUGUAAAAAAGAAAGCACAAACAAUAAGACAAAUUAAUCUGUACUUAGCCAAAAAUUAAACACGGUUCACAAUGUCCCUAUUGAAAAGGCAGUUCACCAGACAAAGAUGUCCCUAGACACAUUGCUUUUCUCAUGCAAAAAUAACAAAGGAUCAUAAAACGUGAUUAAGAAACCAAGAGUCCGAGAAUACAUAUUAUGUUCUUAAUGCUUAUUUGGACCCUGAAUCCUCUCAAUUAAAGCUGUGUUUGAAACUAUAUUGUUUAGUUUUAUAGAUAACACAUAUUCAUAUUCCCUUUGCUGGCUUUAAUUUUGGUUACUAUGCUUUCUAACUGGUAAGAGUGAUGCAAAAUUCUGUGUACAUUACCUGUUUUUCCUCUAGAGAAUGAAUUGCAUNUUGCAAACAAGUUAGAAUUCCCUCUGNAGCUAUUUUUGUCACCUCACUUGGAUCUGGCUGAAAUGAAUAACAUAAUUUAAAUUCAUAUAGUAUAUAGUAUAUAUCUACAAAGCAUAAGCGAAAUUGAGAGAGGGUAGUGAAAGACUAUGAUUUUCUAACAAAAUGAGUUUAUUUUCAAUGCAAACUUCAAUUUUAGCACUUUAAUCAAAUUCUAUGCAAGUUCAGAAUCUAAAUAAGAAUUUUGUAACCUCUAGAAGGAAACAAAAACUGAAAACACACAGAAAAUGAUGACUAUAACCUUUUCUUCUUGACUUUCCAGCCACUGAAUUGUUUUAUUCAAGUCAUCAAUGGCCCACUCCUUCACUUCCGAAGGCUCAAAGCAUUUCCUAGAAAUAUCAGUGCCUUUUCCCUGGAAUACCACCAAACAUAAAAGUCUAUACUUUAUAGCAGAUUUACUUGUUUGCAGAUGAAUUAAAGGUUAUUCAAACUCUCAAGUAUGUGACUUAUAAAACAUCUUGUUAGACUUACCUUUGAUUUUAUGGAGGCUGUUGACUUUGAAGACUGUUCUCCAUCAACAUGCUUUGGUGACUUUUUGGGUACAUAUGGUAUUUUAUCUGUACUCACCAAUAGUGGGGUUCACAUAAAGAUAAAAUAUAUGUGAAAUUGGAUGUUGCUGCUGUGCAUUGGUACUUGAUUUUUGUUGAUGUUGCUGCUGUAGCUGAGCCACUUUCACCUAAACAUAAAAAUAAAAACUUACAGUGAAUGCAUGGAACAUGUUACAAUUAGUAAGACAAUGCAUAUGUAAUGUGAAGAGACGCAAAACAAAAAAAUGCAAAAUUCACAAAAUCUCCUGUAAAAACAGAAUUAGCAUCAAAGUGUUUGUUAAAAUGCAUGAAAGAAAUGAAACUUUGUAAAAAGCAAAAUUCACAAAAUCUCCUGUCAAAACAGAAGUNNNNNNNNNNNNNNNNNNNNNNNNNNNNNNNNNNNNNNNNNNNNNNNNNNNNNNNNNNNNNNNNUUUGUUAAAAUGCAUGAAAGAAAUGAAACUUUGUAAAAAACAAAAUUAAUAGCUAGAACACGUCUAUAUCAAUGAAAAUAUGCAUGAAAUGUAAACAAAAUUGGUUAAAUGCAAUGGAAUCAUGAAGUCACUAUGUAAACAAAGAUUAUGCAGCAAAAGACACUGAACUAAUGCAUCAGAAUUUUGACAACAAAAGUAAAAUGAGUACUUAACUAGCUGAAACGAAAUGCAGUUAGAGAAUUCAUUAUUUUAACAUUGAAAUCCAUCUAUAACANUGCUAAUUAACAACUGGAACAAUCAAUUUCAGAAAAUCAUAAGCCUAGUUUCGUAUCCCCAAUUUUUGCCAAAUCUAGAAAACCUAAUCACCAAAGAGAGAAGGAAACAAGAACAUACCUGGUAAUCACUACGGGCGAGGCAUUUCCGAACAAUUUCGCCUUCCAGGGUUCGCCUUUCUUCUAGAGUGAGAUAGAAUCUGAUUGUUCACCAUUAACUCGUAAUACUGUGCAAGACGAGUUUGUCCUUGCUUCUUCACCAUUAACACGAAUUUCGCAACCGCACCACGCAUUCCUCAGCUUCCGGCUUCCUUCAAAUAGAAGGUUACAUCGAUGGUUAAGGAACAAAGAACAAGAAUAAAUAAAUAAAUAGAGNUGAUAGUUGUUUUUUCUUUUUUGCGACUGUUUAAUUACUCGAACGAUUGCACGACGCGCACGACGUGAAGUUCGAUCGUGAAGGCUGGAGGGAACCCGGUGGAGAAUCUAAAGGUGAUGCGAUCGACGGUGAGGUCCUUCAAGAACAGGAACACGGGAGCGUCGAAGAGGCGGUUGAGAGAGGAAACGUCGAAGUUGAGGUUGGUAAAAACGGCGAGAGAGUGGAGGAUGGAGAUCGAGGUGAGGCUCUUCUCCGAGCCAUAGCCGAAGCACAAAAAUUCUUGUUUCGUUACGAAAAUUGUGGGAAAAAAAAAAGAAAAAGAACGAGAAGAGAAAGUAUCGCGCGAAAAAGAAUUUGAGAAUGUAAAAUAAUCCAUACCUCUUAUAAUAUUUGACUGCUAUAGAUCAAUAAUCUAUGCCUCUUUUGGUGUUAUCAGAUAUAAAAAAGAUUUUUAUACCUAUUUUUCUUACAAGAGGUAUAAAAAAGUUUAUUAUAUUUACAAAAUUGCCCUUACACCAUUAUUUAUACCUGAUAAAUUUUAAUAGGUAUAAAAAAUCGAUAUAAAAAGUAUAAUUUGCACCAGUGAUUGCGUAAUAGAUUUUAAAUAAAAAAUAUUGUUAAACUAAAAAAAAUUAUAAAUAGUGUGGCAUCACUUAAUAGUUUGGAACUGCAGCAUUUUAAGAAAAAAAGCAAUUACUUGUACUCGCACCAUUAGAAUAAGACCGCUACAAUUACACUAGAUAAUAAGAAUUAUAAAACAUUUUAUAAGCUAAUAUUAGUUGUAGAACCAUGUGCAGGUUUUCAACAGAAAUUGUUCCUCACACUUUCACAUAACAUAAUUUCUUAUAAUCCUAUUUAAAUAUUACUAUCCUUGCAGGUUUUGUUUUUCCACACACUCGAUCAUCAUGUUCAAGAACUAUAACAUUGUAAAAAAUCUGAGAGACUUUAAAACUAUAACAUUAUAAGUAUUUAUGUCUUGUAAGGGGACGAAAUAAUGUAUUUUUAGAUAUCUUCAUAAAUAUCAUGAAUCACCUAACUCAACAUAAGAUGUCAUUAUGUUUAUCAACUCUGCAAAUGCUUGCAUCCUACUAGUAUAAAUAGAUGACCACGCUCGUCCCUGAGGAUAACAGUAAGUUGAAAAGAUGAUAUUCACCAUGGGCAAAGAAAAACCUUCUUGUAGCUUAACCUGCAUCAUACAAAUUAUAAUAGUUAAUUGAGUCAUCAGGAAUUUCAAAUGAAAUCACAAAAUAAUAAAAUUACCUGCACUAAAUGACAUCCAUGAACAUGUCUUAUACAAAUUAAGCGAUGUUUAGUAAUAUCAGAAUGUGGUGUGGAACAAUUUGGAAAGAUAGUAUAAUUUUGAGAGGAUGACAUGCACACUAAAAUUACAUUAUGUCGGUUAGCAAUUGCAUAACAAAUGUCUCAUAAUGUCAUCCACUUGUUCCUGUUAGCCUGUUAUGAAUAAAACAAGUUAUUAGAUAAAAUAAAUAUAAUAAAUAAAAUACAUAAAAUGGGAAACACUUACCGUCGAUUGUAGUUGCACCAACAAAGACUUCCUCAGUUCAUCUAGUCUAUCAAAGCCUCCUACUAGGCUUGCGUAGUCAUCACGCCAUUGAGUAAGUUCUUUGUACAAAUCAUUUCUGAUAACGGGCCAUGAAUCUUCUCUGAGUCCUAACGACGUAGCAAUGCAUCUAUAUCCAAAGUGACCAUCAACCACAACAUCAACAACGUCCACAAUGAAGGGGUAAGUAAUAGAAUAAAAUUGGUCUAUCAUUGGAACUCUUUUUUUCUUCACUACAUUUAGCUUUUGUAAUUUACUUUUAACAGAUGAAGAUUCCAUGGUUGAAUGAAAGGCGUCGACAUACUCAAAGUAUGAUGGAUCCUGCAUAGUAGACCUUUAUGUUUGUUGAACUUUUCUUUUUUGUGCACCCUUUGUCUUGACUUUAUGUAAUGAAGGGACGAUUGAUAUCAAUGUAGGACAAGUAAUGUCAAGUAACUUCUGCUUGAUGGUGACUUUACCUCCAAUGUAAGCCUCAUUGAAUCGUUCUUUUACUUGUUUAAACUCAUCUUUAAUGGAUAAAUGAGGCUCGGUUUCAUUUAAUUCAACAUUUGAGAAAUGCAAUCUUUUUCCACAUGAUAUGAAAUUGACCCACAGGGAUCAUCCUAGGAUCAUACCGUGCUAAUUCACAUGCACAAGGGACACCAAAUGUACGUCUUAAUACGCAUCCACACUUUGAUGAGUCUGAUCCUAUCUGUUGCACUCUUUCCAAUUCCUUAGCAACAAGAUCUAAUACAUAUCGAGAGACACGCCCAAUAAGUUUUCUAUAUAUGUAUCCUUUAAAAGGGUCGCUCGUGAGUGUCAACACCCAAUUUUGUCCGGGUGACUGAAUAAAAGGACUUAGUGUUUGUUUUUGUCUUAUUUUAUUUUCAUUUUUAUUUUAUUUUUCUUAGUUUUUUGGUAUUUGAUUUAGCUAUCUUAUUAUUAUUAGAUUUUAUUUUAUUUUCUAUUUGAAAAAAAAUAUAUAAAAAAAAUAAAUAUGAAAAGAAAUGAAAAAAAAAGAAAGAAAAGAAAAAAAAGAAGGAAAAGAAAAGAAAAAAAAGAAAGAAAAAUUUAGUCAACUAGCCCUUUUGGGAAUGUCAGUCUCGUGCUUUCACCAUUUUCGGUUUAGGCAAACACCAGUCGAGCUUUCCAUCCUGUAAAACUUUACACGUUACGUUGCCCUCCUGCUGUCCUCUUGUUGGUCACUGGGCCAAAAUCCUUUGCUUAGAGUCGCAAUCUUACGUCAAAGAGGGAUGGAAAUUUGAAUGUCUUUGCCUAAUUAAUCCAGUUUAAACGCAAAAAAGGGAAAAAGACAAAGGAUUAUGUUUGGAUGAUUCAGAAUGUAGAAGAGGAUAGCUGGGACAGUGAGGGGGAUCGGUUUUGACCAUGCUGCCUGAGAAAAGAGAAAGGGGAGAGCGAUAUCACAACAGAGAGUACACUAUCACAACGAAAAAAAAAGACCAUCAGAGAGGAGAAGGAUAUACACAUCCAACACCACCUCACUUUGAACCUCACUAUCAGAGAACAAUAUCACAACAAGAGGUCACUGAGGAUAUCUUUACCACUUGUCUAAGAGAACCAAAGAAAGGAGAGCCAAAAGGAAAAGUCUCGAAGCUGCGGAGGAGUCUUGAAGCUGCGGAGGUAAGUCCUCAUAUGCUUAUACUUAAGCUCUUUGCCUCCUUAUGCAUGCUUGGAAACUCUUUGAACUGGCUUAUGUGCAUGCUCUCCUCUCUUGUUAUAUGUCUCUAUUUUAUGUUUGGACGUGAAUGAAUGAUGAUCAGUAUAUAUAUAGUUACAUUUGUCUUUUUGUAACUUCACCUGGUAAUCAAAAUACACUCAACAUGUGAUUUCAAGCAACAUCAGAUAUAAAUGACAAUAGGAGAUAAGUAUAUAUUCCCCUUUAAUGUCCAGAAAACACAUAACAAAAAGUAAAGAAAAAACCGAUACAUUUCUGUAUCAAUUCCUAUAAAAAAACUGAAAGAAUACAAGCGGUUUUGUCCUUCUAGUAGACCAUAGGUUCCUCCAUAGGUUCCCCUCAAUCUAAGUUAUGGCUAUCUUCGAGACCAUCUUCCACCUGCAUCAAACAGCAUCAACAGACCAAGUUACAGAUCUCGUGCCAGUUUAUUCAAGACCGUUCUUUUAUCCUAGCUCACUCCAUUCAUCUUUGCCUUUGUUCCCCGACCUACAUCCCAGCCACAAUCAUCCUCACACACGCUUACGAUAGCGUCAUCACCAAAACCCCAAGAGCCAAACCAGAUAAUGAAACUUAACCCCCCCACACCGCUGUUCAUCCUCAAUCACCAACGAAGGGAUUGAAUCCUUGAGCAGAAAACGCAUACUCAAUAGAAAACCUGAAACCCAUCUUUAGUCUUCUUUCAUCUGGAAUUGGGUUGAUGCUGAGAGGAGGAGGGUUUUAGGGCUGUGAGAGUUCAGAGAAGAGAGUGACGGUGGCAUCCCUGUUUGGUCGUGGUGGGAGCAAUGGUCUCCUGGGUUUGACAAGGCGAAGGUGUAGCCAGAACUGCCAUAUGCGACGCGGUUUCCUCCGGCGGCAGCGGUAACGUCCGACAUCGUUGGCGACGGCAGCUUCAAGCUCGAAGAAGGGUUUCCCACUGGCGAUCAUAGUGGGGGAAGGAAGCUCGACGCCGUGGCUGGCGAAGAUUCGACUGUGAGUGGUGGAGCCGUCGACGGCUUGAACGGAGCCUCGCGACGGCGGUGGCAGAGAGGCGGUGGUAGACGAUGUUUAAGGGAGGAAAACCCCAAUCCUAUGCUGGUGCGAAAGAGAGGGAAAAGGGGCGUGACGCCGUGGCCGACCGUGAUUCCGGUAACGUUUGUCGUCGCCGACGACGUGAUGGACGGGGUAGAGGGCGCAGGUCCGGUUGUCAAUGUGAGGCAAGAAACCCUAGGUCUCUGAUGAGAGGAAGUGCGAGUGUGGGAAUGAGGGGAAGCAAUCUGAACCCCUUGAUGCUUCUGCUGAAGCAUAACCCUUGGGCCCAGUUCUUGGACCAGAUCAAAUUCUUUUCCUUUUCUUUGAAAAUAAAAAAUAUUAUUCUCCUCUGACACCCCAUUUCUAAUCUCUGCACCCCCCUUUUAUUUUCAGCUUGGGGCCAGCACUACGCCAGUUAAAAAUAAAAAAAAAACAAAGAAAACCAAAAACAACAAAAAAACAAAAAAUAUCCUUUUUACACCCCGUUUUCUCCUAAGCCGCACCCUUUCCGAUUGGGCUCAGACCCAAUUUGCCUUUAGAAUUGAAUUAGGUUUGUACACCCCUAUUUUUCAUUUUUACCACUUUUUUUUUACUUGGGUUUAGGCCCAAUCUGUCAUUACAAAUAAAUAUGGUUUGGGCACCCCCUUUUCUCAUUUACGCACCUCUACACCCUUUUUACUUACUAUUUUGUUUUCUUUUUAUUUUAUCAUUUAACACUUUAUUUUAUUUUUAUUUAUUUAUUAAUCUAUUUAUUUUAUUUUACCUACUUUUAAAUAGAUAUUAAAAUUAACAAAAAUUUAUUAAAAAAGGUUUAAGCACAUGUGCGACUAUUCACGUCAGCCUUGUGUUAAAAAUCUUUUUCUUCUUCUUUUAAAAAAAAUUAUUUCAAGAGGUUUAAGCACACAUGCGACCAUCCGCGUCAGCCUUGUGUUGAAAACCUUUUUCUCCUUCUUUUAAAAAUAAAAAAGUUAUUUUAAAAGGUUUAAGCACACGUGCGACCAUUCGCGUCAUCCUUGUGUUAAAAACUUUCUUCUUCUUCUUUUAAAAUUAAAAAACUUAAUAAAAAAGGUUUAAGCACACGUGCGACCAUUCGCGUCAGCCUUGUGUUGAAAACCUUUUUUCUUCUUCUUUUAAAAAUAAAAAAAGUUAUUUUAAAAGGUGUAAGCACACGUGCGACCAUUCACGUCAGCCUUGUGUUAAAAACUUUUUUCUUCUUCUUUUAAAAUUAAAAAAUUAAUAAAAAAGGUUUAAGCACACGUGCGACCAUCCGCGUCAGCCUUGUGUUGAAAACCUUUUUUCUCCUUCUUUUAAAAAGAAAAAAAGUUAUUUUAAAAGGUGUAAGCACACGUACGACCAUUCACGUCAGCCUUGUGUUAAAAACAUUUUUUUUCUUCUUUUAAAAAUAAUAAAUUAAAAGGUUAUCUUAAGAGGUUUAAGCACACGUGCGACCAUCCGCGUCAGCCUUGUGUUGAAAACCUUUUUCUUCUUCUUUUAAAAACAAAAAUUGUUUUAAGAGGUUUAAGCACACGUGCGACCAUUCGCAUCAUCCUUGUGUUGAAAACCUUUUUCUUCUUCUUUCAAAAAAUUAACAAAAAAUAUAAAACAUCAUGUUUUCAAACAAUCACCCAAACAUAAUUAAAGAACUACGUAACCCUGAUUUCUCAGUCCAACUGAGAGUACAUAGGAGCAAGGUCAAUCCUUGUCGGGCACAAAAAACACAAAAAAUAUUUUGUUUUCUUUAGACUUUUAUUUUUUAGGGGAAAUUAAACAUUUUGCAAACCACAUCAAAUUCACGUAUUUAGUUAAAGGUACUGCCUUAGGGCAGGCGUUAUGGGGGUGCUAACACUUUCCCCACACGUCACCGACUUCCGAAACCAGAAUUUGGUUUUGUAGACCUUGCCUUAUCAUUUUACGGUUUUUCCGUAGCUUUCCAGAAUAAACUAUGGUAGCGACUCUAAAAUCUUUUUUUCAAAUUCAUUUUCUUUUUUGAUCGUCGUCCGGUCGUGAUUUUCCGGUUGCGACAGUGAGCAACAAACUUAUUUCAAAUGACGUCUUAAUCUUGUUGUGUUGUAGGAUAAUGACGUUAUGAAUACUAUCCCAACAAGAACAUAAAUCACCCAUAUUAUUGCUCAGAAUGCUCUUCAGACUCGAAUGAGCAGACUCAACCCUAAAAGAAAAAAAAAACAUCAACAAGUGCAAAUAAAUAUUUAUCUACAAAACAAAUAAAUAAAAUAACAUUACAACAUACCUAUUUGUGGUUUUGUUCCCUAAAUGCAUUACUUUGUUCAUCCAAAACUUUACACAGUAUGUAUUGUACGGAAUAAUCGAAGUCUGAUUCACAUAUUCAAAGAACAAAGGCCAUGAACUGCUCACGCAUUGAAGACCAUUCACAUACUCAACAAACAAGCUCUCAUAAGCACAAUCCAUCACAUUUUUUCAUGCAUCCAUCAACACAUCCAAGCCUUAGUACAACGAACUAACAUUUUGCAUUUAGGUUGAACAUUUUUAAGGAUGUGGAACCAACAUAACAUCUGAUAUGACUCAUGGAAUACAUUUGUAAUGGCAUUCAUCAAAGCCAAGUCUCGAUUAGUGACAAUGACUUUAGGACCACCCUCAGAUGUUAUAAAUAAACCUUUAAGCUUUUCCAAAGCCCAUGUGAAAUGACUCCGCCUUUCAGUAGACAAGAAAGCAAAUGCUGCUGAGAAGGUUAAACCUGUUCACGUCAUGCCUGCAAUCUCAAGCUACGAAAGUCUAUAUCUGUUUGCUUUAUAUGUGGAAUCUAUCAAAAUACAACAUUAAAUGAGUUUAACAAUUUCACCGCAUCAGGAUGUGUUCAAAACAAGUCAGUAAUAACCUUUGAAUCGUUGGCGCACCUAGUCCAAUGAAUGUAUUUAUCCUGAUCCAACAACAACAUAAGCUGUUGUAGUUCAGCUAUGGACCCUUUAGUUUAUACGCUUGCCUUGCGUUGUAGAUUUGUUUAAUCGUUGUGACAUUUCAAUCAUUAUUUUGUUUAAGGGUAAAUGAAAUAUUUGCAGGUGUAACUUUACUCUUUGUCAUAUCAAUCAGUAAUGACUUCUCACUCAUAUUUAACCUACCAGCAUAAGGGUGCCGAACUAAAGUUUCAGCCAACUCAUGGUUGUGAUGUCCACACAUCACAUUCAACACCCAUCCAUCCCCAUCUGAACAUGGUUUACUCUUUAAUCUAAACGGACACUCACAUUUAUGAGUGUCGUAUACACUGGGCACCGCAUCGGCUUUAUAUUUUCGAUAUUUCCCUCCUCUUUCACAUCCAAGUAUGACGAACGUUUUUCUUCCCCGUACACCAGUAGCUUUAUCAGAUCUUAACGAAUCCUAAAUCGUAAGUCAUCCCUCUUACCCAAUCCAUUAAGUGCUCUCGUGAAAGAAAUAUUUCAUUUGUGGUAAAUUUAUUUGUCAAAUCUGUCUCUACAUCUUCGCUAUGAAUGAAGAGAAAUUGGAUAUCAAACUAGAACCAACUUGAAAAUCCAUAUGAAGAUAUUCAUCCAUUUUAAACAAUAAUCAUCUAUAAAAUUAUAAUCAGUCUUAUUAACAUAAUUAAUAAUUAAUCAAACAAAUAUAAAAAUAUUAAUAUAUUAAAAUUAUAUAUUUCAUAUAAUUAAAGUAGUAAGUAUUUUUUAUAGAAUUAUAAAAUUGUUAAACAAUUAAAGAUACAAAUAAAAUAUAUAUAUUAUAAAAAACAUUAAAUUUAAAAACUAACGUGUAAAAUAAAAAAUAGAAACAUAGAUCUUCAAAUAUACAUUAUUAAAAUAUACAUUAUUAAAAUACAUUAAAAAUAUAUUCAAAAAUAAUACAUGAGAACAUAUAAAUUCCUUUAUUAAAAUAUCUCAAAAUUAAUAUAAAAGAGUAAACUAAUAAAAAAUUCUUAAAAAUUUAAACUAAUAAAAACAAAAUCUCAAAAACAUUAAUUUAACCUGAAAAACCCUUAAACGAAAAUGUGAGCAUCCGUCAAUGGAUGUCAAUAUCCGUUUAAGGAUUUUUCAGGUUAAUUUAGGAUUACGUACCUCUUCACUGCUUAUUUACAAACUUUUCUUGAAGCGUUGAUAAAGUCCACCACCACCUUCAAGCAACACAGAUAUUGAAGUUUGUUACCCCUGCAACAAUCCUUCGAGCAACCUUUCACUCACCAGAGUCUCACACCAAAAGAAAGAGAAGAGAGAAUUCCCAAGAUGAAAAAGUAAGAAUGAGAGCAUGAACAUAAUAGAGAAUGAAUAGGUUGUGUGUGAGAAAUGGAUAGAAAUUAUAAAAUUUUUAACCCUAAAAAUAAACUUUUAUUAAAGGAUAAAUUAGGAAUAGAAAGAUAAAGUGAGGAGUAAAAGAGAAAGGAGGAGGUGGAGGGAGAAAACGAAAAGGUGGAGGGAGCAACGUCCUACUAGAUUUUGGAGAGCUGGGAGUGUUGGUUCAAGAAUUUAAUGGGUGUUACUGGAUUUAACACAAUGGAAUUUUGGGAGACAGAACUUUAAUUUAAUUUUUUUUAUUUUAUCCAUGCAAUAAAUAUAGUGUUACCAGUGGUUAGUGUUUUUUCACCUAAUGACUCAUUGGUAAUUAUUUUAGCUACAUCACUUCUGUACAAUUUUUAUUUGUGGUAAAUUCUAUAGAUAACAACUAUUUAUAUAUGAAUUUGAUUUAUUUUUGGAUAAUUUUAUUUUUUUUAUAUGGAUAAAGUUAUUAUUUUAUUAUAAUUAUAUUAUGAGAGUUGUAAAUUUUAAAAUUUUAGGAUAAUUUUUUGAAAUAAAUUAAGAAUGUAGAAAAUUAAAAGUUAAUUUACAAAGAAAGUUUGAAAAUGACAAAGAAUAUAAAUUCUUUAUUGGAAAUGAUUCUCUGUAAGAAAAGUUCAUUUGUUUUACAAUUUUCAUUAUAGUGGAAAAAAAGAUUCAAAGUAUUGAGUGAUAGAAACACUACAAAAAUAAUAUAUUUUAGGGGUUAGUUUCUGGAGGUUUUAUAAACCCUGAAAAAUUUCUGACAUUUUAAUAAAACCGUCCCUAAAUAUUUUUAAGUAAUUCCUAAAUAUCUAUCUACCUCAUGCCUUUCUUCUACCUUAAUCAUUUCUCUUAUUCUUGAAUUUUCCUCAAAUCCAAUUUUCUCGCUCUCUACCUUCAUUUCCUCAAACUAUUUCCUUGCUCUUUGCUUUCAUUUCCUCGCUCUCUGCCUUCAUUUCUUUGUCCCUUAAAACUUCAUCGGAAUUAUUUUCUCCCAAACCCCUUUCUUGCACCAUCUUCAUAUUGUUCUUCCCUUGCUUGGACUGAGUAUUGUGUUCGUCAUUGAGGUGUUGUGGUGCUCUAUGGCGUUCGCACUGGGAAAUUAAAUUGUAGAUUCGUUCACGCGACUUAGAAACUUGUCGAAAAAUCUUUCUGAUUCAUUUGUUUUGUAUAUUUUACUUUCGAAAUUUUCAUUUUGCUCUCUUCCUUCUUCCAUAUGUUGUUGUUUACUGUUUUCAUAUUUGUUUGGUCUCUUUAAAAGUCUGUGUAAUUUACUUGUAUAAUUUUACUCAAACUCUGAAUGAGCUAUUUAUGAUAGCUUUACUAUUACCUAACUAUUUUUUCUCUUUUUUCAUUUAAAGCUGCGAGAUUACAUUGAGGAUACUGAAGAUUAUAUUAAUAUUCAAGUAAGUAGCUAUCAAUUUAUUGAAGAUAUCUGUAGUAAAAGAUUUUUUACUUGUUGAAGAGACAUAUUCAAUGAAAUCCAAUGAAACUAGUGGUAGUUUUAGUGAAUAUUUUGUUAUGUUAACUUGAAAAGUAAUAUAAUGCAAAGGUAUUUAUUGACGUGUCUGGAUAUUCCUCACAUGAGUUGUGGCGCUGUAUGCAUAUGCAAGAUUAAGAAGAGAAACACAGAAAAGAUGAAGAGCAUUAAAAAAUAUAUGGUUGUUCUGUACUGUGUUUAUGGUGUGGCAUAGUGAACCAUAAAAGAGAAGAAUAAUAAUUUAAUAGUUAUUUUUCUUUUCUUUUUUAAUUAGUCUAUGGUUGUGACAUCAUGUGAAGUUAACAAAAAAAAAACCAGUUAAAGAAAGCAUGUUUGCAUAUAGUGCAAAGAGGGAAUCAUUUAAUAUCACGAAAAUUCCAGUGACAAUUUUCCAUUUGGCAGCUUGACAACCAUCGUAAUCAGCUCAUUCAAGUGCUUUCCGUAUCUUUGUACUUGCAUGAAAUAUCUGCUAGUAUUUUGUUAUGUUUUUUUAGUGACAUUGCUAAAUGGUUUUUGAUAUACGGUUAGUUUUCCAUAAAAAAAUACAUUGUAUUUUGGUUAUAUGUUGAUUUCAUGACAUUGAUUAUAUGUUGAUUGCAUUUUGGAUGAAAAUACUUUCUAUUCAUAUAUUUUAGCAAUAUUAGGAACUUUUAAAAUUGUUUUAGUAGACCUUUUGGCAUUUUGUGCUGUUUUUCAGUAGAUAAAAAAGUAAUUUAGAUGUUUGAUUAAUUAUUAGGUUUAUUAGUUUGUUUUAAGAUAUAGGGACUGAUUAAAUUAUAUUUUUAAUACUAGGUUCUAGAAUACAUGUUACGAUGUAUAAUUAAUGGAUGAUAUAUUAUUGCUUGCAGGUAUAUGCUCAACCACACUAAUAUUCUACUCUUAGUGGACUCUCAUCCCUUGAGUCUUUACAUUUACUAAACAGUGAAUUGAGCUGGAGAUCAAUUACAAGUUUAUUGAUUUAAGCUAGAUAUAAAAGGUCAAUAUUUUAUAAAUUUAUUUUUAUGACAUUCAAAAAUAUUUUGUUAAUAGUAUUGAACCGUUUCAUAGAAUUAAUGAUUUAAUUUAGAGUCUAGUAAAUAUUUAUUCUUGUACAAUACUAUUAUAGAUGGUUCUUAGUGUGUUAUUCAUUCACCAUUUACUUUUAAUAUUAAGUAGGUGUACGACUUAGGAUUAUAUUAUUUUAGGAAACAAUUUCAUAACUAAGUAGGAGAACUACUUAGUUUUGAAUUCUUUAAUUCCAUAAGUAAGUGAGGCUAUUUCAGUCUUCAAAUUUAUAACUAAUUUGGUAUAAGACAAAGUUUUAUAAACAGUUUAAUAAAUUCAUCUUAUGUAUAAAUUUCAUAAGGUCUUAGAAACAACAAAACUUAGAAACAUUAUUUCCAUAUGAUGAAAGAAAUAUAUCAUUAACAAAGCUUUAAUUUUAAUUGUUAGUUAUUAUAUAUGUUAUUAUUCUGUUUAUUUUCUUCUUUAUUAUAUCUUAUAUGGGUGGUUUAACUUUUAUUUAUGUAAUUGUUUGUAGACCACCUUGUAGGGUCUAUCAAGGAGGAGGUGUUAAAAACAGUGACCCACACAAAUAAUUUUACUUUUCAAUUCAUUAUGGGUGAUUUUCAUUAAACCUUUGCAACCUUUAAAUAGUUGCAAAUCGGGCCUUGGGCCAAAUACAAAUAAUAAAAACUGACAAUAAAAUAUUAACUUACCUACAAAUAAAAUUUGUUUAUUCUAUCAUAAAAUAAUAUUCUACCUAGAUAAACAGAAAAUCAUAACUACCCAUUCCUAUUUUAUCUCUAUCAAAUCAAACCAAAUAUUACUAUACCCAAAACUAAUAAAAUAAUAAAUCUAUAAAAUUUAAGUUUAUCCCAACAAACUCCCCCAUAAACUUAAAUUCUUCUCUUCAUUCUUCUCUCAAGAUUGUCUAUGGCCUUGAGUGUUUCGAACUUCUCCGCUUCCCAGAGUUUGAAGCCGAUCUUGAUCUUGCCUAACACAAUUGUCCCUUGUAUGCAUCUUUCUCCAAUUACCAUAGUGCGUCUUUUUCCCCACACUCCAAUUACGCUUCUUUUUCACCGCACUUCAAUUACUAUAGUGCAUCUUUUUCACUGCACUUUAAUUACCAUAGUGCGUCUUUUUCACUACACUUCAAUUACCACAAUGCGUCUUUUUCACCGCACUCAAAUUACCACAAUGCGUCUUUUUCACCGCACUCAAAUUACCACAAUGCGUCUUUUUCAACGCACUCUAAUUACCAUAAUGCGUCUUUUUCAACACAGUCCAAAUGGUAUCAGAGCUCAUGGUUCAGGUAUGGUGACCGAGCUCAGACGAGUACGUUCCUCCAUGAUCAGGUGAAACCCUGGAAGGUGGGCCAGUGGCCGAUAGUCUGGAAGUGAAUCAUGAGAGGUGGAGAGCAAGAGAUGCUCAGUGUUUGACCAUGGAUUGUGAGAGAAAAGUGUUGACCAUGGUGUACUCAAUGAUAAGAAAGAAAACUUCCGCUGCAGGAGAGGUGGUCCUUUGUUUGAAGGGAGGAUGUUGGGUACAAACAAAGUCCCACAUCAGAAAAAAUAAGAGAUGGACAUAGGUUUAUAUACACAUAAGAUACCUUCAUUGAUAAGAGGCCUUUUGGAGUGGUACCAAAAGCAAAUCUGUGAGAACUUGGUCCAAAGCAGACAAUAUCUUAUCAGUGUGGAGACUUAUGUGUAUGCGUGAGUGUUGAACCCCUCCCUACAUACCUGUCCUUAUUUAUCUGCCCCUCAAAGAAGUAAGUUCCCUUUUUUAAAGGUCUAAUACUUGUUUUAUUCAUGUUGUUAUCAUUUUUUAACAUUCAUUUAUUUGUAGGAACAUACAGACUAAAACUACCUUCGACAAGCCAAAGCACAUACACUCCUACUCCUAUUUAGUCCUCAAAUGAUUUUUUUUUUUCAAGUUAAUGUAAGUGUUCUGUUUCCUUCAAUAAUACACUUAUUUGUUUGUUUAUGUUCUUCCAAAACUUUAGAAAUUGGUCAUAGUACAUGAGAUUAUAUUAGAAGAAAAACUUUAGAAAAGGAUGUUGUUUAUGACCCACUUAGAGUUACUUUGGACAGUUUUAGUUGCAGCAAACCCACUUAGAGUUACUUUAGAAUAUACACGGUUUCUCACUACAAGAAAAAUCGCAGUUACACACGGUCAAAAUCCGUAUAUAACCUCAAAAAUCCGUAUCUAAUACGGUGCUAUAUACAGAUUACAUACGAACAAAAAUUCGUAUAUAAAAGAGGCAUAUAUAAAUUAUAUACGAAAAAAUUCGUAUAUAAAUUACAUACGAAAAAAUCCAUAUAUAAUAUUCGUAUGUAAAUUAUAUAUGAAAAAAUCUGUAUAUAAUAUUCGUAUGUAAAUUACAUACGAAAACAUUGGUAUGCAAUAUCUGUAUAUAGUUAAUUAUUUUCUAAAAAAAAUAAAUAUUAAUUAUUUAUAUUAUCAUAAAAUUUACACAUUAAAAAACGUUUAAAUAACUAAUUUAAUAUAAAAUAUUGUUAUAACAUUAGUAUGUUUGUAUUUGAAAAAAAAAAGUGGAACUAUAAAGAAUACACUGUCAAACAUAUAACUAAACAAAUUUUAGAUUUCUAACGUGUAACUAAAUUUUUCAACAACUCCAAUAUUGUAACAUGUUAUAUUCUAACAUUAAAUUUCAACUUUACAGUAUGUCCAGGCAUUAUGGGCUACACCAGUUAUGUUAAAACCAAAAUAAAAUUAUAGAAGCUAAUUCCCUCCUAUGAAAAAAAAAGCUGCACUGUCAGGACUUAAAAAAUACCUUCUAACAAAAAAUAUAUACAUUCGUAUAUACACAUCAGCUACACCAAGCUAUUAUCCUUCUCAUCAUAAUCGAGGUCUCAUCUUUAAUUCUUACAAAAAUAUCAAAUUGAAUUAAUUCCUACAAAAAUAUCAAAUUGAUUUAAGUCCUGCAACGUAUUUGAAAGCAUUAUUUCCAUUUCAUCACAACAUUUAUUAUGUUAAUCUCUUCAUCAUUAUCUUUAAGUUCAUCUCUAUUGACUACUCAUCACCCUUAUCUAUGAAAAAGAAAAUCAAGUUAAAUAACAAUAAAACAUUAUCAUAAAUUAUUAGAUAAUAACUGAACACACGAUGACAAGUAUUAAGUGUUAAUUUUAAAGGUAUCCAUUAAUUAGUACAUAGCAACGAUGGCAAGUGAACAUGUCUAAAUUGUUUAAACGUUUUGUGUUUAUAUGAUACUUUUAUAUUAGUUAAAUAUUAGUGUGGAUAUGACAGUAAACUUAGCAUCGCAAUCCUACCAAAUCCACAUAUAAUUUUUGAUAGGCAAGAAACCUUAUCAUUAUUAGUCAAUAAAUUAAAACUAUCCAAGUUCAACCAAAAAAAAUGCACAAGUUCAUCGCCAUUAAGUUAUUGUUUAUUUAUAAACAAAAACUUUUAAAAUAAGUUGUUUACCCUUUCGUAUUCAUCUAACCACUUUUCUUCCUCAACAGCAAAUUUCCAUUUCUUUGUCCUAUCUAGGAUAUCUCUUGUGCUUAGAGCUUGUUCCUUGUCCAGUCUUAUCUAUGUUUUGAUACAAAUGAGACAGAUCAACAUUACCUGUAAAGCCAUCAAAAGUGUUCAAAGAAAAAUUAGAGCCAACAAAUACUACGAACAAACACAACAAUAAUUUUCUAAAGUAUUUAAGUGGAAAAGAUUAAAAAAAUUAAGUGAAAUCUUAUUAUAUGCAUCCACAAAUACUUUUGAAAAAAGAGAGUUCUAAAAAUUAUAAAGGAGAUAAUAAGAUAGGUUUUGUACUACAUUUGAAAUAUAAGCAUGACUACAAUAGAAACACUUUAACUAUAUAAAUUGAUUUUAGCAACAGUGAAACACUCACAAGUUGAAAUGAAACUCAAUGAAGUGGUAUAGGCAAGUAGAAUCAGAAAGCCUGAGUUUUUAAAUAAUUACCUGCCAGUUUUCAUACAACAAAAGGUUGUGUGUGGUGAUAGAUGCCAUAGGUAGUGAAUGGGGUAGUACACUGCUAAACAUUAUCGCUUACUAUUCACUAGCAGAUACCAUAAUGUGGCCUAUACUGUAAGGUCUAAAACAAAAUCAUUAUAGGAAAAGUUUGCAUUUAAUACCUCUAAGAAAGGGGGCAAUGUUAAGUAUUGUAGCUUAAAAGAGGUCAAGAGAAGAAAUACGAAAUUCUCUUACUAUCGCUCUCACCUUAGAAGCUGAACAUUUAUAAAACUGAAACGCAGUGACAAAUUCAGCUACUUAUACUCGACUAGAAGUAUGUUCUGCAAACUCUCCCACCUGCAUAAUAUUAACAGAUUGUAAUAUAUAUAUAUAUAUAUAUAUAUAUAUAUAUAUAUAUAUAUAUAUAUAUAUAUAUAUAUAUAUAUAUAAUGUUUAAAAAAAUAGCCCUUGCAUCAUAAUUAACAUACAUUAAAAAUACAUACCUAUAAAAUAUAAUCCAUAGAGGCUUUUGUCCUAUUCCCCUAUUAAAAACUUGUGCAGGAAAAGCUGUGAAAAAGUGAAAAUUAAUCCCAUUGGCGGAACAGAAGAAACAUGCUUGAACUAGGAUAAGUUCUACAACCAAUUUAUGUGUAUAAACUCUAUACACUACUAGGAAAAAGUUUGACUUAGUAUAGCACAUCAAUUAGAGAAUUUGAUAGUGGGUAAGGCAAUUUUUUACAGUGGGUAAGGCAAUUUUUGACUUAGUAGAACAAAUCAAUAUAAUGUCAUUAUAUAUGCUAAAAAGGAUUGGAGAAUUGGAGUUUCAGCCAAUAAUAAUAACAUUACAGUUAGUUGACAUAUAUGUCAAGCAUUCCUAUGAUAAUUGGAGGAUUUAUUGGUCAAAGUAGUACUUUCUAGCAACCUCUGCUCUCAUAUUCUUGCAGUAAAUUCCUCAAUUAAUGGACGCUGAUAGAUAGUAGCAUAAAAAGAAUUGCUUGUUUUUAUAAUAAAAAAGAAUCUAGCCUAUGUUCUACUCACAUAAGUGUUUUUGAGCAGCCAGAAAGUUUAAAUUUACUAACAAACUUGAUUUAAAAAAAGUAAUAAUAAUAAAAAGUCUUCAACAAUUUACCAACAGUGAAGAUGAAACUGAUUCAACAUGUCAAGCUCUUAGGAGACCUUUCCUGCUUAAAAAUGACCUUCCAGGUCCAUAAGAGUUGUCAAUAUUUCAAGAAAGAAGUAGGAAAAUAGAAUAUGUGAAAAUAUAAUUAACCAACUUGAAUUGUCAAUAUUUUCCUGAAUUAACCAACCUGAAUUAUUGUCAAUAUUUAUUCCAACCCUUAUGUUUUUUUUCAUCUGCAAGUUUCUACCUAUUAAGCCAGAUAGACUCAAGUUUGGAAAUAGAGAAAUAAGAUAUUAAUUAAACCCAUCGCAUAAAGUCUGAGUACCAAAAACUAGACUACAAAGAUGUUGUGUAGAAGAGGAAUGAUGAGAAAAUCCCGUCAGUCACCAAUCACAACCAGAAUUUCAUGAAAAUUUACAAGAUAAUAUGCAAUGGAUAAUUAAAUAGUAACUGAAUUUUUUAACUAAAAAAAAAGGUAAAAAAAUACCUCCUAUCAUAAAGGAUGGUAGCAUGACCAUGGAAAUCUUUAAAAUGAUUAUCAAGUAACACUAUUGAACCAAGACUAAUAUAACAAUCAGGCUUUACAAAUCACCCUUUGCAUACUAUAUUUGAUAAUUUUUUUUAAAUAUGUUCUUACUAAAGUUAAGAGUUAAUUUCCUAUAUAUUAUCUCCAUUAUUCAAGUUCUCAAGUACACAACUUAAAAGAAUAGAGUAAACACACAUAUAUGUUAGUUGCUGGAAUAUUUAUGUAAAUAAAAUGUUUACCUGCAGUUAAUUAAGAAUCCACUAUAGUAUUGAGGAAGUUUUAUUGUAUGUCUGCAUUUGAAACAAAGAAAAGGUGCAUAUUCAAUAAAUAUAUAGCGUUAAUUGUUGGAUGUAGUUUUUAUCCCUAAGACUUUAGUUGAUGUAUAGGUGUAACUUUACCUUCAAAAAGUUUCUAGAAACUGAAUCAAUUCAUUGGGAUUUUAGAUUUAAGUUGCAUUAAAUUAUGGAGAAAUACCUUUCUCUUACUCUUACUUCAGAUUGAAUACAUAAAAUUCAAAACCCCAAGUGCUUGCUAAUGACUGAAUAAGAAAAGCCAACAAAUUCAUGAAUAACAACAUCAUCGUCACCUAAUUUUCUUCCAUUUUGAUCUUCAACAUCUUCACCAUCAUAUCUUUGGCCCUUUUACAGGGUAAUUUUUCCCUCCUUUCAUUUCUUCGUUUAUCCAAAACAGAUUGAUAUACGCCCAAAAGAUUUUUCCUUACCUAAAAUUAAAAAUCAAAAUUAAAACAAAAGAUAUUGACUUGCAUCUAAAGAGGAACUUCAGGUUUAAUACCACAACAGUAAGUAAAAUUUGUAUAAUGACUUUGAAAUUAAGCUUAUGAAUCUCAGGUAAAACUCAAUGUCCCCAUAGUGGUCCAUUAAUCCACUACAGCUCUUUCGAACCAACAAAACCUUUCCUAAAAGCUUAUGCAAUUAAAUUUUUUCACUUAAAGUAGUAAGACUCUUGCCUUCUUCUUUUCCCGCCUUUGUCCCCAUCGCCUUCCCAUUGCCUUUCUGUUCCUAAGGUUGAAGCAGAAAGAACAAAAGACUAAAAAGUAGUUUACCCUAACCUUCGUAACCCUCGUUGAGGUGAGAAGAUGCAAUGGUGGUUGUCGAACGAAUCCUUCAUCACACAACAACAAUGGUGCAAGCUUUCAAAAGUCGGUCAACCUACACUCAGCUCGACAAUGGAUGCGCAAGUGGUGGAGGCGUGAGCUGUGGAGUUCUGAGCGGUUAAGGCACGAGCUGUUGACUUGCGUUAGGGUUUUCACAUCGUUUGUCGACAAGGGUCUUCAAUGAAUCGGCAACAAUUUCUUUAUUACGAAGAAGGAAGAAGCAAGAGUCUGAGGGACAUAGAAAUCUUCAAGCGAGUCUACCAGGGUUUGAGGGAGCGCCAUAAUGAAAACUUCCAAUUUGAAAGAGCGCCACAACCAAAAGUUAAAGUCCCUUACUGCAAAGAAAAACUCCUCUGAUUUUUAUUUUAAAUAAUUAACUAGUUUUAAAAUUUAAUGAAAAAUAACUUAUUUUUUAAUAGUAAAUUUUAAAAAUUUGUAUGUAAAAUCAGUAGAUAAUUUCUUUUUUUAUUAGCCAAAAUUAUAUAUGGAUUUUAUAUACCAAAAAAUCAGUAGAUAAAAAUCUGUAUAUAAAAUCCGUAUGUAAUUCAUUUUAAUAAAUCCGUAUAUAAAAUCCAUAUGUAAUAUUCAAUUUAUCUACAAAUUAAAAUAUGUAUGUAAAUAUCAGUCGAUAAAUCACAUUUUUUUUGUAGUGUCUCAAAUAUAAAUUCGAAGUAGAAAUAACCUUAGCAAGAUUGAAAAUAUCAACUAUUAACUAAAACCAUAGUCUGUAUAUGCCAGAGUUCAUUUCUUUACCUUUGAUAUUCAAAUUACAUGGACAUCUCAACAAUUUGCAAUCUUCCUCUGCAUAGUGUUCUCACUUCUCGAAAACAACAUUGUCCUUCAACUAUACUGAAUUAUUCUGAAUUAUCUUAAUAAGUGUAGUUUUGUUGGAAACUCUAUAAGUUAGGGCAAUAAUUAUUACAGUGUAGUUCAGAUUGGUUAAACCUUAUUGUAUAAAAUUGGUGAUAGUUGCAGUAGUAGCAAUGAAAAAGUUGAUGGUUUUAGUAGAGGAGCAUUAAUUUCAAACCUGGUUGUAGGUGUAUGAAUUUUUUAAGGUGUAUGAUGCACAUGGAGUGUUAUUUAUUAAAGCCUAUGUGUAGGAUCCAUCCAUAUACAGACUAACUAGGUAGGGAAACUAGGAACAAGAGAGACCAAAUAUUGAAGAGGCUUCAGUGUGGUAGAUUAAAGUAUUUUUCUUUUAACUCACAUGAUAUUAGUAAGUACCAUUUAUCUUCUUUUUCUCAUACAUAUCAUAAUGGCAACAAUGGACUUUCAUCUCUUCUUCUAGCAUACUCAUACUACCAAUAAAAUUAAUUGACACCCUUUGAAAUAAUUGGAAAACAGAAGACUUAGGAAAAAGGCAAUAAAUGUGAAAUAUUCUCCAGGAUUUUGAUAUAAGAAAAGUAGGAAGAUGAAAAAAGAAAAAGAGGGUAGAAAAGACAGGUCUAGCUAGUUGUAAGCCAGUUAUGAUGCAUUUAACGCACAUGAACUGUGGUACAUAGAAUUGAAUUCAAUAUAGAAUUGAUAGGCCUCUCUUUAUUACGAGCGUUAUCUCCAUCUGCUUGUGGUAGCAGAAGCUAUUAUUGUAAUCUGUAAAGUUGUACUGUAAUCUGUAAGACUAACUAUUUAAGUACUAGAAUCACAUUUAACUAUUUAAGUUAUAUAUAAUUUUUCAUUUUCUUUGUUGUGUUUUUGCUCCUCUUAACAAAGGAAUCUCACUGAUUUGUGUUUGACCUUGUUGUUUUGGAAUUGUGCACUUGUUUUCUCUGAUUUAGACAAUUUCACUAUUUUAUUAAAUGUUGAAUGUAGUAAAAGAUUGAAGCAUAUGAAUCCACAAUUGUUUGAUGGAUCGACAAGUGUACCGAAUCGUACAAGUAAUACAAAAUGGUAAGACCAAGUAUCGUGUUCCAAGAGACUCACGACAGUAAACAGUUGUGUUUUUGUUUAACCAAUCAAGACUGAAAACAAUAUUUUGGGGGUUUUGAAUGCAAGGUGCAAAAAAAUAAACAUGAAUUCAAUUUGAUCAAUUGAGGAUAAGCACAAAAGUGAAUGGAUGAUCGAUGUUUGUAAUAUGAGAUGAAUAUGCUGUUGGGGUUAGAUUUCACCAAGUUCCCUCUCAUGUAUGUAAGAAUUCUUCUUUAUGAAUUAAUGUUAACGUCACUCAGUAAAUAACUUAAACCCAACCCCUCAACGAAUAAGCUUGUCCCUAACCCUAGUUCAUGCAAUUCCUAGCAUUUCUAGUAAUUAGAUAUGAAGGUUAAGAGCUUUAAGAUAACCAAGACUCAUACCCUCAUCCCUGAGAAAUAUUACUCUUGGGAGUAAUUCAACAAGAACAUGAAUUGUAAGGAACCUCCCGACACUCAUGCAAUUCAUAAAUCGUGCUAAUGAGUGAGUUAAGCACAUCAAGCGUUGAAACAGAUGAAUUACUCUAACAAUUAAUGAAAAAGCAUAUGUUAUUAAGAAUCACUUCAAAUACAUGAGAGUUCCCAAGGUUACUAUUGGAAAACAGGUAGGCUUAUUUUUAACACCAAGAGGGGCUGUGAAUUGGUGGGUUUUCAAAAUCAGAGUCUUUUCACAAUAUUUUACACAAAGUAUAAAACUUUACAAACUUUCUUGAAAUGCAAGUAAUAGAAAUUUGUGUGUAGCGGAAAAAGCAAAGUUGACUACGUGAAUUGUAAAGUCGACUGAAUGUAAAAGAGUAGGGACAGAGAAUUCAAACACAGGUUUUUAUACUGGUUUGGCCUCAAUGCCUACAUCCAGUGUCCUUCCAGUACCAGGAAGCAAAUGCACUAUAAUGGUCAAGGUUUUUACAACAAGGCUUUUAUAGAAGACCUCCAUGUCAAAAAUAUAAAACACCUCUCUAACCCUCUAACCAAAAUAUAGGCAAACCGGACAACAAGACUUGCAGCAAGAUAUCUCCUCUCCUGCAAUAUGCAACCCACUUUGAACAAUCCUCAAAGUUUACUAGACUCCAUGAGUCCAACCCCUGUAGUCACAACAGGUUCAACAAACACCACGAAAUGCAGAUACGAAUCUUGAUCAACACAGAAGCACCUUAAUUAUGCAAAUUCUGAUCACGUAGUAAGCACAACCUCAAUCUCCUUUAGAAACUCUUCCAAGCAAGAUCACCACCGUCUUCUUGAUCAGUUCUUGGAGAUCUAAAUCUCAAAGAAUCAAUCUGAAAUAGAACAUGAAAUUGUUAGUUCGUCAAAAGUCUCUGAGAAUGAUCAGGUCUCGUUUAUUUAUAAAUUUCUAUAAAUCAGACGCUCCUGCAGUCGAUUAAGCUACUAAUUUAGUCGAAUGUCCUAUAACAGUUAUAACAGAUCAGUCAACAUGGUAGUAUUCCAGUCAAACAAAUUAAUUCCACAUUUAUUACAGUUGACUUUCAUUCAAUGCUCAACUAACUUUUAAAAAUAUAGUUGUUACUGUGCAUGAGCAUAACAGAAUUUCAAAUCAAACAACUAAUACAGUCAAAUGCAUGGCGCACACAAUUGACUUCAACAUGACAGAUCAUUUUGAAAUUCUUUUCAAUGCAAAAUAUCACAUAGCACUGUAUUUGAAAAUCUGUACAAAGUCUUUAGUCACAGUCGAUUCAAUUACUAAUGAAGUCGACUUUAACUAUUAGCUUUGUCACACAAUUUAAGUUCACAAGAGUGCAUGUGGUUUUCUUCUUUCAAAACAUGUGCAAUGCAACCAGAUAUGAUAUAACAUGUACAAGCUCAGUAAAAGUGCAUUCACAUAUCAGUAUAAACAAAAAAACAUGUUCAACAAGAUAUCAAUCAAUAAGUAGCAGAACAUGUAACACAUCAACAAUAUAUGUGUUAUUAAAAAUGUGUUGUCAUAAUAAAAAACCAGAGUGAUAUAGAUAUUGUGGUGUCAACAAUCUCAAUAGUUACAUCAUCCCCCAACAACAAAUAGAAUUACAAUGGGAUGAGAAGAGAAAGAAAAACCCUAGAAGGAGAAGAGGAGAGUUGUCACCAUCCCCAAAUCUGCCCCCAAGGGGCGAAACUCAUGUUUCUCUGCUUAUGCCAUCAACAGAUACCAACCCUAGGACGUCCAAGUCCUUGAAAUAAAUCAAAAUAAUAACAAAAAUGAAGCCCAAACCCAUAAAGUUGACAGAAAAUUGGUCCAAAUCCAUAACACUAGCACUCAAGCGCCCUUGGAAGGGCGCUUGAGCGUGCGUCGACACUUUCUGGCGCUCAAGCGCCCCUGAAAGGACGCUCAAGCAUCGUGCGAUGCAAAUUCUAGCGCUCUAGUUGACUUUUGCACUCUGGUUGACUUUUUUACACUUUGGUUGACUUUUCUUGCAUUCCAACUAUUUGGUACUUUAACUCUUGUUUCAAAUCAUUCCAAUAUCCUACAAAAUUAAGGGAAUUUAGUGAUAAAAUCAUCAAGUAUAGCCUUAACUCUCUUAUUCACAAAACCAAAGCAAAAACAUGAGUUAAAGCAAGUUUCUGAGUUAAAAAUGGUGCAUUUAGUAUCAAAAUUACAUCACAGAUAAUGGUAUUUUCAAUUGUUAUCACAACCCCAAACUUAGAACUUUGCUUGUUCUCAAGAAAAAUAGAUUGUAACUUAGCUUUUUAGAACAAUUACUACAAUGAUUCAACCUUUUUCAAAACUUUUCCUUCGAGGACAAGAAAUCACUUUUAUCAACUCAGCAUAAAGAUGUCAGUCAAGAUGUGUCGGCACUACUGUAGCGAAGGGAAACGACCGCGGUUGCUUUUCCUAUACGUCGCGGUUUACGAAGCGCAGCAUAUCCAGGCGUGGUAAAAAGUCUGUGACUAUAGGUUGUGGUUCCAACGGCGGUCAAAAGGUCUGCGAAUAGACAACCUCUUGUGAUAUGAGAACAAAUAAUAUGGGUCAUCCAAUACAUUACAUAGUAUCCGCACUCAUAUGACCCAUUUUGUCUGUUACACUACAAUAUAUCAUCACAGUUGUAAAUAGUUAGUGAAAAACAUUAAAACAAAACAACUAUAAGAAAGUAUGGCUUUAGCAUAUGUCAAACCUUGAGAGAAAUCCAUGCAAUCUUUCUACUGUUAGCAAUUGAUCUUCCAACCAUCAUCAUACUUGCUGGAAUAAAACUAUAUAUAUAAAAAAAAGAGUUUUAGCAUUCAUUUAUAUAAAAAAGAAAGUUCAAACAUUGAGGUUCUUACCAAUCAACUAAUUGUCUGAGAUGUGUAGGAGGAGACCUGUGCAAUGAGCAGAACCACAAAGCAUAACUCUCCUGUAUAGAAAUAAUAAGAAACUGCCAAUGGCGCCUGAAAUUCAUAAUAACUUAACUAUUAUAUUUUAAAAUUGCAUAUGGAACUUUAUUAUGUUAACAAAGUUCACUUACUCGGAUAUAUAAGGCAAAAAAUAUAUUUUCUUGCCGCUUGCAAAACUUCUUAUGAGAUUUGUGUUGAUGUGAUCAAAAUCAUUUGAUUCAUGAAUGGAGUGGGGAUCGAUGAAUCCAUAAUCAUCAGAGCGCCCCAAGUUAUUACUGAUCCCAGACAUAUACCUGAAAUCAAAAAUUAACUUUGAUAUAAGGAUACUUGAUAUAUAAAUCAAUUUUAUAUAUAAAUAAUUGCUCAUAGACUUACAUCAUCCUAAGCUGAAUAAUUAAAAUAUUCAACUCUUGUGUUCCUGACACAAGCUCUCUGACAUCUUGGCUAUGAAGGUAUAAUGGGACCUCAGAGGCUCUCCCAAAUACAUUAGCAUCAUAUUCAACCUCCAAAGGCUUAUCUUUAAGGAUGUCAGUAAGUAGCUGCAAUGAACAAAGAGGAUAAUCCUCAGAUAGAGGAAUCUUCUCCUAUGCUUGCGUCUGUUGUUACAUGGAAAAAUAAGAUAAGUUUUGACAUCAAUAACAUGUAAACUUUAAAAUUGAGAAGUGUAAAGUAGAAUUCCAUACCGGGGGGGUCAGAAAAUAAACCAACCAAAUGUUUAGGCCAAGCGAUAAAAGACUGGAAUGCAUGUUCCGUAGUGAAAAUCUCAUCUGUGGGCAGAGGAACUAAGGCAUCUGGUAUGAUCAUUUUGUGUACUGAGACCUUCACCUCAUCCUCUGGUAGGGGAAUAUGUCGCGGUUCUCUAAGCAACCGCGACAUAUUCCCCAACUAAUUUUUCAUUUUCUGACGUGGUCAAAGGCAGAAGUUUGACUGGGGAAUAUGCCACGGUUCGCCUAUGAACCGCGGCCUACAAGUUCAAAUUGUUUUCAAAAAUGCCACAACGCAGUAUUAUGUUGCGGUUUCUGAUGAACCACGACAUAAUGUGCGCUGUAAAAAGUCAAUUUUUUACUAGUGAGAUGCCUUCAUUCAAUCAAAAUCAAUGUGAUGCUCAUAUACUUCAACAAAUGCUAUCUUUAUGAAUGAUCAAUCAACCAAGCAAAGUUGUAAUCAGAAAUUCAAAGAACUACUCCUCAUCAAGGAAAAUGUUUCACUCAAGCACUCAAAAGUUUAUCACUCAACUCAAAGGUGUAUAGUGAGGUGUUGGUGUCUUUUUCACUCUGCUACCACAAUUUCACACAAAUUAACUUUGCCUUUCAUUCAACCACAAUCAAACAUACUCACAAGCAAGUUAUCAUGACAAAGGCAUUUCAUGGCUUAUAACAUGGCUGAGCUAAGAAGGAAAUUGGUUUUUCUGGUUAGCAAAAUUCCUUGAGUUAAGAGAGACAUUUAUUAUUUCAUCAUUCAAGCACAAACUCUCUUUCUUUUCCCUAGUUUUCCCUAGCAUUGAGCUUUUUCUUUUCUUUUCUUUUCAUUUUUGUUUUUCCUUUGCUUUUGCUUUUGAAGUACUUACUACUUAGCUCAAUGCUUUGUUUUUUAAAUUUUCCCAGUAACCCCAAACUUUAACCUUUAUCAAUACCUGAUCAAAUGUUCUCAACUCAACUCAAGGUACAAAUUUUAAAAAAGAGUGUUUGAUAGUGAAGUAAAAGUUAUGGAUCUGGUAGAGACUCUUUAGGCGAGCCCUAAGGGGUAAAAAAAUCAAAUAAUGGGCCAAAGAAUCUCAACCCAACUUAAAAAUGUGAAUACCCCUCAGCGUCGCCACCGCCCAACAGUGAGUUUCCAUCGCCUGAUAGUGAGCUCGAGUUGGCUUUCCCUUUUUCUCUUUGUUUCAAAACAUUUUUUAUCCUUGCAACCUCAAUUCCAGCUUUCAAAAUUAAGUUUUAUAUAGUUCUCAAUCAAUUGACUCAACUAUGCAACAAUCAAUCCAUAAAUGCAAUUAGAACAGAAUUAAAACAUGUAAUAAAAAAUCAAUCAACUGGGUUGCCUCUCAGGUAGCGCUUGUUUAACGCCACAAGCCUGACCCAAACCUUUCUAGCACUAAUCAAUAAGUGCAAAUCUUACCAACACCCUUCAGUAGGUGUACCUUCCUGGAAUCCUUCAGUGAAUACAUAAUCAUAUAGCAUCCCUCAGUAGAUGUUGUACAACAUCCAUUAGUAGAUGUUGUUAUUACUGCAAAACAAAAAAUCAAAUCCAAACCACACAAAUUAAAAAGAAAACGUUAGAAACUGGGUUGCCUCCCAACAAGCGCUCUUUUAACGUCAUUAGCAUGACCCACAACAUCCAUCAGUAGAUGUUGUUAUUACUACAAAGCAAAAAAUUAAAUCCAAACCACACAAAUUAAAAAGAAAAAGUUAGAAACUAGGUUGCCUCCUAGUGUCAACACCCAAUUUCGUCCGGGUGACUAAAUAAUGAGACUUGGUUUUUAUUGUUGUCCUAUUUAAUUUAUUUUCUUUCAUUUUUUUUUAUUAUUUACUUUAUUUUGUUGUUCUUAAUUUUAUUUUACUAUUUUGUGUACUUUUAAAAAUAAAGUAAUUAAAAAAAAAGAAAAAAGAAACGAAGAAAGAAUAAAAAAAAGCAAAAAAAUUUUAAAAGAAAAAAAGAAGAAAAAAAAGGAAAAAGAAAAAAAAAUGAACAUCAAAAAUGAAAAAAAAAAGAGAAAUAAAAAAAAGGAAGAAGAGGAAAAAAGAGAAAAAAAAGAAAAAAGAAAAAAAAAGAGAAAAAGAAUAAAAGAGAAAAAGGAAAAUAAAAUAAAAAGGAAGGAAGGAAAAAGGAAAAAAAGGGGGUGCACAUGAAUAAAAUGAAAAGAAAAGAAUGGUGAUUAACUGGGAGAGGUGUUCCACGUGAUUUUCUUGAAGAAAUGGUGCAGCAGGCCCAUAAGCAAUUAAUAUUAAUGCAGGAAAGAUCACUUUAGAAUAUUUUUGAAAUUUUCUUUUAUUUGGUAAUAAUUCGAAUCAACAUUAUGACAAUCAUUGCAAGGAAUAAUUAAAAAUAAUAUAAUGAUUGUUCUAUUCAAUUUCUUCCUAAAGAGAAAAAUAUGAUUUUUAAUUUGAUUCAAUCAAGACCAUUUAUUUCCCUAUUUUGCUAAUUGACAAUUAAUUCGCCAUCAAGGCAAGAUCACAAUAACAUUACAAAUGUGUGUAUAUAAUAUGCACCUUGCAAACAAGAGAAGGGGAGGGGGAUUGAAUUUCAAGAAGAGAGCAUAAGGGAACUAGAAAAAAAAAAAAAAAAAGAGAAAAAUUCAAUUUCAAGAAGAGAGCAUAAGGGAACAAAAAAAAGAGAGGAAGAGAAAAAUCCAAUUUCGAAAAGAGAACAUAAGGAAACAGAAAAAAAAGGGCUUCGUGUUGCACUCAUCCCUGGCUUUUAUAUCACUCUUUCUCUUACUGAUUGUUUUGUUUUAUUGAUUGCUAUUGUAUUUUUGUUUCUUUUAGUCUUUAUUAUCAUGUUAUUUUCUCUUUUGUUGCAUUCUCAAUUUUUGAAAGAAACAAUAAAUGUUCAAUAAAAAGUAUUUUUUUUAAAAAAAAAGGGGGUUAAAAUUAAAAAAAAAAUGCUGCUAGAGCUUGUGACGCUAUCUCUCUUUUAAUGACUAAAUUUUGGUUCAAUUUGUUCUUGUUUUAUUUUAUUUCUUUUAAAUAUUGUUUUUCUUUCUUAGGCAAAAAAAAAAUGGGUUAAAUUUAAAAAUUAUAAAAAGUGAUUUAUUUAUUUUUAAGCUGUAAUUUAUUUUCUACCUUUUAGACUUUCCUUAAAAAAUACUUACACUAUUUUAAAUAUUUACAUGAAACAUUAUUUUGAUAUUAUAAAUAAAAAUUAAUAAAAAUGAAAGAUAAAAAAAAAUAUAAAAAAAAAUUAAUAAAAAAUAUAAUUUAAAGGUUUUAGUACAUGUGCGACCAUUAUGUCGGCCUUGUGCUUAAAACCUUUUUCCUCUUUUUUCAAGAACUAUCAAAAAUUUAUUUUAAAAGGUUUAGCACAGGUGCGACCAUUCUGUCGACCUUGCGCUGAAAACUUUUUCUUCUUCUUUUAAAAGUCAACAAAAUUUCAUUUUAAAGGUUUAAGCACAGGUGCGACCAUUCUGUCGGCCUUGCGCCGAAAACUUUUUCUUCUUCUUUUAAAAGUCAACAAAAUUUCAUUUUAAAGGUUUAAGCCCAGGUGUGACCAUUCUGUCAGCCUUGCGCUGAAAACUUUUUCUUCUUCUUUUAAAAGUCAACGAAAUUUUAUUUUAAAAGGUUUAAGCACAAGUGCGAGCAUUCUGUCGGCCUUGCGCUGAAAACUUUUUCUUNGUGCGAGCAUUCUGUCGGCCUUGCGCUGAAAACUUUUUCUUUUUCUUUUAAAAGUCAACGAAAUUUUAUUUUAAAAGGUUUAAGCACAAGUGCGACCAUUCUGUCGGCCUUGCACUGAAAACUUUUUCUUCUUCUUUUAAAAAUCAACAAAAUUUUAUUUUAAAAAUGUUUAAGCACACGUGCGACCAUUUUGUCGGCCUUGUGCUGAAAACCUUUUUCUCCUUCUUUUAAAAAUCAACAAAAAAAUUUUGUUUUAAAAGGUUUAAGUACAAGUGCGGCCAUUCUAUCGGCCUCAUGCUGAAAACCUUUUUCUUCUUUCAAAGAAAUCAACAAGCAACUUAUUUUAAAAGGUUUAAGCACACGUGCGACCAUUCGGUCUGCCUUGUGCUGAAAACCUUUUUCUUCUUCUUUCAAAAAUUCUUUCAACACUAAAGUUUACUUUAAAAAAGUUUAAGCACACGUGCGACCAUUCUGUCGGCCUUGUGCUGAAACGUUUCCCCUUUUUACGAAGACGUCAAAACAUCAAAAAAUCCUUUUUUAAACAACAAACAAAUUUUCAAAUAGAACUACGUAACCCUGAUUUCUCACUUUGAGAAUACGUAGGAGUAAGGUCAAUCCUUGUCGGGUACAAAAAAAAUAAAAAAAUAUAUUUUGUCUCUUUAUAAUGUCUUUUUUGGGAUAGUUAAACAUUUUGAAAACUACAUCAAAGUUGCAUAUUUAAUUAAAGGUACUGCCUUCGGGCAGGCGUUAUAGGAUGCUAAUACCUUCCCUAUACGUAACCGACUCUCGAACACAAUCUUUGGUUUUCGUGGACCGUGCUUUAUCACUUUAUGGUUUUUUCGUAGUUUUCCAGAAUUAACUAUGGUGGCGACUCCAAACUCUUUUUCAAAAUGUUUUCUUUUUGGAUCGUCGUCCCGUUGCGAUUCUGGUUGCGACAGAUGGCGACUCCACUAGGGAUGCUAGAGAGUCAAGCCAUUUAAUUAGAUGCGCGAAUUCAAUGUGGUUUUUUCUUUAUGUUUUUCUUCCUCUUUUCUUUAUCUAUGAUGAUGUUUGAAAUGAUUGCAUGUGAAUUGUUGUAUAUUGAACCCUAGGGUAGAAAACAUGUCUAUAUCUGCCUGGGAUUUUUUCGGUUGUUUUGCAGGUGAGGGUUUGGGGUAUGCAUAUCAUGAGUGGGGCCCUAUACCCGGGUCUGAGCGAAGCUUAGAAUUAGAGGGGUUGUGUAGCGGUGCCACUUGGGCCAUACUGCCUGUUUGGCUAUCGUGAGAACCCCAACUAGAGUCUGUUCUCUUCAUUUGUAUUUUCACACCUAGUUGAUUACUCGACUGUUGUGGAGAUGCUGUGGAGGGGGUCAUAGCUCUAGUGACCAUCGACCUUUAGGUUCAAGGAACCAUCCUUGUGAGAUUGCAUAUACUUGACCUUGAAUCUUAAGUGUCGAACCUUCAUAGGGGCACAAAGGGAGAUGUGUGCAGUCUUCUAACCCUCGUUUUCAUUUAAUAAAAUCACGCAUCUUGUGCAUAUCUUGAGUCACUUGUCUUUCUUGCGAAUCGUCAAACUCAUGUUUUUCGAAAAUAACAAAAAGUAAUAAAUCAAAAACAAAAGUUGUAGUGUCAGACUUUUCCGAGGUCAAAUAUUUAAUAAAAAAUAACAAUUUGACAUUUUUCUCAAGACGUUUGUGCACAUCUUGCUUCAAGACCUUCACCCUUCAUUUUUCCAAAACAAAGGAUCUUUCCCAAUAAAAAUUGUCGCUACCCUCAAUUACAAAGUAAACCUUUACACAGGGGUAUAUUGGCCUAACCAAAAGUUUUCUCGCUUGCGCUAGUAAGGUGAUCCCUGAAUCCAUUGGGACAAAAAAAAAAGGAAGAAAACAAAACAAGAAGAAGUAUUCCACUAGAUUGAAAACCCGAAAGGGUAGUCUAGAAAGGGAGAAAAAAAUGACUUAUGUUGAGGUCGUCCAGUCGCAGAAUUAAUCUUUUGAAAAUAAAGCAAUCAGAAUUUGAAAUUAUGUGUGGCCUUCUUUCUUUAUCCAAAAAGCAAAAAUUAUAUACAUUGUCACCCCGUUUGAGCCUAAAAUAAAUUCUUUUUCAAAGUUAUCCCCAAGCAAGGGUUAUCAUCAAGUAGGAGUCAACUCAUGGUACAAAUGAUGAGCACUCAUUGAUCAAACGAGGAGAAUUCAUCAACAAACGGUGAACAUAAAUAAAAAAAAAAACAAAACAAAACAAAAAAAGAAUCUCAAAGUGAUGAUGAAGAAGAAUGAAACAUGAAGUUCAAGAAAAGCAAAGUGCUCAAAAAGUCAAAUACUUGAUGCAAUGCCUAGAUAAUAACCCUUGUUUCUAAAAAUAUAACCAACAAACAUUCAUUUCGGCCUUCAUAUCCUUUUUUUCAAAUACCUUUUAGCCCCUAGCCACGUUACAAGCCUAUUAAAGCCCACACAUAUUGGAUAAUGUUUGCUCAAUUUUCCAUAAAGCUUAAUUUUACGAUAAGGCGAAAUGACUUUCAAUGUGUCGUAAAAAAAAAGUUAAAAAUGAAUGAUGACAAAAAAGAGAAGAAGAUAAUGUCUCGGGCAUAGGGGAUCUCCUUGCCAACCAGCCAGAAACAUGUAAAAGAAAAUCAAACCAAUUGGGGUCGUCCUUUUAGCCGAUCUUUUUCAUGCCCGCUACCUCUUCCAAAAGGAACCCAUUGCCAAGGAAAAAAAUGGGGCAGCUUUGUGAGUCGCAUACAAAUUUUUCAUCAACCCAUGACCCAAGAAUGGGUCAGCUUUGUGAGUCUCAUACAAAUUUUUCAUCAACCCAUGAUCCCAAGACUGGGGCAGAUUCGCAAGUCUCAUUUGAUUUGUUCACCCUUAUUUUCAUGGAUCCAUACCCCUAUGCUCAUUUUCCCAAACACUAAACCGGGGCAAUUUUUUUUUGGUAUAUCUUGUUUCGUCUUGGCACUCACAUAUUACAUCUCCUUUAAGGAUUGUAGUACCCAUGUGUCGGUCCUAGUCUUCCAAACCAUUCCAAACAACUCUCAUUCUCUUCAAAAUCAUCCUCUUGCCAAUAAAUUCAAGCAUGUGUGCACUGAUGUCCCGAAAGAAAAGUCAAAAUGUAAUAAUCUCAAAGUUUAGACCUCGGAUGUAAGACAUUUAUCACUUUCACAAAAAAUUGAAAAUGAAAAUCAGUUUGAUGAUUGCAAGCAAGACGAUUAACUCAAGCAAAAAAAAAACAAAAAAAAAAGAACACAAAACAAAGAAAAUGCUUUUCAUAUGUGCAUCAAUCCAUGAAAAAAAAAGUUUUUCUGAUCGAAACCCUCUUCAUUCAUAUGAGUGGUUGUCGAAUCCUCCUUCAAAAAUACAAAAAAGAGUAGCAUCAAAAUUUCAACACUUUGCAAUGAAGGGUUUCAAUGCCUUGGUGUCUUUUCAAAAAUCAAAUUUCUGUCAAACAAAAUUACCACAAAAUUACAAAUUUCAAGAAUUUCAAAGUUUGAAAGCCUAAUUUCUACACUGGCCCACUAAGCCCAGUUUUGCCUGGCCCACAAGCCCAGCUUCGCCAGACCCUUAAGCCCAGUUUUCACACUGGCCCCCCUGAGCCCAGUUUCGCACUGGCCCCUAAGCCCAGUUUCUACACUGGCCCCUAAGCCUAGUUUCACCUGGCAACCUAAGCUCGAUUUAACCUAGCACAUAAGCCCAGCUCGCCUGGCCCCUAAGCCUAGUUUCUACAUUGGCCCACUCAGCCCAGUUUCGCCUGGCCCAUAAGCCCAGCUUCGCCUGGCCCUUAAGCCCAGUUUUCACACUGGCCCCCCUAAGCUCAGUUUCGCACUGGCCCCUAAGCCCAGUUUCUACACUGGCCCCUAAGCCCAGUUUCACCUGGCCCAUAAGCCCAGUUUCGCCUAGCCCAAAGCCCAGUUUCUACACUGGCCCAUAAGCCCAGCUUCGCCUGGCCCUUAAGCCCAGUUUUCACACUGGGCCCCCUAAGCCCAGUUUCGCGCUGGCCCUUAAGCCCAGUUUCACCUGGCCCAUAAGCCCAGUUGCCACACUGGCCCCUAAGCCCAGUUUCAUGCUGGCCCCAAAGCCCAGUUUCUACACUGGUCCCUAAGCCUAGUUUCGCCUGGCCCCCUAAGCCUAGCUGGCCUGGCCCAUAAGCCCAGUUUCACCUGGCCCAAAAAAGCUUUGUUUUGUCUGGCACCCAAAGCCCAGUUUUCCUGGCACCAUAAGCUCAAGUUUUUCUUUUUGUUAUCGACCCUCUACUUCCUAAUGGUCAAAUUUAAGUUUUUCUUCUGCGAUUUUGGCCCUCUUCAAGGCAAUGGUCAAAUCCAGGUUUUAAUUUUGUUAUCGGCCCUCUGCUUCGCAAUGGUCAAAUUUANNNNNNNNNNNNNNNNNNNNNNNNNNNNNNNNNNNNNNNNNNNNNNNNNNNNNNNNNNNNNNNNNNNNNNNNNNNNNNNNNNNNNNNNNNNNNNNNNNNNNNNNNNNNNNNNNNNNNNNNNNNNNNNNNNNNNNNNNNNNNNNNNNNNNNNNNNNNNNNNNNNNNNNNNNNNNNNNNNNNNNNNNNNNNNNNNNNNNNNNNNNNNNNNNNNNNNNNNNNNNNNNNNNNNNNNNNNNNNNNNNNNNNNNNNNNNNNNNNNNNNNNNNNNNNNNNNNNNNNNNNNNNNNNNNNNNNNNNNNNNNCCUCUGCAAGGCAAUGGUCAAAUCCAGGUUUUAAUUUUGUUAACGGCCCUCUGCUUCGCAAUGGUCAAAUUUAUGUUUUUCUUUUGCGAUUUUGGCCCUCUGCAAGGCAAUGGUCAAAUCCAGGUUUUAAUUUGUUAUCGGCCCUCUGCUUCGCAAUGGUCAAAUUUAAGUUCUUUUCUGCGAUUUUGGCCCUCUCCAAGGCAAUGCUCAAAUCUAGGUUUUAGUUUUGUUAUCGGCCCUCUGCUUCGCAAUGGUCAAAUUUAAGUUUUUCAGUUUUCAUCCUUUUAUUUCUUUUUGAAACUCGGACAAAAUUAGUGCUUCUAUCUUUACUUAGCUUUUACUUAGAUAAUACAAAAAUAUCAAAUUUUCAUAUUAUCUAGUAAUAUCUAAGUAAAGAGGGGUAGCUGUCAAUACCCAAUUUCGUCCAAGUGACUAAAUAAUGAGACUUGAUUUUUAUUGUUGUCCUAUUUAAUUUAUUUUCUUUCAUUUUUUUUAUUAUUCACUUUAUUUUGUUGUUCUUAAUUUUAUUUUACUAUUUUGUUUAAUUUUAAAAAAAAAGUAAUUAAUAAAAAAAGAAACGAAGAAAGAAUAAAAAAAAGCAAAAAAUUUUAAAAGAAAAAAAAGAAGGAAAAAAAAGAAAAAAGAAAAGAAAAAAAAGAACAUGAAAAACGAAAGGGAAAUAAAAAAAAGGAAGAAGAGGAAAAAAGAGAAAAAAAAAAGAAAAAAGAAAAAAAAAGAGAAAAAGAAUAAAAGAAAAAGAAAAAAAAAGAAAGGAAGGAAGGAAAAAAGAAAAAAAGGGGGUGCACGUGAAUAAAAUGAAAAGAAAAGAAUGGUGAUUAACUCGAAGAGGUGCUCCACGUGAUUUUCUUGUGAAGCAGGCCCAUAACCAAUUAAUAUUAAUGCAGGAAAGAUCACUUUAGAAUAUGUUUGAAAUUUUGUUUUAUUUGUUAAUAAUUCGAAUCAACAUUAUGACAAUCAUUGCAAGGAAUAAUUAAAAAUAAUAUAUUGAUUGUUGUAUUCAAUUUCUUCCUAAAGAGAAAAAUAUGAUCUUUAAUUUGAUUCAAUCAAGACCAUUUUGCUAAUUGACAAUUAAUUCGCCAUUAAGGCAAGAUCACAAUAAUAUUAAAAAUGUGUGUAUAUAAAUAUGCAUCUUGCAAACAAGAAUAGGGGAAGAGAAUUGAAUUUCGGGAAGAGAGCAUAAGGAAAAAAAAAAGGAAAAAAAAUCAAAUUUGAGGAAGAGAACAUAAGGGAACAGAAAAAAAGGAGGCAGUUGCUACACUCAUUUUAGCUUUUGAAUGCGGUACAGAGGUGAAAACACCGACCACUUGCAGCUUGCCGGUUUGGGCCAAAUAGAUCUCGUGCCACCCUGCACUUCAUUGCCGCACCCUAUUCUUCGUGGGCUUGGACUAGGCAUGCUCCUGGUUUGUUAUCUUUGUUUGUUUGAAUUUUAUUUUAUGCUUUUGUUUUCUAUCUUAGUCUUUUUUUCUUGUUACUACAAGUGACCCUGUAUCAUAACCUCAUCCACUUUGUUUUAUUGGGCUUUUAUUUACUGUGUUCCAACAUUCACUGCACACGAUCACUUUCCUACCAAAAUACCCAAUAAAAAAUAAAAAAAAAAUGUAAAAGAAAAAAAGAAGAUAAAAUCAUUAAGAUUGUUUUAGAUUCCCGACGUCAUCUUUGUCUGCAAAUAAAUACAUAAAAGUUUUGAAUUGUUAGUGUUUUAUUAUAUAAGUUACAAGAUUAUAAAAAAUAACAAGCUUAGUGUUUUUUUUUUUAUUUCUUUAAUAACUACAAUAUAAUUUUAAUUUCUUUCAAUUUAGAUUUUUUUUGAAACGUAAAUAGUGUUUUUACUCUAUAUUUUAUAAUUUUAAAUACUUAUGCAAAACAAACAUGGUAUAUAAUAUCAUUGUUUCAUUUCAAAUGGUUUGUAAAUAUCUCUUUUAUUUUAUAUUGAAUUCUUUCGUAAUUACUGUUACUGUUUUUAUAAUAUAUAUGUAAAUAUAAUUUUCAUAUUACAAAAACCACAAAAAUUGAAAGAUCAACAGUAUAAGUCAUGUACAAAAUUAAAAUAAUAAAAUAGUAAAUGUUUUAAGGGUUUAACCAUGUGUGUGAUCGCAUGCAUCAUCCUCGUGCUAAGACCUUUUCUAUCUUGGAAAAAUAACAAAAAAUUAUUUUAAAAGGUUUAAGCACACGUGCGACCAUUCUGUCUGCCUCGUGCUAAAAUCAUUUUCCUUCUUCUUCUUCUUUCAAAAAAUUAACAAAAAUUUAUUUCAAAAGGUUUAAGCACAGGUGCGACCAUUCUGUCUGCCUUGUGCUAAAAACCUUUUUCUUUUUCUUCUUCUUUCAAAAAAUCAACAAAAAAUUAUUUUAAAAGGUUUAAGCAUACGUGCGACCAUUCUGUCUGCCUUGUGCUAAAAACCUUCUUCUUCUUCUUUCAAAAAAUUAAUAAAAAAUUAUUUUAAAAGGUUUAAGCACAUGUGCGACCAUUCUGUCUGCUUUGUGCUAAAAACCUUUUUCUUCUGCUUCUUUAAAAAAAAUCAAUAAAAAUUUAUUUUAAAAGGUUUAAGCGCACAUGCGACCAUUCUAUCUGCCUUGUGCUGAAAACCUUUUCUCUUUCUUUUAUAAAAAAUACAAAAAAAUAUAAAAAUUUUCAAAAACUAAAAACAUCUUCCAACAAACAACCUUUCAACUAGAACUACGUAACCCUGAUUUCUCACUUUGAGAAUACAUAGGAGCGAGGUCAAUCCUUGUCGGACACAAAAAAAUAAAAAAAUAUAUUUUGUCUCUUUAUAAUGUCUUUUUUGGGGAUAGUUAAACAGUUUGAAAACCACAUCAAAGUUGCAUAUUUAAUUAAAGGUAUUGCCUUCUGGCAGGGGUUGUAGGGUGCUAAUACCUUCCCUACACGUAACCGACUCCCGAACCCAAUCUUUGGUUUUCGUGGACCGUGCUUUAUCAUUCUAUGGUUUUUCCAUAGUUUUCCAUAAUAAACUAUGGUGGCGACUCCAAAACAUUUUUCUAAACUUGUUUUCUUUUUGGAUCGUCGUCCCGUCGCGAUUCCGGUUGCGACACCCAGCAAGCGCUCUUUUAACGUCAUUAGCUUGACCCGGUAAAUCUCAAACACCCAUCAGUAGGUGUUGAUAUUCCCCUUGCGUGAUAUUCUUUUCUUUUUCUUCUCUUUGCUGAAUUUCUUCAGAAAGUUGAUAAAUUUAAGCACCUGUUUCCAUGUUUCAAUGAUAGGAACUUUAAUCUCCAAUUUCUUGCAGAUCUCCAUAAAGCACAUAAAUUUCCUUUCCUUCCUAUGAUACUUCAUAUGAUCUUUUAUUUCCUCCUUUCUUCCUCUUUUUCUUACUCUUCUUCUCUCUCAAGUUUCUCUUUUUCUUUUCUCUUAUUUUUUUCUUUAUUUUCACACAUUUUCUAUUUUUUUCUUUUCUCUCAACCACUUAUUUUUCUUUCUCAUCAUCUUCUUCUUCUUCACUCAACCUUUUUGUUUCUUCCUCCGUUAUCUUUAUCUUUUCCUCAUCUCUCUCUAUCUUUUCCUCAUCAACAACCUUAUCACUUUUAGAGAUAGUGGCUGAGAUAGUGGCUUGACAUUCCUCCUUAGGGUUAACUUUAGUAUUAACCCUAGAAUCACCUAGGGGCUUAUUUAUGCAACCCAAUUCUAUCUCCAUCCUUUUACAUCUUGCUUCCAUGCGUUCUGUAGAGGAGAUGACAUUUUGCAUAACACAUUGGAAUGUCUCAUCACGACUUUCUGAUGGAGAUGGUUGUUGCCAAUGUUGUUCAAUUUCCUCCUCCAUUUCUUCAAGUAAAGAGGGAUAUUGCUGCCUUUAACGUUGUCGUAACUCCUCCAGGCUAGAUAAACUCCGAUCCAUGACCUGUUGAAAAACUUCGUUAGAAUUUGUGUUCUCCUUGAGUGGAGUUAUUUGUUGCUCGACAGCUUGCCCAAAUUGGCUUUGAUCCAUGUUUGAGUGAGGUUCCCACCAGUGGUUGAAAUCAUUUUGGUAGAAUUGAGUGCACAUAUAGUCAAAUUCUUGUCCAAACUGCAUCCUACAAACAUUAGGCACAAAACCCUAGAAAACAUUUAUUAGAACAAAAAUAAAUCAAACAUAAAAAUCAAGUCAAAGGUAAUCAAUAAUCAAAAUACACAAUAAACAUUUAUUAAACCAAUGAGUCUCCGACAACGGCACAAAAAACUUGUUAACACCUUGGCAAGUGUACCAAAUCUUAUCAAGUAAUAAAUAAACGGUAAGCCUGAGUGUCGUCUCCCAAAGGACUCUUAGGCCUAAACGUUCAUGUGAUUAAUGGAAAUCAGGAGACUUAAACAAACAAGAAGUCGAGUUUUAAAUGCAAAACAAGAAUUAAACAUGCAUGCAAAGGUUUGAUCAAUUGGCAGUAUAAGAUAUGGAUGAAUGGUGUUGUUGGGGUUUACAGUUUCAUCCUAAUCCACUCUCAAAUAUCUACUAUUCUUAUUAGAUUCAACUUUAUUAUCAAUGUUUUUGCCACUUUCUAUUUUACUCUAAACCCGAUCUCUCGGUGAAAAGAGCCUAAUCAGAUUUACUAGUUUAUUAUAUCUAGUCUCCCUAGCAAUUAUUCAUGCAAUACACACAGAAGCUUAAGGCAAUUGAUGUUCCUAUUCCUAUCUCUAGGCAAUAUUCAUUAUUAAGAGUAAUUCUUCAUGUCUAUACCUAAAUAUACGUCUCCAUAUAGAAAGAAUGAAAUAUGAUGCGUUUGAAUAAUGUCUUAAACAAAGCAUUAGCAAGAACGGAAGAAAAACUCAAACUAUUGAUAAACACAAGUAUAUGAAUAAAAUAAGAAAUUUGAUAUAAGAGAGUUUCAAAGAAUUACAUCGUUCCCCAACAACAAAGGGCUUAGUUCACCAUAAUCAUGGUGAAACUAGAUGAAUUGAAUGGAAAGAAUAUAAAAGAUAACCCUAGAUUUGUAAUAUUGGAGCUCUCGCAUCCAACAUUCUAUUUAAAGCACAAAAAAAAAAUAACCAAAAAUAAGCCUAGGCCCAUAAGUACACCGCCUAGCAGUAGGCACGACACCUAAUCCACCCCUCAGCGCUGCCGCUUGAGCGUUAUCUUUAAAUUCCACUAACGAGUCCACCGCCCGGCGAUGGGUUGUACCGCCCUACGGUGGCUGCGAUUCCAUCUUCACCCCUUGGCAGUGCCCUUUAAGCAUGUGGCAGUGUAAUCAUAGAAGGUCUCAUCGUCCGGCGGUGCUAUCACCGCCCAAUGGUGGCUACAGUUCAACUAUGCUUCAUUCUUCCACCUUCUUCUGCAUCCAACAUUUCUCUUCCUUCAAUUCAUUCAUCAAACUUUUGAUAAAUCCUGUCAAAACAAGGGAAACUAAGCAUAAAACCUAGAAAACCCACUUUGACUCUCUUUCUCUCUAACUUAAGCAUUUUGCAUGAUUUCAAGCUAAUUCUAAGUCAUAAAGGGUGUGUUUUGAUGUAAUAGAAACUUAAUGGAUAUGGUUACAAGUAUUUUAAGUAAUUCAUGUUUACCUAUAUUGUAGUGGAUGCAUUCUUUAAAGACUACCAUGUAUCUGUUAAACAAGGUUCCUAGUAAACUUUUUCAAAAGACUCAUUUUGAAUUAUGAACAAAGCGUAAACCCAAUUUGAGACACCCAUAUGUUUGGGGUUAUCAGGCAAAAGAAUUUACAAUCCAUAAGAAAAGAAACUAGAUGAAAGAGAAAUCAAUGGAUAUUUCAUUGGUUAUCCAAAAAAAUAAAAAGGGUAUAUGUUUUAUUGUCCUACCCUUAGUCGAAACUAUAAAUUCUCGGUUGAUUGAGAUUGGUGAAACCAAUGAGUGAAGAUUCAUGAAAUGUGGAAAUUAAGGAAGUUAAAGUACCAAGCUAGUGCAUCUUCUUCAUGAGUUGGUGUUCCUCAUGUUGUAAAUCAACACAACAAUCAAGAACAACAAUUAAUUAAUGAUCCUGAACUUAACAAUGAACUGCUAGUAGAAUAACCACAAUAAAUAAUUUUAAGAAGAUCUCACAAAGAAAGACAUUUGCUAUAUUGAAUUAUUAUAUGGUUUAUCUACAACACUCCAAAAGUUACUUAAGUAUUGAUAAUGAUUCGAUUUCAUUUUCAGAAUCCCAUUAAUGGUGAUAAUUCUUACAAGUGGUUAGAUUCCAUGAAAGAUGAGCUUAAAUCAAUGUCACAAAAUGAUGUAUGAGACCUUGUGGAAUUGCCUUAAGGAUGCAAGAGAGUUGGGUGUAAAUGGAUCCUUAAGCCCAAGUCUGACUCUUAUGCAAAUAUCAAACGUUACAAGGCCUAACUUGUUACCAAAGGGUUUACUUAGAAAAAUGAUUAUUUAUAAGGAAACAUUUUCUCCUUUUAUAUAAGAAUAUUCCUUUAGAAUUAUCAUGAUCUUGAGUUGCAUCGAAUGGAUGUUAAAACUGUCUUUCUUAAUGAGAAUUUAGAAGAGAAUCUUUAUAUGGACCAUCCAGUGGGGUUCACUAUAGAAGGAAAGGAACAUAUGGUGUGUAAACUUAAGAAAUUAAUAUAUGGACUUAAACAAGAUUUUGGACAAUGGUAUCUUGAGUUCAAUGAUAUUAUAAUGUCCUUUGGAUUUAAGGAAAACAUUGUUGAUCAAUGUAUAUAUAUGUGAAUGUCACUAGGGGAAAGUUUAUAUAUUUUGGUUUUGUAUCUUGAUGAUAUCUUACUUGUGACUAAUGAUCUUGGUCUAUUAAGUGAGACUAAAAGGUUUCUCUUUCAUAAAUUUGAAAUGAAAAAUAUGGACGAGGCAAUCUAUAUGAUAGGAAUUGAAAUAUUUCAUGAUAAAUCACAAGGACGACUAGGUUUAUCUAAAUAAAAGUAUGUUAAUAAAGGUUUAAAGAGAUUCAGAAUGGAUAAAUGUUUAACAUCUUCCUUUCCAAUAUAAAAAGGAGACAAAUUUAGUCUCAAGCAAUGUCCAAAGAAUGAUUUGGUAUAUAAACAAAUGGAAGAUAACCCUUAUACAUUUGUUGUUGAGAAUGUUAUGUAUGCUCAAACUUGUACGAGGCCAAAUAUUUUCUUUGCAGUUGAUAUGCUUCAUAGAUGGUAGAGUAAUCCAAGAUUGGAUCAUUGGAAAGCUGCAAAGAAAUUUUUAAGAUAACUAACAAAUAAAGAGUUGGUUGGACAUCUUGAGUUGGUUGGUUAUACAAAUUUAUAAUUUGCCAAUUAUAUGGAUACAAGAAAGUUUACAUUUCAUUAUGUGAAUCUUUUAGUUGGAGGAGCGAUUUCAUGGAAAAGUUCAAAGCAAUAUGUCAUUGUUAUAUCCAUUAUGAAAGCUGAAUUUGUGGCAUGCUUUGAGGCCAUAGUUCAGGCUAAUUGGUUGUGGAACUUUAUUUCAGGACUUAGUAGUUGACAAUAUUGCCAAGUUGCUAAAAAUUUAUUGUGAUAAUUUCAUAGUAGUCUUCUUUUCUAAGAACAAGUAAUCCAAAGGGAUCUAGGCAUAUGGAAUUGAAAUAUGUUGUUGUUAAAGAAGAAGUUUAAAAACGUAGAGUGUUAAUAGAACAUAUUAACACUGAUCUUAUGAUUUUUGACCCUUUGACAAAAGGUUUAUUCCCUGAAUUGUUUGCUGACCAUAUAGAAAAUAUGAACAUAUAUAUUAUGUCUACCAUUUAACAUUGAAUGUUUUAUUAAUGAUUAUGUAACAUUCUUAGCUCUUUAAUGUAUAUGCAAAUUUUAUUUUCUUCUUUAUGUGUAUAUACACACAAAUUAUGAUGAAGAAAGUAAAUUUUAUUAUUAUUAUUAUUGCAAAAGACAUUAUGUUGGAAUCUAUUAUGAACUUCUCAUUGUAAAAUCAUAUUAAGAAAAAAAGGAAUAAUACAAUAGUACAUAAAAGGAAACAUGUCGAUUGAGUGAUGUGUAACCACUACAACUCUUAUUAUUUUUUAUCUUUAAUUUUAAAUAAUGAUGAAACCAAUUUAUGUAAAGUCCUUUAAUGCAAAUUAUCUUUAUGUAUUAAAUCACAUGAUGUUAUUAUGAAAUUAUGAGUCAAAUGAGAGAAUGCUAAAAUUAAUUGAUGAAUUAAUUAUAUUAUGUAACUCAUUUGAAAUAUUAUGAUGGUAAUGUGAUUUAUAUAAGAACCUAUAAGCUAUUAUGGGAAGUUAUAAUAAAAAUAAAAUAAAGAUAAAAUAAAAACCGACGUGAUGAACAUUGGUUAAUAAAAAUGGAUUAGAAUUUUGUCUGUGGUCAUAAGAUUUUUUCACCGUGAGAGGAGAAAGAAAGACAAAGAGAUAAAUUAGGGAAAAAAAGGUUGGAACAAGAAGACCAAGAGGAAGAACAUAUUCUUAUUCUUAUUCUCAUGAGUCAAGGUUAGUACGUCUAUUAUGUUUUAUGUUGUGAGGAUUGUAAAUUUUAAAAAGUACUUUUUUGGAAUGAAUUAAGAAUGUAGAAAACUACAAAAUUAACUUACAUAUAAUUGCCAUUAGACAUAAGUUUGGAUAUGGAAAUGAUAUUGUAAGAAAAAGUUGGUAUGAAAAGAAAAUUAGUGAGAGUGAGUUUAUAAUUGACGUUCGCAGUUCCCUUAUGAGUGGCAUAACAUGAUUUCCAUUAAGAAAAUUAACAAUUAUAGAAUCAAUCAUUUUAUAGAAAGCAAAAUUUGAUAAAGAAUUGGAAACAUGAUUAGUUACACCAAAAUCUAUAAUCGAAGAUUUUGUAAUUCUAGUACUACUAAAACUGAUAAUAGAAUGAAACUUACCCGUAUUUUUACCUUUGAAACUCACAUUCGGAAUAAACGUAGAAGCAAUUUGAUUAACUUGAGCACGAAACUGAAUUAGUGUCAUUUUCAGACAGUUGCAGAAGAGACUUAAGAGUUUGAUAUUACUGCUGAGACAGUCAAACAUCAACAUUAUCAACAGCAUUGUUGUGCAUAUGAUCAAUGUUAACAUCCUUAGUAGCUUUAACAUUAUUGAUGACAUUAUUAUAUCCAUGUAAUAUAUCAUAAGAAGGAAACUCAUGCUUUUUGCAGCACAUGUCUUUGGUAUAACCAUUUCGGUCACAAUGAGUACAAAUGUUUUUGUCUCUGGCCUUCUUGUUUUCUUAAUUAGUAGGGAAGCCAUGCUUCUUAUCAUAACAAUUUGAACUAUUACCUAUAGCAUCAUUAGUAGCAACAGUGAUAAUAAUCUUGGAAUCAAAAUUAACAUUAACUUUGUUACCCAAAAUUUGUCUCUCUUGUUGAGUCAUAUAAGAAAAUAUUUUGGUGAUAAAAGGGACAUGGUAGCAAGUGAGAUUCGACAUUAGUAUAUCUAGAAAUAACAAUAGAUGAGGUCAGGUCGAAUACGGAUAAUAUCUAUUUGCAGUCUCUUAAAAUUGCAUAACUUGGUCUUCUUUCCUUCUUUUGUGUAGUGCAAGAGCAUUUGUCAUGCACAUGGGAUUAAGCCUGAAACUCUCAAGUUUAUUCGAGAUAACUCUUAAUUUAGUAAGAAACUCUGUUACUAAAAUAUCUCCUUACUUUGGGGAUGAAGCGUCCAAGUUCUUAAACUUGAAGUAAAUCUCCUUAAAUACUGGGACUUGAAAUCUCCAAAUUUCCUCAACCCUCUUCAUCCAAUGUCUAACAGAUAAAGAGAUAGAGUGCAGGAUCAAAGAGACUACCAUAUUAUUACAGCGAUGACCAGCAGUGUAGAAAAGAUUAUAUAUUUUUUUUCCUUAAGUUUCUUUAAUGUUUGAGAAAAUAAUGUCAAAUAUUUUCAAAAUAAAUCUGAUAUCAAAAUUUGGAAGAUAAUAAAUAUUAUAUGAUUUAAAAUUACCAACAGUCCUGACAUGUCUAAAAACUUGUUUCAAGAAACUUCUUGUUUGAUUAUUCAUAUUGAAAUACACAGUCCUGGAAUCAUUUGUUUUAGUUUUAAGAACCACAACAACCAUAUGGUAUGAAAUUGUAAAAAGACUCCAGAGUGAAGAUACAAAACUAUGAGAACAAACAAAGAUAUAGAGAGAAAAAAAACAUAAAGUUAGAAAGAAAGAAGAAGAGAUAUAUUAAAGAAAGAGAUAUAAUUGUGUGCAUACAAGUCCAAUAGUGAUCCUAGUACAAAUUUUGGGAGUGUGAAACUUUUUGUGUUAUUUUUAACUUCGAAAAUUUUGCACUCGUGAGCUUAAUAUAUUCUCUCUCUUGGGAGUGGUUUUUUUGUUAUUUCAAAAGUUCUUAAUUUUUGAAAAAGAUUGAAAAAUUGCAUCUGAGAUUUAAUAACCGUGUAAUUUGGAGAGGUUUAUAUGGUCGUGUAAUUUGGAAAUUUUGAUGUACUUGUUUUAAUACAAAAUUUUAUUUGAUUAGUGAAAUUUUUUAUAAGAAAAACUUAAUAUAUAGUCAAAAUUUGGGAUAAACUAUUAUAAAAAUUUCUUUGUUUAAGUUAUUUCAAUUUUAUGUUAUGCAAAAAAGAGUUUGAGACUCUGUUCAAUCCUCUUUUUAGAACCUUGUAUCCCACGAGAAAGAUGAGAUUUUGAGAAAAAAAUAAAACGAUUUUGAGAAAAAAAUAAAACAAACAAAAACAAAACAAAGAAGAAGAGAUGAAAGAGAAAAGAAGGUGCAGGAGUUUCAUAUGCAACAACUCAUGUUUUAUUUAAAUAAAAAGAAAUUAAAGACUUUACAAAUUAGUUAAAAUUUAUAUUAUAUAUUUAUUAAAAUUUAUAUUUGUACUAAUAUUUUCACUGUUCUCAACUAGUCUGUGGUUAAUGACAUAUUGCAUAAUUUGAACACACUGCUUGUAAGUUCUUCUAUAUUAUGAGCAAAAUCUUCAAUUGAAUAAUGACUAAAAAAAUAAUAAGAGAACCAAAUACAAUUAAUAGAAAAAGAAUUCAGCAAUGAAAAAUACGUAGCAUUUUUUAAAAUACAUAAUUACAAUUUUUCUAUGUUUUUAGUCAAUAUAUAAUUAAUUUUAGGAGUACAACAACUAUUAAUAAUAUAUAACCAACACAACAAUAUAUUCAAAAUAAAACAAAUUUGAUAGCUCAAGGGAAAUGAAAUACUUCGUCACAGUCUUCUAUCAACAAAGUAAUCAGAAACAAGACACUCAUAUUACAACUAAACUUGGAAUUAAAUAUCCAUAAGGUACAUACAACACAUUCAUAUUAGAACUAAACUUUGAAUCAAAUCUCCCAUGCAGUGCAAAGUGAUAAAGUGAUAAGGUUCUUGCUUAACUUCUUUUGUUUUCAAUGAAGGCACAAUUGAAUUUGAACAAAGUGUACAACAAAACAACCCUAAGUCAUGUAACCAUUCUCACAAGCCAUUGAGGCUUUCCUAUUAAUAACACACAACAUCCCAUUCCCAUUCCAAAUACCAUUCCACAUCCAUAUCCUACAGCCACCGCUUUCCAUCCAAAUCCAUAUCCAUAUCCAUGUUCUCUCUUGAAGGGCACUGAAGGUGGAGAAUGUUCUUCAAUGUCCUUGCUGCAUUUUUUUGUCAAUGGGAACCCACACAACCCAGAGUUUCCCUUAUAGGAAUCAUUGGAAAAUGUAUUGAAUUGUUUUCCUUGAGGUAUUUCUCCCACCAUAUGAUUAUUGGAAAUAUUCAGAACUUCAAGAAAGUUCAAAUUGGUUAGUUCUGUAGGAAUCAUACCAGUAAGCAUAUUUGAGGACAGAUAUAAUGAUUCUAAGUUUGUCAAAUUUCCCAGGGAUUGAGGAAUAUGACCACUAAGUAUGUUAUGAGAAAGGUUGGUCGCUUUAAGAGCAUGAAGCUCUCCAAUCACAUUUGGAAUCUCUCCUUCAAAUCUGUUUUCUGAUAAAUCAAUGGUUACAAAAUCUGUCCGAAUUUUCUCCAUUGUCACAACGAUUGAUUUUGUUGUUAUAGUCAAAGAAUCAUAACGUAAAUCACUUGUGAUGUAUUCCUCAUUUUCAUCUUGAACAACAGUCUUCAUGGCUUCAAACUUUCUUAUGUAGACCUUUGGUAUUGGGCCGCUGAAGUUGUUGGAAGAGAUAUCAAGUAUAACUAAAUUGGCAAACCCAUGUUUGGUCUUUAAAUUUUCAAUGGGGCCAUGAAACUUAUUGGCUCGCAAAACCAAUAAUCUUAAAUGUGAUAGACCUUGAAGCCAAUGAGGAAAUGUACCUUCUAAUUGAUUGUUGGCAAGAUCUAAACCCACUAGAGUACUGCAAUUGAACAUAGAUUCUGGAAAAGAACCUUUUAAUUGGUUGUCAUUGAGAUUCAGAAUUUUGAGCAGACAGUUCUUUGAAAAGCCACUUGGCAAAGUGCCAUGAAGUUUGUUGUGUUGUAGAUCCAAAACAGAAAGGAAUGAUGAGUUAGCAAGGCAUUGUGGAAUGAUGCCCGUCAACUUGUUGUGUGACAAGUUGAGAUACCCAAUUGAACUUGCAUUGCAAAUUGAGGAAGAGAUGCCACCAGUGAUUUUGUUAAAACUAAAAUCAAGAUAGCUAAGUUGUUGGUUCCAUGAAACUUGGUCCAGGGAUUGCUCCAAUUGGUUGUGAGAGAGGUCCAACAUAGAUAAUGAGCUAAUUUUGGGUAACCAAUUGGGAAUUUUUCCUUUGAUUUUGUUAUUGGAUAAAAAGAGAAGUAUUAAUAUUGGUACUUUUCCUGAUAGCUUUGGAAAUUCAGUUAAACUCGUAGAAGAUAGGUCCAAAUUCUCUAACGAGGAAAAAGUACAGUUGACAUUGGAUUUAAAAUUAAGGAAAAACUGAUUGGAAAGAUUAAGAAAUUCCAAAUUUUGAAGCUUACAGAAAAGUGGAAAGUGAACAUAUCCACUUAAGUUGUUUGAUGAUAGAUCUAUGUAAGUAAGAUUUACAGGACUGAAAAUUGUUUCUGAAAUAUUACCUUGUAGCUUGUUGUAGGACUCCAAGGAAUAUGAUGAUUCUGAACUUAGAAGCCCUGUGAACUUAUUUGUUGACAAAUCUAAAUUCAGCAAAGACGGCAAAGAAAAACACCAUGAAGGAAUUAUCCCAUUCAGCAAGUUGUUAUCUAAUGAUAAGCUAACUAGAUUUGAAAAUCCUGUUAUAUUUUUGGGCAAUGGACCUUGUAAUUUAUUAAAAGAAAAUAUCAGUUCAGAAAGUUGAGUUAAGUCAAACAAUGAAGAUGGGAUUUUUCCUUCAAAAUUGUUCUGCGAAAGAUCAAGAGCUGACAAUUUGGUUAGCCCGACAAACACGUCUGGGAUUUGACCACUGAAUUUAUUUCUGGAAAGAUCCAAGAGAGUGAGAUGUUGAAGAUUUGAAAGUGUUGAUGGUAGCUCACCUCCUAAAUUGUUACCACUGAAAUACAAUUCUUUAAAUUUGUUUGCCUGAGGAAAAACAUUCGGGAUUUCACCACUAAGAUUAUUACCAUGGAUAUUGAGAAGAGAGAGACGUGGAAGGGUUAGGAGUGAGGAUGGGAUUGAAUCCACAAGAGAGUUAUGUGAGAGGAAUAAUGAAGUAAGGUGUGAGAGGUUUGAGAAGGAGGGAGGGAUUGAAUCCACAAGAGANUUAGAUGAGAGGUCUAGGAAAGUAAGAUGUGAGAAGUAAGAGAAAGAGGGAGGAAUUGACCCUUGGAAGUUAGAAUAUGAAAGAUCUAAGAUAUUAAGAGAAGUAGUGCUACAACCAACUUUUGGAAGGUGGGUUUGAAGGAACGGAUUAUAUGAAAGAUCGAGGUGUUGAAGAUUUGGUAAACAAAAGAUACCAUAUGUCAAGUUUUCUCUUAGCUGAGUAGUCUCUUCCAAGGGCCUUCUUUCCACUAAGAGUGACUAAGGAGGAAGACAAAUUGAGAAUCUUGAUUGAAAUUGAAGACAUGUCUGUAUCAUCCAGAACAAGCUCUUUAAGAUCUGUUGCAUUAUGGAGUAGUCUCUUCCAAGGGCCUUCUUUCCACUUUAAACCAUAGUUACCAGAAAGAUCCAGGGAGGAUAAUUUGGAAAGGUGUGAGAGUUGGGAAGGAAUUUGACCUUGGAAGGAAGAAGUAGAUAAGUUAAGGUAUGUAAGGCUGGCAAAUUUACCAAAGAGAAAUGGAAAAUGAGAUGGAUAGAAAAAGUUGAAAGCAAGGUUGAGUGAUUGGAGAUGAGAAAGAAGGAAAAGUGUACUGUUUGGAUGGAUUUGGCCAGAAAGGCCACUGCAGGAAAGGUCGAGACCGAUCACAUGAC